rnacentral:lncRNA from 1 species
GGGCAAGCUUUCUGUAUCCUCAAAUUAUCCGGAGAUUUGCAAAGGAUAUGUUUUCAUUUGUUAAGAAUUAACUAUUCAAAGAGAUAAUCAAACUCCCAUAAGAUAAAGCUCUUUCAAAAUACAAUAUAUUGAUACGCAUGUCAUAUAAAAUUUUGCCCUUUUUUUGUUAGUUUAUUUCUUUAUCCGGACAGGGUUUGAAGCAACAUUAAUAUUUUGCACUAAGCAUUAUGCAUGUACUAGUUCUAUGUAUUCAAAUUACGUGACAGUAAUCCACCAUGUGCUUUUCAACACAUACAGUGUUAACAUUUUCUUCAAAAUAAUUUCAGGAAAAAAACAAGCGGCAACCUCUCCCUCCAGGCCCAGCUCCGUGGCCAAUUGUCGGAAACCUUCCAGAAAUGUGGAGAAACAAGCCAACUUUCAAGUGGAUUCAUGGUCUCAUGAGAGAACUGAACACGAACAUUUGUUGCAUCCGUCUAGGAAAUGUUCAUGUUAUCCCAGUGACUUCGCCAGAAAUUGCCCUAGAAUUUUUAAAAGUUAAUGACUCAGUUUUUGCAUCAAGGCCCCUUACAAUGGGGACAGAGUACCUCAGCGGUGGAUUCUUGUCAAUAACAGUUGUGCCGUGGGGACAGCAAUGGAAGAAAAUGAGAAAGGUGGUAUCUUCUCAUGUGUUAAAUUCAUUAAGACUUCACUCUUUACUCGUUAAGAGAAGAGAAGAAGCUGACGAUCUUGUUAGCUUCGUUUAUAAUCAAUACUUUCGCAAUAACGUUGAUUCUGUCAUAAAUGUAAGACUUGUAGCUCGUCGUUAUUGUGGAAACGUGAUUAGGAAAAUCAUGUUUAGCAGGAGGUAUUUUGGUGAAGGAAAAGAUAGUGGAGGACCAGGAUUUCAAGAAGAAGAGCACGUUGAAUCACUCUUUAUUGUACUUAACCACAUCUACUCUUUCAUUCUAUCAGAUUACAUUCCUUGGCUGAGAGUGUUAGAUUUAGAAGGCCAUGAAAGGAUUGUAAGUGAUGCUAUGAGAACGAUCUCCAAGUAUCACGAUCCGAUUAUAGAUGAGAGGGUUCGACAAUGGAGAUGUGGGAAGAAGAAGGAGGCUGAGGACCUGCUUGACGCCUUCAUUUCAGCGAAGGAUGAAAAUGGGAAGCCAUGGUUAUCAGUCCCCGAGAUCAAAGCCCAAUGCACGGUAAAGAGAUACAAAGGAGAUUGCUGUUAUUUUUCCUUAAUAGUUUUUGUGUUUUACCAAUUAUUCCUUACAGUUCAUAAUAUCUUUAUAGUUUCUGAGUUUUACCAAUUAUUCUUAACAGUUUUCAUAAUAUUGAGCUACACAUCAAAACUUUAACUCAAAAAAAUGAUUAUUUUAUGGCCAGGAUGAGUUUUCUUAUGAAGUUUUGAAAUCAAAGGGAUCAGAGGUGGAAAAUUACUUGAGUUACUAAUUAACUCUACUAAAUCUAUUAAUGUAACCCCUGUCAAAUUUAUAAAAAUAACCUCCUAAACUCAUAUAUCCAUAAAGUUAACCUGUGUAUAUAUUUUACAAAAUGUUGAUGUGCUCGCUUUACAAAAAUAGAGAUUACUGAGUACUAGACCAGUCCUUUCUCACAAUAUUAUAUGUUUAUUGAAGGAAUUGAUGGUUGCAACAGUGGACAAUCCUUCAAAUGCAGUGGAAUGGGCAAUAGCAGAGAUGAUCAAUCAGCCUGAUAUCCUCAAAAAGGCAACAGACGAAAUAGACAGGGUUGUUGGAAAAGGGAGACUUGUUCAAGAAUCAGACAUCCCCCAUCUCAACUACGUCAAGGCUUGUUUAAGGGAAGCUUUUCGCAUUCAUCCCGUUGUACCAUUUAACGUACCUCAUGUCUCAACAUGUGACGCCACAAUUGCUGGGUACUUCAUUCCAAAAGGCAGUCAUGUUUUGCUAAGCCGACAAGGGCUCGGUCGGAACCCCGAAGUUUGGGAAGAUCCUUUAAAAUUCAAACCAGAACGCCAUAUUAAUUUGGCAGAUCAUCAUCAUCAAGUUGAGCUCACCGAACCAGAAUUAAAAUUCAUUUCAUUUAGUAGAGGAAGACGUGGUUGCAUGGGCGUGGCACUUGGGUCUGAGAUGACUGUAAUGUUAUUGGCAAGACUUCUUCAUGGAUUUGAUUGGAGCGUGCCAUCGAACGAGGAGAAAAUUGAUUUAGCAGAGUCGAAAUCUGAUCUCUUUAUGGCUAAACCCUUGCAUGCACGUGCAAUGCCUCGUUUGCCUGCUGAGCUAUACCCGGCCUAAUUCCUAAUAUAAAAUAUGUACCCAGUAUCGAAAUAAAAUAGCUGUCGAAAUACAAAAGUUCGAAGUAGAACAAAUAAUUGCUGAUGCAAACCAAGCCUUUGUUUUCAUGAUGUGAAUUCCAUGAAACAUGAAAAGAAUAAAUCAAUAAAUCGAAAUUAUGGGUAAAUUUUAUUACCAUGCGACUCUAUAAAUUAAGCCUCGGCUUUUAUGGCCACUUAUUUAUAGCAUUUGUUUUUAUAUCAAGAAAAUGUAUCAUCAUGCAAAAAUAUCGAUUACCUCAAUUCAGGCCCUUCUGGAAAGUUAAAAUUUGUGAUUGAGGAAGUAAAGAAAAGAAAAGAAAAGAAAAUAAAGAAAAACCGAAGAAGGUAAGAAGUGGCUCCUUGGGGGAGAGGGCGACCAAAGAAAUAGAAGAAAGAAAAGGGUGCGUUUUGUAUUAUUUUUCAAUUGGUAUUCUUUACAUUUAUUUUAGAGAAAAUGAUAUUUGAUUUUGAUCUUAUCUGCUCAAAAGAAAAUUUUAUUUAGUAACUUGUUUUAAAAUAGUAUGUAAAAAUAAAAACAGUGAAAACAUAUUUGGUUAUUUGAGAAAAGUAAAAUUACACUGUAUUUUUUAAUUUUUUCAUUAUAAAUUUAAUUAGAAUAAAAUGAAAAUGAACUUGUAAAAAAGUAUUUAAUUGCCUAUCACCAAUAAAACAACUUCAGAACUUAUUACUUUUUCUUUUUUUUUAACUGUUCAUAUUUUGUUCUUUCGAAAAAAAUAAAAAAAAUAAUCUGCCUUUAAUAUUUUAUGUAAAAGAAAUCUACAGAAAAAUUAUUAAGCAUAGUUAUUGAAUAUCAGUGAGCAAGACAGGGAUAACAAUAAGUAAAAUGAAAAAAGAUUAAAGAGUAUGAGAAGUCCUAGUACAUGGGCACCUAUAAGAGGAGAAAUUCUAGAGUACCUCUAAAUUACUAUAUCAAUUAUAUAAUAAGAAAUAUUUUGGUUUGUGCGUAUUUAUUUUGAAGAAUUAGCAUGCAAUUGGUGGUUCUAUAAAAUUCAAAUACAUGUUUCAUAUAUGCGUUCAGUGAUUGUAUUAUCUUUGAUGUAUUCUAAUAUUAGAGGUACUAUAUUAGCUAUAUAACAAAUAAAUGAAGCUAUAAUAUUUAUGUAUUUAUUUUGAAAACCAUUAUAAGUGGUGAUUCUAUUAAAUUUAAUUAUACAUGUUGUUGUGCGCAGAAUGCGGAAUCAAGUGCACCAAAUAAUCACAGCAAAAUAAAUGACACAAUAAUUUAACGUGAUUCGACAAUAUGCCUACAUCCACGAGAGCAAAAGAAAAAUAAUUAUACAGUAUAACCUCUAUAAAUUAAUAAUGUCGGGACCAUAGAAAUUUAUUAAUUUAGAGAGAUAUUAAUUAAUCGAUAAAUUAAUAAUUUAUUAAUUUAUAGAGUGUGUUUACAGUACAAAGAACUAACAUUUAAUUGACUGAAAAUUCAUUGUAUUUUACAAAUAUAAUCAAUAGACUUUAAAUAAAUUCAUCAAAUAAAUAAUGUAUACUUGAUUAAAUAAAUUCAUGAAUUUUACUAAAUGUAUUCCAUGAACUAAACUAGAUGUUAGUUAUUAAAUUGUAUAAAUUGAAUUAGAACUAAUCUAAUGUACCUAUCUACUUGAUUAAUUAAAUUCAUGUAUUUACAUAAAUUUAUCUAAAUGUAUUCAAUGAACUAAACUUCAAGAAGAUUUAAACUUAGAGAUGAGAUUCAACUAGAUUUAAACUUCAAGAAAAAACAAGUUACAAUAGACUCAUAUUUUAAUAAAUUGACAUAGUCAGUUACAUUUGUAAUUUCACAGUAUUUGUAAUUUCUACAAUUAUUAAUUUAUGAUAUAAAUGGGACCACAGAGUUAUAUAGGAGUUCUCAGAAAAACUAUUAUCUUAUUAAUUUAUCGAAAUUAUUAAUUUAGCUUUAGGGCCCAAGUCGGAACCGCAAAAAAUUAUUAUAUUAUAGAGAUUAUUAAUUUAUCGAGUAUUAAUUUAUAGAGGUUAUACUGUAUUACUAAUAAUUAUUUUGAGUACAAUAUUUUAGUAAAGAAACCUCACUUUCCAAAACCUAAAUACACUCAGUACUUUCACACACAUUUAAAAGGAAAAACCUCUCAAAUACACACGCUCUCUAAUUGCUCACUCUCUCAAAAAUUCUUCACUUGGAUUGUUUCUCUCAAUUUCGGGAUGCAUUCACCGAAGGAAUGCCUUGGUAUUUAGUGGAGAGCUUCUCUUCAUUCAGCUUAACAAUUGCAAGUACAUGCUCAACUUUCCAUUUUCAAAGUUCAUUUGGUGGGCACCGAAUUUGGUGUCCAUAUUUUUGCCAAUUUGUCAAAAAGCUUUCUUUUGACUUAUCAAUUUUCAACAAUUCUCCACUUCGGCGAAAUUUUGUCCAAAUCUGAAUCGAUUACCAAUGAACCAUCAUUCCAAAGUGGCUGCGUCUCUGUGGCUGUCUACGUACCCAAAAUUUGGGAUCAAGCUAAUUGUAGUUCACUUUUCUCCUGAAAAUUCAUCACGUUCUCAUGAUUUGAAUUAGUUUCAAGCAAUCUUGAAACUUAACUUCAGAAAUCAUCUUUGUCAACAUAUUUGAUGGAUUAUCCUUGGUAUCGAUCUUUUUCAACAACACAAUACCGCUCUCGAUAACUCCCUCACAUAGUAAUAUUUUACAUCUAUAUGUUUUGUUCGAGCAAGAUAUGUUUAGUUUUUCGCCAGGAAUAUCGUGCUUUAAUUAUCACAAAAGACCUCAAUGUUCUCUUGAAUUAAUCUCAAAUCACCUAACAAGUCUUUUAACCAAAUAGCUUCCUUUACAGCCUCAGUUGCUGCAAUGUACUUUGCUUCUAGAGUGGAGAGAGCAAUUGUCGAUUGUAGAAUCGACCUCCAACUAAUCGAACCUCCACCCAAAGUAAAUACAUAGCCCGUUGUUGAUAUUUUCUUAUCAAGAUCUUCGUGUCCACAUUUUUAAAAAAAUUGGCCAACAUUUGGCCAAUUUGUCAAAAAACUUUUUUUUAACUUACCAAUUUUCAUGUCAUAUAUGUCUAUUAAUUAAUUAUAAUACUUUUAAUUUAUUCUAAAAUUUCUCUCGAGAGUGGGUGGGGCCAUCUACAAGAUUAAAUUGAAAUUUUAUCCACAUUCGUCAUUCCAUAGCCAUAUAUGUGGUCUCAAACGGGCCACCACCAUAACUCCAAUUUGGUGAAAUUUUAAAUGAAAGAUCAGAAACAUAUUGGGCCUAUAAUAAACAAGUAUGAUGCAAAUGAAACAGAAAAACAUAAAUGGAUUUGGACGGACUGGUACCACCACAUCUGAUUUGGAGUACCUGUCCGUCUCUUUUUGAACAGAUAGAUAGCCAACUGAAAUAGUGAUUCUGCUUGCAGGCAAUCGCAAAGAAGCUAGCAGACCUCAGUGGCAAGGGCGUAACAACAAUCAUUGGAGGUGGAGACUCUGUUGCCACGUUGAAAAUGUUGGAGUUGCCAGUGUCAUGAACCACAUAUCAACUAGCGGUGCUGGUGGUGGUGCCGGUUUGGAGUUGCCGGAAGGCAAAGAGCUUCCAGUUGUCGUAGCUUUUGAUGAAGCUACACCAGUUGCCGUCUGAGAUCAAAAUUAUUAUUAUUUUCUUUGGGCCACUUGUCAUUUAAGUUUGUAAACGAGAAAUGAAACCGUGCAGGAAGAUAUGAGUUCAUCUUGUAAAUUUUCAUCUUUGUGAUCAAUGUAUGGUCCCAUAAUUGCAGAAAUUGCUACCAAAUCACUGUAUGGGUAGGGCAAACAGAGCCACCCAAUCUUUUUCAAGUAAAUUGGUUCAUUUCCUCUGUAUUUCCCAACCAGUACACAUGAUGUCAAUAUGAUACCUUGACGGAAAAAGACUUGUCAAGCAAGUCUGCUCACGUGAUGUUCUUGAGUUCAAGCCACAAAACAUCACCGUGAGUUCAAGCCACAAAACAUCACCGUGAGUUCAAGCCACAAAAAUUAUAGAUCUUUGUUGAUUUUUAGAUGCCUCUCAAUUUCUUUAAAGCCGCGAAAAUGACAUGUAAUGACUUUUAGACCCUACUUUCUGAAAGGCUGUUUGGUUCAUUUCAUUAUCUAUGAGUCAAUACAGAACAUAUCAUACUAUCAUACUCAUACUUUAUUAUUUGGUAUUGUAGUACGUUUCCUAUGUUCAUAAUUUUUUAAUAUCGAAUUUUAGUUGGCCCUAGUAGAGGGUCUCACUUAAAAGUCACACAUUGGAACCCACUUGGCAUAUGGUACUCCCCACCCAUUGACAAGUUGACAUAUGGAACCUUAUUAGUGAAAAUACCUAAACUCUAAAAUCUGCUUUAGAAUUCUAAUUCAAAAUUAUAUCCAAUUAAAAUUUUUAUUUUCCUCUUCCGCCUCCAUAAAUCAUUCAAAUUUUCACAUGAAAUAUUUCAGGAUCGGAAUUAUUUCAAGCUUUCAAUUUCCUAUUUUAUCACAUGUUGUUAUACCUUUUGCAUCACUGAUUCGUUUCUCUUUUUUGUUUUCAAGAAUUGUUUUGUUCAAAACUCAUUCUCUCUCUCCGUCUUUUCUUUUUCGCCGCUGCGGUUCCAAUAUCCAAGGUAAUGCAUUGGAUGGUUGGUGGCUGUAACUAAUUUUAACCUAUUGGCUGCAACUAAUUUUGAAUUUGAUAGAUAAUAAAAUUAUUUUUAUAUUAAUUUUUAUAUUUAAUUAGUUCAUGGAUAGGAAAUUAUUAAAAAUUCUUAGCUCACAAACCAAUCCACAAAAUGGUGAAUUAGAUAUGAAUUGGAUCAAAUUUGCAUCUAAUCCGCAGACGUAUAGAUUGAAUUUUACCAUUCCGUGGAUUGGAUUGGAUUAAAAAUUUAUAAUCCACAAAAUUCAAUCUACGAACACCCCUAAUUUACUCUUAAGACUCGAUUUUAGUAAGAAAUUAUGUACUUGCUUUCUGAAGCUGCAUUACAUCAUCUGGAAGGGGAUAUUUCCAUCGAUUUUAAUGUUUUAGUUUCAAGAGCAUUAAAAUGUCAGUUUAAUAUUAUUUUUGGAAUAAUAUUAAAGUGAACAUUAGAUCGUUAUCCAAUCUACAAAACCUGAAGAUUUCAUUAGAAGUGAGCAUUGCCAAUACCCUACUUCCAUUAUGACGAUCUGGAAGUGCUUCUCCAAGAUACUUCCGCACUUCAUUUGUAAGUACAUCUUCAAGCACAAUCAAGUACCUCUUGUUUUUGAGGUAAUCAUGAAGUGCAGUUUUCCUUUGUCGAAAACCUUUACCCAUAAUUUCCCUUAAUGCAGAUUGAGGCAUCAUAAUCUUCAAUAUGUUAUCCAAAAUUACGUAGGGAUCCAAGUUUGCGGACACCCAAGCAUGACAAUGAAAAUAACUUUUCACAUAAUCGCUGUUGUAAGCCUCUGCAGCAAAAACAGCCUUGUCGAACCCGUAGCUGUCAAUAACUGCAACCACAGAAAGCUGAGGAGGUCCCUCUAUCAAUUGAUUUAACAAUUCCUCCAUUGCAUCAUCCGGUAGACUCACGACUCACUUUGUCCCUCUGCAAUUUUAGCAAUAAAUCAAAUUUCAUGUACUCUAUCCAUAAACUGAAAUUAUUGACGUAGAAGCGGGGUUAAACUUGUUGCAUCUGUUGUUUAAUAUCAACGAAUUUACUUUCAAGUCCUCUAAGAGCAUCACACAGCGCUCCUUGGAACUUCUUUCACCGUUUUGUUGCAUGCUGCUCAUAAUGAACGUGUCAAUGGCUUUCUCAUAUUCAUGGACCAAGUAAUUGAUUUCUUUCAAAAUGCCCUGAAGUUUUGAUAGAGUAAUGUCUCUAUCAAGUUUAUAUACAAUCAGAACCAUUUCGACUUUAUAAUCCCUUUGAAAAGAAGAAUAAAUGGAUUCAAUCAUAGUUUGAAGCUUCUGAACUUGUUCCAUUGCAGUAUUCGGUAAAGGCAACAUUCUUUGUUCACUUGCCAAUAGCCUUUUCAACCUCUCUGAAAAUAAUCCGAGAUGCACGUCCAUGUCUCCCUCUCUCGCUACUAAAAUUGGAAUAGAGAAUCAGCCUGAAUCAGGGGAAGAAUCAGAGCACAACAGGGAAACUACUCUACACAUUCAUUUGCUCGGCAAUGAUUAACUAGAAAGCAAGCCAAGAGAUAGUAAAAUAGAAAAAUGUUAAAAAGGGAAAUAUGGUCUUGAAAAUUUAUUAUUAACCAAAUUAUUCAUGUAGAUGCAAUCAUAUUAAGGUCACUUACAAGCGAAAGCGAGAGAUAAACAAAAUUUCAAUUGGCCAUAAACAAGAUUUCAAGUGGCCUUUUGAGGAUCUAAACUAUGGAAUUUGAACAAAUUUCUUUGGAAAUUGCAGCAUGGAACUGAGUGUUGUGCCUCUCGUCAAGAACUUAUUAUGCACCCAAAUUCAAGACCAUUUUCCCCCAAUUCUACCUAUCCUAAUCUAUCCUCACGCUGCUACUUAUAAUCUAAUUAAUAAUUUAUAAUCCGUUACCGUUUGAAUGUACUCAAAGGUUUGACAAGACAAGUUUGGAAAGCCAAUGUGAUCUGGUGAGUACUAGUACUCAUCAUAUAGAACCUGGACACAUGGCACAAUUCUUUUUGACUUCUUAUGAGUUAAGUUGAAAUUAUAGAUUAACUAAACAACACCACAUGACAUUGAGGCUUACCAUAAGGUGAGCACCGUCGUGCCUACCAAUUCACUGCUCUAUAUAACGAUGUAUACAACAUUGCCAUUGACAUGCAAUUAUCUUCUCGUGAUUGCAAUCAAAAGAGACUAUUUACAUCAGCACGACAAUUAGAUUAAAUAGCUGCUUUAAAAUAUCGAAUUGAAAAUAUGCUCGUGCAUCGAAAGGAAAAUGGAAGGAAAAAUCAUUAAUUUAAGCAUUCAUGGCAAAGAGAAGCAACAAAAUAUGCUGGUUCAAGAAAAGAACAAUAUUGAAAAGAGUAUGACAUAAUAAAUAACCGAUGCCUUUCAUUGAUUUAAAAAUGAUUAGGUCAAAGCAAGCUGGCAAAAAGAGAACGUAAGGAAGGCAUCUCAUCAUCACUUAACAGCUAAAGGAAAUAAAGACAUUAGUUUCUUUUUUAAGUAAUAAAGAUUAAAUAUAUAUAUAUGUCAAUAACUCCUUACUUGAUUUGGUACCAUUCUCUCUUUAUUCGAGGAGAUUUCUCGUCUUCAUCCUACUAAAUUUAUUAAAGAAUUAGGGCAAAAUUUUUAAUGAGAUGGAGAAUGGGGGUAAGUCUCCCUACUCCCACCCCACCCUAUUGCCAUCUCUAAGGAAUGAAUAUAAAAGUUGUUUGGUACGAAGGAUAAAUAUUGUGAUUGGACAAGUUUUUUCUAAUCCCAAGCUUAUCCCAUGUUUGACAUGGUCAUCGAGCGAAUAUAAAAGUUGCGAAUUCCAUGUAGGACCAAUGUAUUAAUCAUCUUGAAGCAAUCUCAAUGGCCUUUAGACCAAAUGCCUCCAGCAAGAACGACAGGAAUCCAUUACAUUGAUGUUGUUACUGCUUUAUUUGUCAAGGUUGUAGAACUCAAAAAGCAAAUAGUAAAUAAGAACUCCAAUGUCAUGUUUGCUCCAAGUGAUGUAUGUGAUUUUUGUAGAGGCAUCCAUGCAAGUGAUGAAUGUCAAGUUGGAAAUUCUUUUGCACCAUCUACUACCGAACAAGCUCAUUUGGUAUCCAACUUAUCAACAUCAACAUAAUCUUUAUUCCGAUACCUACAAUCUAGCUUAGAGAAGCCAUCCGGAUUUUUCAUGGAGCAGCAGUCAAACUAGAGAUGGCAAUUUAGCCCGGACCCGGACGAACCCGGAUAAUCCAGUCCAGGUUGAACCUGUACUAGAUUAAAAAUAAAUCCGAAUCCGGAUGUGAUUUUUCCAACCCGGACGUUUCCGGGUCUGGUUCCGGGUUCACAUAAAUCCGCAUAUGAGGAACCCGGACCCGGAUGUCCUUAUUUUAAUAUUAUAUUUAAAUUAUUUUUUUAAUAUAAAAAGGGGAAAAAAGUCAAUAACCCUAGUUCACACUUUCACUUCACAGCCGCCAAUUCAUUCUUCUCCUAUAUCUUCACCUUUUCUCUUCUCUUCUCUUCAUCAAAUCAUCCUUUUCGUCUCUCUUCAGUUCUUCUCUUCAUCAAAUCGUCAUUGUCACUCGUCAUCACUUCGCAUCGUUGUGUUCCCGCUCAUCAUCAUCAUCAGCCUUCGUUUGGCAGUCGUUUGUCCAUCGCGAUCUUGGUUUUGGUUGCUGUUCAUCCGCCUUUUGCGAAUAACGCUCGCGGCUGUGAUGUGUUCAUCAUCAUCAUAUCAUCAACAGCUGCUGUUCGUUGCUUUACCAGACGCCGAUUGUUGAAGUUUGUGAACUAAAUCCGUGAAUCGCGGCUGUGAUGUGAAUUGUAGACAUGAAUUUAUAUUUUGUGAAUGUUAUAUCAUAGAUUUGUAUUUAUAAAUGGUUUAUUGCUUUGAAAUUUAAAAUGGUUUAUUGCUUUGUAUUUGAUUUGGGUUGAAUCUGGUUUUGUAAAUUCGUGAAGUGAAUUUGUUUUUUUUUUUUAUUUGUAUGUGAUCCGGGUUGAAAACCCGCAAUCCGGAAACCCGGAUUAUUCCGGGUUUAACCCGUACCAGACUCGGUGUCAUAAAAUCCGGGUCCGGUACAACAUUUUAGUGUCCGGGUCCGGAACCGGGAAGGCCAAACCCGGACCCGGUUUUUGCCAUCCCUAAGUCAAACUAUGGUGCAACCUUCAUUAAGGUUCUAGCCAUAAGAAAAGAAGUCCAAUCUGGAGAAGCUCAUCACAUAAUUAAUCACUAAAUCCAAGAUCAGGUUCCAUAAUCCAGAUGUUGCUAUUUAAAAUUUAGAAAAUAAUUUUACCCAGUUUAUAAUAAAGACUAAAUCAACUCUACAAAAUCAGGCUACAACUUUAUGAAAUAUUAAGGUUCAAAUGUAUUAGACGGUAAACUUAUUAUCCUACAGAACACAAAGCUCUUUCCUAAGCAACACCAAGAUAGUUUUAAAGGAGCAAGUGAAGGCAAUUACACUUAGAAGUAGUGAUGACAAUUUUUCCUAUUGGGAUGGAAUGCUCGUUUGGAACAGAAUUGGAACAUAUUUUUAUCACCCAAAAAAAUAAAGAGACGAGAAUGAGAUAUUUUUUAUUCCAUAUGCAUACACGAGACAUAAUUGAGAUUGGUAAAUCUUGUCCCAUCCUAUCCCAUUGCCAACCCUAGUUGUUGGUUUCCUUUAUUAUUAGAUUAUUGAAUUAUUGGAUAUUUUAAUAUGGUCUAAGUUAGUUAUUGCCCAAAUUUAUAGUUUUUGAAGCGUAAGUCUUAAUAUUAAUAUGCAAUGGAAUCAAAUAGACAAAUAGAAAAUGUUAGCAUAAAAUUAUAUUCGAACAUGUAUGUAGUCAAAAUAAAACUAUUAUUUGAUUAUUCUACUUUGUAUUUAUUCAAGAUUUUUACUAUAUUGAAUUAGGAUGAUCCUUAAAAGAAAAAAAAGUCAAAAUUUAUUUAUUUAUAUAUUUGGAACUGUUUAGGAUAAUAGGAUGGGACAUGAUAUUUAACGGGAUUGGAUUAAGAAAAAUUUUUGUCUCAAAAAAUAAAGGGAUAAGAAUAGGACUUUUUUUAUCCCACUAAUAUAUACGGGACAGAAUUGAGAUUGACAAAUCCCUUCUCAUCCCGUCCCACUUAAAAGUGGCAAACAAUUUGAAGAUCCAUAAAGUGUAUUAAAAGAAGCUAAAGAGAACAAGGUGGAACUAGUUAAAGAACCACCAACACCACCAAGAUUUCAUAGGUGAAAAAUUCGAAAAUUCUACAAUCCCAACCAACAACACGUGGCAAGACCUACGUUUCUCCUGUCCCUUUUCCUAAGCAUCUCCAGAAAAAUAAAUCAAAAUAUAUGUCAUUUUAUUUAUUAACCUAUAGAUCAUAUGACAUUUAUCUGUUUUACUUAACAAACUACGCGUCAUCUAUUCAGUUGAAUCUCAUAUGAUGUUAAUAAACGUAAGAAAUUAUUUAUUUUUAAUUAAUUACAUAGAAUAAUAACUUAUUUUAAUUAUUCAUAUAUUUUUACAUGUUUGUUUUCUCUAAUCACGAACAUAAGUUAUUUGUAUAUUUGAAUAAAAUUAAGAUAAAACUUUAACUUUAUACACACAUGUAUAUACACACUUUGGCCUAAAUCUAGGAAAAUGAUUUUAAUCUCUCAGUAGGCUCAUUCUAAAUUUAGUCAAAUAAUGUAAAUUAUAUGUUAUAUGUAAUACAUUUUAUUUGAAAUAUUGAUUUUUUUCAUUGUAUUAAAAUAUGUAGAUAGUUAUUUAUAAAACUAAAAUUAAAACUAUUGGCUAAACCAAAAGAAAAUUAAAGAUAGACUAUUUGUCUUAAUUUUUUUUUAAAAUUAUACUUUGCAGAAAUUGAAAAAAAAAACUAUUAAAAGGACCGCAACUUGCUACCUUAAAGUUAAGAGGGGAGGGGAUGCCGAUCACCUAAUCAAUACAUAAAUUAUUGGCAACACUAUCAGUUACGCUAAGUAGUAUAUAGCGGUUAUCAAUUUUCUAUGAUCACGUUUUAAGGUCUGCAACAUUGACUCAAACAUUUUCGUUUUUCAUCACUUCAGUUUCUUGCAUUUUGCAUUGAAAGUGUUUGGGUUGGAUUUCUCCUCGCCGUCAGAAAGCUCAAUUCAAGGCUGCCUUAAAGGCCCGGCCAUUCCUACCUUGAAACAAUGGCCCGAAAGCCCGUGAGUUUUAUCCCUAUUAAAUAAUCUGUGUGAAAUUUAGCUUUAUCCCUAAAUUACUCCCAACUUUCAAAACCGAUGGACGUUAGAGAAAAUUUGUGGAAAAAUAAGAGAAAUGCUGAAAGUUUUAUUCAAUAAGGAAAACUACAAAAAAUUAAUUUGUACUUCAAGAUAUGUUAUAUACGAUACUUUUCUUAAGAAGUUAUUUGUCGUACCAAUUGAAUGAUGUAAAUGAGUUAGGUAAAUAGGCCUUCAAUUAUAGUGAAACUAGAAAAUAGAACCGCGUUUCACGCGACUUUAAAAAAAGAAUUUAGUAUUAUCAUUUUUUCUUACUUUACACUUGAUGAAACUGAUAAAAAAUAUGAAUUGAUUUUUUUUUUAAAAUGAGGCAGCCUUAUAAAAAAAAUAAAAAAAGCUAUUAGCCAGCAAUACAAAUAAAGAAGCAAUGCAAGAUAAAGAAUAAAAUGAGAGAAUAUAUUAUUAGAGAGAUUUUAUUCAUUCCAAUUGUGUGUGUACAAAACAAAAAAUGAGCUCUCCUUUUAUAGUUACAUAAUCACUCCAUGAAAUUAAUGAAAAUUUAUGGAUCAUAAUUCCUUGUGAGAUAGUGGGAGUUAUAGGGAAGCUAAAGGUUGUUAAUGGGAGAUAGUGGGGAGACUAAGAGAUAUAUGUUAUGAACAUCUACAUUUAUUUUAAUAAAUUCAUAACACUCCCCCUUGGAUGUUCAUUACAAAGAAUGUGCCUCAUUAAAACAUUUACAUAAUUGUUAUUGUGUAAUAACAAUUAAAUUAAUUAUGAGAAGAUGAAAAGCCAAAUCUAAAAGAAAAUUUCUCUAUUUAUUAGAUAAUAGAGAAUAUACAAAGAUGAGAAAUGGUGAUGCCACAUCACCUCCUCAAGUCUCAGCUUUAUAUAGAUACUAGGAAAUAAAACCACGCUUCGCGCGGCUUUAGAAAAUGAAUUUAAUAUUAUCAAUUUUUUUUUUACACUCGAUAAAACUGAUAAAAAAUAUAUAUUGAUUUUUUUUAAAAUGAAGCGGCCUUAUAAAACUAAUGUUAUUUAUGAAAGUUAACUACUGUUUUGUUAACGUUAAAAAUAUAUAUUAACGUGUAUAGUCUAAGUGUACAGACCUUAUACCUUUUGUAGUUGAUAAGUUCCAAAUUAAAUUUUGUAAUUGAGGAUCCUUAGCAAUGCGUUGAAUUAUAAAAGAAAUAAGUAAAAUACAUGUAAAGACUUUUACUAACUUGCACAACAUUGGAGAUGGUAGAAAAUCUUUCAAUUAAUGAUGCUACACAAUCUAUUUGAAGAUUUAUGUAGAUUUUGCUUGCACUUGUGGCAGAGAAAUUAACCUCACCUGUUUAGAGCAAAUGUAACCUAAAACGAAACUUGAACAGAAUCCAAAAUUGUGUAUAAUAUUAAAAUAGCCACAUUGCAUUUGAAAAUGUUAAUUAGUGGGAUCUAAAUAAAAUAAUCACCUUGGAAUUUUUUAAUGGUCGUAGAAGUUACUAUCACAAUACAAGGACCCUCGUCUUUUUUGUAUAAGUUUGGAUCAAACAUCUCCCCUAACUUUCCCCAUAAAGUAAUCUUUGUUGUUACCGAGCUAUCCAUAAAAAUUAACAAAAGUUAAUAAUGUAAAGAGAACCAAUAAUUAAAAAAUAACAUAAAUAACUAAAAAAUAUAAAGUCGUAGUUUUCUUGAUUAUAUUCAACUUACUAAUCCGUUAGAAUUUUUAUAUCUAUUUUUUUCCAACCAACUCCAACGAUCUCAAUAUCACCCACACCACAUAAACUUCCGAUAACAUCUGUAAUAUUAUGGAAAAAUAACAUAAACAUGUUAAAACAUAAGGAUUAAUAAUUUCUAAUAUACACUUAAAGAUUAACAAACAUUAAUAAUUAAAAAAAUACCUGAGAGGAUUGUGUUAUCAUUCACACGUAGAUCAAUCAAAUUCGGAGAUAUGAAUUAAAAUUCAUUAAUCGGAAUCUUGACAGUUCCUUCUUCUAAUCUCUUAAGAGAAGUUAUAACUAAGAAAAUAAUCUUAUACUGAUUUGAAAGUGGUCUGUACUCGCCUGUAGUUGAAACAACUUUCAAAUUCUUGACAUUGUACAAAGAACCCUCACUCAACAUGUGCUUAAACCUUGUCACUAAAGUUUUCCUGAUUGUUGCAUGCAUUAGAUUUUCCUACGAAAAAAAAAACACAUACUACAUUAAGUGUGAAACAAUUGGGAAAAAAAUUAGAGAAAACAAUGGGAGAAUGAAUUUUUUAUACAACCUUUUCAUCAAUAAAAAUCAUGUCAACACUAAUCAAUUCUCCAUUUUGAAAUGCAAGUAACGCAACCCAAGAGGGGGGUGAAUUGGGUUUUUAAAAUUAAUGCAAUACGAUUCGCACAAUAAAUCAAUCUAACGCCUUAAUGAAAUAGAGAACAAUAAAUUCAAGCAAGCGUAAAAAUAAAAGAGCAAGGGAAGAGAAAAACAAACACGCGGAUUUUUACGUGGUUCGGCAAUCCCCGCCUACGUCCACGCCUCCAAGCCAACCGAGCUUGAGGAUUUCACUAUCUAAACCUCCCAAGGCUUCAAGUUUUUACAAUUGACUUCCAAGGUGUCAAUGAACCUUUACAACCAAAAGAUUAUCUCCCCAAUCUCUUUACCCCAAGUGUUUCCCACACUUAAACACUCACAAUUUGGUAAGGAAUGAAAAUUACAACAAAAACUCUCUUUAAGAGUUGAUAUGCAACUAAUAACUCAACAAUGAUUCAAUCAAUAAUGAUUUGUGUUUUGGAAGCUCAAUAUAUGUUGUAUGAUCUUAUAUUUGCGUGUAUUGGUUCUUAAAAAGAAGUUUGAGUUGAGUUUUUAUAGUGGAAGCCCAAAAACUAGCCGUUAUAGGCAAAUUCCAGCGCUCAAGCGGUUAGCCGUUUGAUUUAUCCGGCUAGCCGCUCAGGAACAGUAAUACUACCGUUAUUUUUUGAAUUUGCUACAGUAACACUGUUCAUUGAAAUUACACUUUGGCCCAAAACUUUCUAUAAUUAUAUUAUGGCCCAAAACGUCAGAAAACUUUGCAAAUAGAUCCAAUUUCAGAACUUCUCAAAAAUAGUUGUAUUUCCCAAACUUUUUAAAAUUAUGAUAUGGCCCCAAUGAUUUUAUUGUUUCGCACAAAGGUCCUUUUCAACAUAAUACCCAUAUUUUUCAAAGUUCUCAAAAUCUUUCACUUUAGUUCAAAAUAUUCAUAAAUUAUAGUAUGGCCCAAAAUAUUUAAAAUGUUUGUAAAAACAUCCAACUCCGAAAUUUGAUACUUAUUAAAAUCAAAGAUUUCAAAUCUUAGCAUUUAAGUCCAAUUUACUCAAAUCCACAAAAUACUUUACUUUAUAAAAAUAAAAUAUUUUAGUUUAUGAAAAGUAUUUAAUUAAAUUAAUCUCUUGAGCUUCUCAAAUGCUAAAUCAUGCAUCAAUUAAAUCAUACCGGCUUUACAAGAAUUUGUCGCAAUAAUUCGUCCGUUGAGCUCUAAGCUUUAUUCUUGAUUUCGCCGUUGUCCGUUGAGUGUCUUCAAUCUUGAUUUCACUUGAUUCACUAGCAUAAAUAUUAUCCUUCAAAAACUAGUGUAAAUGUGAAAUACAAUAUUUAUUAUUUUUACUUAAGACACAUGUUUGUUAUCAUCAAAAUUACAUUAUGUGUAGCCAUUUAGGCUAACACAUUUUUUUUAGUAUUAGUAGACUCCCAUAUCCUACAAAGUCUAACCCUUAUCAUCCAACUAUCUUUAUCAUUGUUCAACUAAUGAAGAAAAGAGUACUCCAUGAAGCACACAAUACCAAAAAUUCAAAUAAAUCAAACAAUAAAAAUACAAGUAUUUUUCUAAAGAGGGUGUUGAUUAAAUAAAUUAAAAAAAAAACUAAACAUAACAAAUCUUAAAUAUUUAGUGUUUAGAGAGCUUGAAGAAGCCAAAAGGCACUAAACAAAAGGUUGCAUAAUUAAAUAUGAGAUUAUGACAUUAAAAUUAGGCUCUAGUGGCAUUGUUGAGGGAAGAUGAAAGAACCUCUCUUCCUAUGUUAAUUUGUUGAUGUAUUUUAAGUUACUAAAGUUUAAUUGCUAGCAUAAUAAAAUUUGAAGGAGCCAAAAGACACUCAACAAAAGGUUGCAUAAUUAAAUAUAUGAUUAUGACAUUGAAAUUAGGCCCUAGUGGCAUUGUUGAGGGAAGAUGAAAGAACCUCUCUUCCUAUGUUAAUUAAUUCAUGUAUUUUAAGCCACUAAAGUUUAAUUGCUAGCAUAAUAAAAUAAAUGAAUGCUUCAAAAGACUUAUAAUUAAUUAUUAUUAAUGGUUACAUAUUGUUAGAUUUAAAUAGAAAGAGGAAGAAACAUGUACAAAGAAUAUCCACCAAUAUUUUAGAUAUUUUAGAUAAUAGAAAAUAUAAAAAGAUGAGGUUGAGGGAAGAUGAAAGAACCUCUCUUACUAUGUUAAUUAGUUGAUGUAUUUUAAGGCACUAAAGUUUAGUUGAUAGCAUAAUAAAAUUUGAAGAAGCUAAAAGGCACUCAACAAAAGGUUGGAUAAUUAAAUAUGAGAUUAUGGAAUUAAAAUUAGGCCCUAGUGGCAUUGUUGAGGGAAGAUGAAAGAACCUCUCUUCCUAUGUUAAUUAAUUGAUGUAUUUUAAACUACUAAAGUUUAAUUGCUAGCAAAAUAAAAUAAAUGAAUGUUUCAAAAGACUUAUAAUUAAUUAUUAUUAAUGGUUACAUAUUGUUGGAUUUAAAUAGAAAGAGGAAGAAAUAUGUACAAAGAAUAUCCACCAUUCUUCCUAUGUUAAUUAGGUGAUGUAUUUUAAGGCACUAAAGUUUAAUUGAUAGCAUAAUAAAUUUUGAAAAAGCCAAAAGACAAUAAAAAAAGGUUGCAUAAUUAAAUAUGAGAUUAUGGCAUUAAAAUUAGGGCUUAGUGGCAUUGUUGAGAGAAAAUGAAAGAACCUCUCUUCCUAUGUUAAUUAAUUCAUGUAUUUUAAACCACUAAAGUUUAAUUGCUAGCAUAAUAAAAUAAAUAAAUAUUUCAAAAGACUUAUAAUUAAUUAUUAUUAAUGAUUACAUAUUGUUGAAUUUAAAUAGAAAGAGAAAAAAAGUACAAAGAAUAUCCACCAAUAUUUUAGAUAUUUUAGAUAAUGGAAAAUAUAAAAAGAUGAGAAGAUGAAAAAUUAAUCACUCAAUUGAAUUAAUGAAAAAUUAUGGAUCAUAAUUCCUUGUGAGAUAGUAGGAGUUAUAGGGAAGCUAAAGGUUACUAAUGGGAGAUAGUGAAGAGACUAAGAGAUAUAUGUUAUGAACAUCUACAUUUAUUUUAAUAAAUUCAUAACACUCCCCCUUGGAUGUUCAUUACAAAGAAUAUGCUUCAUUAAAAUCUUUACAUAAUUGUUAUUGUGUAAUAACAAUCAAAUUAAAUAUGAGAAGAUGAAAAGCCAAAUCUAAAAGAAAUUUUAUUUAUUUAUUAGAUAAUAGAGAAUAUACAAAGAUGAGAAAUAGUGAUGCCACAUCACCUCCUCAAGUCCCAGCUUUAUAUAGAUAUAUAGAUAUAAUUCAUGUAUUUUAAGCCACUGAAGUUUAAUUGCUAGCAUAAUAAAAUAAAUAAAUGUUUCAAAAGACCUAAAAUAUUGUUGAAUUUAAAUAGAAAGAGAAAAAAAGUACAAAGAAUAUCCACCAAUAUUUUAGAUAUUUUAGAUAAUAGAAAAUAUAAAAAGAUGAGGAAUGAUAUAUAUUAAUAAAGUUACUAUUUAUUAAAUGAGUUAAAUAGAAUCAAAUUAAUUAUGAGAAGAUGAAAAGCCAAAUCUAAAAAAUAAUUCUCUAUUUAUUAGAUAAUAGAGAAUAUACAAAGAAGCAAAAUGGUGAUGCCACAUCACCUUCUCAAGUCCUAACUUUAUAAAUGAAAGAACCUCUCUUCCUAUGUUAAUUAAUUCAUGUAUUUUAAGCCACUAAAGUUUAAUUGCUAGCAUAAUAAAAUAAAUAAAUGUUUCAAAAGACUUAUAAUUAAUGAUUACAUAUUGUUGAAUUUAAAUAAAAAGAGAAAAAAAAAGUACAAAGAAUAUCCACCGAUAUUUUAGAUAAUAGAAAAUAUAAAAAGAUGAGGAAUGAUAUAUAUUAAUAAAGUUACUAUUUAUUAAAUGAGUUAAAUAGAAUCAAAUUAAUUAUGAGAAGAUGAAAAACCAAAUCUAAAAAAAAAUUCUCUAUUUAUUAGAUAAUAGAGAAUAUACAAAGAAGCAAAAUGGUGAUGCCACAUCACCUCCUCAAGUCCUAACUUUAUAUAUAUAUAUAGAUAUAGAUAUAGAUAUAAUUAAUGUAUUUUAAGCCACUAAAGUUUAAUUGCUAGCAUAAUAAAAUAAAUCAAUGUUUCAAAAGACUUAUAAUUAAUUAUUAUUAAUGAUUACAUAUUGUUGAAUUUAAAUAGAAAGAGAAAAAAAACUACAAAGAAUAUCCAUCGAUAUUUUAGAUAUUUUAGAUAAUAGAAAAUAUCUAAAGAUGAGGAAUGAUAUAUAUUAAUAAAGUUACUAUUUAUUAAAUGAGUUAAAUACAAUUAAAUUAAUUAUGAGAAGAUGAAAAGCCAAAUCUAAAAAAUAAUUCUCUAUUUAUUAGAUAAUAGAGAAUAUACAAAGAAGCAAAAUGGUGAUGUCACAUCACCUCCUCAAGUCCUAGCUUUAUAAAUGAAAGAACCUCUCUUCCUAUGUUAAUUAAUUCAUGUAUUUUAAGCCACUAAAGUUUAAUUGCUAGCAUAAUAAAAUAAAUAAAUGUUUCAAAAGGCUUAUAAUUAAUGAUUACAUAUUGUUGAAUUUAAAUAGAAAGAGAAAAAGAAGUACAAAGAAUAUCCACCAAUAUUUUAGAUAUUUUAGAUAAUAGAAAAUAUAAAAAGAUGAGGAAUGAUAUAUAUUAAUAAAGUUACUAUUUAUUAAAUGAGUUAAAUACAAUGAAAUUAAUUAUGAGAAGAUGAAAAGCCAAAUCUAAAAAAAAAAUUCUCUAUUUAUUAGAUAAUAGAGAAUAUAUAAAGAAGCAAAAUGGUGAUGCCACAUCACCUUCUCAAGUCCUAACUUUAUAUAUAUAUAUAGAUAUAGAUAUUUUAGAUAAUAGAAAAUAUAAAAAGAUGAGGAAUGAUAUAUAUUAAUAAAGUUACUAUUUAUUAAAUGAGUUAAAUACAAUCAAAUUAAUUAUGAGAAGAUGAAAAGUCAAAUCUAAAAAAACAAUUCUCUAUUUAUUAGAUAAUAGAGAAUAUAUAAAGAAGCAAAAUGGUGAUGCCACAUCACCUCCUCAAGUUCUAACUUUAUAUAUAUAUAUAGAUAGAUAUAGAUAUAGAUACUUGUUUUAUUAUUUCGAUUGUGCACCGAUGAUAGAAAACUCAAAUAGUCUUGAAUGUUGUGAAUCUAUAUUAUUAUUGUAGAAAGCAAUACAUAUUGAAGAUUUGAUGCAAAAAUAAAUAAAUAAAUUAUUUAUGCAGAAAUUUGUUUUAGGAAGAUGGUGGAAGAAUAGAGAGGUGCAGGAAGGUUUCUUGGAUAAUUCAAACUGAAAUUAAAAGGGAAAAAGGGGGAAGGGGGGGGGGGGGGGGGAGGGGGGAAAAACCCGGCCCNNNNNNNNNNNNNNNNNNNNNNNNNNNNNNNNNNNNNNNNNNNNNNNNNNNNNNNNNNNNNNNNNNNNNNNNNNNNNNNNNNNNNNNNNNNNNNNNNNNNUUGGUAAUGAAUAUUCUCUCACCUAAAUCAUGUAAAAGUUUACAAGUCUCGUCACCAUAUUCAAAGAUAAAAUUAAAAACUCAAGUUCAAGUUGCCGUCAUCUUUUUAUUAGGUAGCUAGGAUGUGUAGAGGAAGGAAUAAAUUAAGAGCUUUGAGCUCUCUUGUAAUUGGCCAAAUGGCUAGAUUUAGAAAAUCAACUUCUCUUUUAAUAUUCAACAAACCCUUAUAAUAAAUAUAUUGAUGUUUCAUUGUCACUCUUAGUCCAUUCUUUUGUUAAUGGUAUGGAAAUUUUAAUAUUGUUAGUGACAUGGAGGUCCAAUAUUUUACAGACCUCUCUACUUUGGAUAUACAUUCCAUUGACAGCACUUGAGUUGCUUAAGUUGCUUUUGCUAAAGCUCUCCACUACCACUAGAAACUCUUCCUCUAAUUAAGCACUAUAGUUAAUAAUUAAGUCUAUCUUGAGGCAUCGCAAACUCGCAUGCAAGGUUUUAUUUAGAAUAAAUUACAGACAAUUGCAAGUUGCCAAAGUAGUAAUAAUUAAUUGAAAUUAACAAGCCUUCUUAUAUUAAAUGCUAUAAUGGUAACGUUAUUAUAAAUAUUAAAGAAUGGAGGAGACAUCGUCCUUUGCUCGAUUCCAACCACACACUUAAUUUCUUCGGGGAAAAAAAAAAAUCGUACAAUUUAUUUGUCAGUUUCAAACUUUUGUCUCAACCCGUUGGAACUUAUCUUUAAUUAGGGAUGGCAAUAGGGAGGGGAGGGGAGGGGACCAAUCUCUCUGUACCCAUCCCCGAUAUUUUGUGUAUGUCCCCGUCCCCUCUCCGUUCCCGUCAGAAUUACUUGAGAGAAUCCUCAUCCCCUCCCCGAAUAAUAACAGGAGAUCCCCGAGGGUCCCCGAUCCCCGAAUAACUAAUACAUUUUUUUUGUUUUCGAUUUUGAGUUAAUCAUAUUAAAAUAAAAAAUUCAAAUAAAAGUAAAGUUCGAAAUAUAUCUUACAUUAAUAUCCAUUACAAAAAUCACAUACAUUAAAUUAGUAAGUAACGCAACAUGCAAGUGAUACAAACUUCUUUUAGAAACUAUCAUGAACACAUUAAUAGUCUAAUACAAAAUUAUUACAAAUAAAAUCGAAUUUAAAUUCAAAAUAUUAGUAAGUAACACAACAUGCAAGGGAUACAAACUUCUUUUACAAACUAUCAUGAACACAUUAAUAAUCUAAUACAAAAUUGUUACAAAUAAAAUCGAAUUUAGAUUCAAAAUUAACUUUUUCAAUGGUGGCGUGGACACUUUAUAAAUGCAGACUAUUCCCUUUACAACACAAUAGUUAAAUCGGAGCAAAUCAAGAGCAAAUAUUAGAUUAGAUUAGAUUAGAUUAGAUAUUAAAAUUGUGAUUCACUGUGGGCAAUUAUAACAUCUAAAAAUAAAUAAAAAAUAGAUUUAAGUUUAAAAUAUUUAAAGAAUAUUAAAAUAAAAUAAAAAAUUGGGCUAAUAGAAUCUACUCGGUCUUUUUAAUGUCCUAAAUAAAAAUUUAGGACUUUAAUUAGUUAAUUAGCCUAAAAGUUUAAUAAUAUAAAUAUUUUGAUAUUUUUUAUUUUUACCAAUAUUUAUAAUUUUAUAAUUUAUAUACUAGUAAUUUUAAAAAAUUAAAAUAAAAUUAAAAAUUAAAAUAGGGAAAUGGGUAGGGGAUGGGGAUUCCACCUCAUCCCCGUCCCCUCCCCGAAUAAAAAAUUGGAUAAAAAAAUUUCUCCAUCCCUUCCUCGAAUAAGAAAUUGGGUAUAAAAUUAUCCUCAUACCCUCCCCGAAUGGGGAAAAUCCCCGAGGGUAUCCGUCCCCGUGGGGAUUUUUGCCAUCCCUAUCUUUAAUAUUGCUGUUGGCCUCUCACCAAUCAAUUCAAGUUCCGGGUCAUGCUAUAAGAAAGAAGUUGAUUGAUUUAGAUGAGUUAUAUUCAAUCCAUGUUUUCAUAUAUAUAUUUUGUAGAUAUUGAUAGUUUGCCCAUCUGAUUUGGACAACAGGACAAGCCUAAUUAUUCCUUACACCAUGCCAAAACAAUAUAAAUUCAUUAAGAGCUAGAAAAAAAAAAAAACUUGUUAGGUUCACGACGCUAAACUGAAAAUAGUGUCAUAGUGAGCAAAGGGUAUAUGGAAAAAAAAAUGGACUUUUAUUUUUUAAUUAAAAAAUAAAAAAUAAACAGACUUAAUGAUUUAAUUAAUUUAUCUUUUUUUAAAAAAUAAUUCUUUGAUAAAAUCUUCUCGCAGAGAAUUUCAGCCUCUACUUCUUUUAAAGAAUCAUAUAUAUUACAAAAAUAUAGUAAAUUUAAGAAAGCUACAUGUGUGGACAUUUCACUCUCCAUAUCCUUAAACUUAUGUUUAAAAAAAGCAUAUAAAAAUGAUGUUAUAUGAUUAUAGUAAGGGCAACAUAAACGUUGGUAGGGACUUCACUAAUUUAGCCUUCUGGAUGAAGGGUCAAUUUCCCCUUAAAGGCGAUAGGAAUCUCUCUACCACCACAAGCCAUGAAUAAAUUCAGAAAAAUUAAUUAAUGGUGUUUAUGGUUGCAUUUAAAACUUAGAUUAGUGGCAUAUAAAGUAGAAGUUUUCUAACUGUCAAGUGCAAUAGUGCCAUGAAGCCGAUCCCCUUUUACAGAAAUUGACGAAAUCAAACAGAACUUGACCAAAUUUAAAAGCAUAUAGCAAAAACACUUCUUUAGAAGCAUAGUAGAAAUAUAUUUAAUAAGCUAAGUAAUAAGUAACAAACACUUACUUAAUCGACUUUAAUAAAAGGAAGGUAAUAGCCACCCUUGAAAAUAAGUAAUUCCAUCUCUAGUAGUACAUCACAAGUAAUUUCGUAGUUAGUGAAUUCUAUAUAACGUAUAAAAUUGUUUAUUCAAUCAUCCCAAUAUCCAAUAGAUUAAUGGAAAGGAUAGCAUUACUCUUUCAUAUCAGGGAGCAAUUGUGUAUUAAAUUUCCAUGUUUCCCUUAGUAUAUAUUUAUAAUCAUUCUCUAGUAUAGGCGUCUCUUUUUUGUUUUUUUUAAUGCAGACAUAUUUUAAGUCAUUGAGUUUAAUAGAGUCGGAUUUUAAUGCUAUUAAACCAAAUGGCUUAACAGUGUGUCCACAUUUAAAAAAAUGAGGGUGCCCGCAUUUAUACACACACACACACACUUUUCUGCUUUGGUGGUUUACCUGAUUUUAGGUUUGAGAAAAACUUAGAACCUUUCAGAUAAUAUUCAACUUAAUUACUAAUUUUUUAAGUUUAAAAUGAGUAUAUUCACUACACUCACUCUCAGGAGCCUAGUUUAUUAGUUUUUAAGCACUUUUAUUUUGUUAACCUUCCAAGUUUAAAUCCUAGGGAGGUUAAAGAAUAAAAAAAAAAAAUGAUUUAGGCUUUACUCACCCUUCCACCUUUUAAAAAAAUAAAAAUAAAAUUAUUCUUCACACUUGAGCUAGAUUGAUUUUAGAAAACCAAAAGCAAACUAGAUUUUAUUUUGUAAAAUCACAGUGACAUCAAUUACAUAAAAAAGCAAAAAAAUGGAUUUAUUCCAAUAUGUGUGUGUGUGUGUGUGUGUAUUCCGGCUCGAUGUUUUGGGAUUCAAAGUGGAUUCAGGCGUUUAACAUGAGAGUAUAUACCUGUUGUAGUUUGUCGUUUCAUCUAAAAAUAGAACACUCAAGCCAUGUUAAAACUUUCAAUAAUUUGUCAUUUCAUCCGGAACUUAAUUCUUUUGAUCUAGGGUUGACAAGGAAGCUCAAUCCCAUUAAUGUCCAACUAUAAACCCACCACUCAUUUCCAUAACCAGAACUGACGUGGAGUCUUUUUGCUUCUAAUGGCCAUGCCACGAGACGGAUACACACCACUCUAAAACCAAAACCAAAACCACUGUUUGCAGCUAUGUGAUGAAAAUAAUAUGUAAUGUGAUACAUCCACUCAUAUGCUUUCAUUGUUGCCAAAAAUAGUAUAUGAUAUGCCAUCCCCGCAGCCCCGCCACUAGUUUAAUUAGUCAUUCUUCUUACUAUUAAAUGUUUUUGGAUGAUUAAGAUAAUACUAAAAUUACUCAGCAGUCAGACACAACAAUUAGUGAUGGCUACAUCACCAAAAAGCUUUCAAGGGAAAAUGAUCGAAACAAAUGAAUAUUCCCAUGUUGUUACAAUAAAUAUAUGAAUACCUCCCUCAUGUUUAAAAAUUCAUCAAAAAAACCUUGCCGUUAAAAAAAUGGCUAACUCUCACUUGUUUGUGUCGUUAACUAUUUUAAGGGUAAAAUGAAAAAACAAACAAACACAACAGAGAAGUGAGUCACUUUUUUAACAGUAGGGGAGUUUUAUGGAUUUUGAAACAUGAGGGUAAAAAAAAAUAUUUGUGAAAAAAAUAGGGGGUUUUGAUAAUUUUCUCAUCUUUCAAUUCCUAUAAAUUUCCCUCCUCCCAGAGCCCCUUCAAGCCUGCACCAGAUGCACUUUAAAAAACAGUGCUUUUCUUUCAACAGGUGUUUUUCUAUUUUUAGUGUUUCGACAAGAAACAAAAAAUGUCUUCCAUUGGAGCCAGUUGCGCUGAAGUUUAUGUGAGGAGAAAGCAACAAAAGGAGAAGCUAAAAAGAAUGGAAGAACAAAGAGUGAGGAGAGGUGAAGUUAUUAACAAUGAAGAGAGAAAUAACAAUAGUACUAAUAAUAAUAGUUAUCAUAAUGACAAUAAUAAAGCUGCGUUUGGAAGGAGAAGCAUUAAAGUUCAUCCUGGGAAUAUUCAAGGCUAUGAAUCCGGUAACGUAGCUGCUUAAUUAUGCAUGUGCAUGGCAGAAGGAACUUGAUGUUGGUGAUGACGAAGUUUGUAUAUGUCUCUUGUGAAAUAUUUCAUGCUUUUGAUUUGUCUCUUUUGUGUGAAGCUUAAUUACGUACAUUUUGAUUCGAGUGUCGUUUGUCAUUUAAGGUUUGAGUUUUCCUUUAACGUUUUCAUCAUCUUGUUAAAUCUCAUCUUUCAAUGUUUUAGCUUCUGAGUUAUUGUUCGUUUUACUUAAAGUGGAGUCACUUGUUUGGAUUCUUCUAUUUGUAAUCUGUACUCUUCUUGUAAUAAUUACGACUCUUGACAUGUGAAUUAUAUUUGACUCAACUUUACUUGAUCUCCAAUAAUUUUCUUCAUGAUUUAAACAAAAACGAUUACGUGUAGAUUUUUUCAAAGAAUGAGCUGCAGAUAUUCAUCACUUUGUAUGCAUAAACUUAUUAUUUGAACAGAAAUAAUUUGUAUACUUGUUUUCACUUUUGUACGUAGCACGCACGAAUUUUUUAUCAAGCUUCUUUUGAUUACAUACCUUAUUAGCAACCUAAUUUCUUUCUCAUCUAUGUGAGGUGAUUUAAACCCCAAACCUCUUAUUUUCAAUACAAUAGAUUUUAUCAUUUUAACUAGAUGGUGUCCACAAUUUUUUUGUUCAAGCUUAAUUAGAUAUUAUAUUAGUAAAAUCUCUUAUAUUAAAAAUAGGAGGUCAUUUAAAGUUCAAACAUGCUCACAGAUGGGGAAGGGAUAGUUAGACUCAAUAAUAAUUACGAAAUAUUUUAUCAUUCAGACCUUUAAAUUCAAAUUUAAACUUUUGAAUCAAACUGUUGGAGAAUUUACAAAUAAAACACAAAAAACACACUAUUUUUUUAUUUCUUCAACAACACUCACCAAUUACAACUCUUAUUUUUCACUUUUUACACCUUAGAGAUUUUGCUAUUUCACUUGAUGAUUAAACCAAAGGGGAGAUGGAGUAUUUAUACAUGAAACAAACUAAUCACAACCAUUCAUUUAUUCAAUUAAUACACAAAUCCUCACCAUCCAUUAAAACAUACCGCUCACCUACUUCACCAACCACACCUAACACACCUAACACAAUAAUUCAAACCUCACCAACCAUACCUACUCAUGGAACUUUCCAUGAGUUAGGCUUGAAUUUAUUCAUCUUGGAUCAAGUUUAUGAUCCAACACCUCCCCUUAAACUUGAUCCUGUGACACCAAGCAAACUUCUAAAUCUUACGAAGUCUUCUUGGUUGAGUGGCUUGGUGAAGAUAUCAGCUGCUUGAUCUUGUGAUUUUACAUACUUGAUUUGCACUUCUUUUCUUGCAAUACACUCUCUUAUGAAAUGAUAGCGAGUAUCUAUGUGUUUGCUUCGAUCAUGAAAGACUGGAUUCUUGGAUAAGGCAAUUGUUGAUUUGUUAUCAACACAAAUCUCGCUUGGCUCUUCUUGUGGCAAACUCAACUCCUUCAGCAAAUUUCUGAGCCAAAUUGCAUGACAAACACUUGAUGUGGCAGCUACAUACUCAGCUUCACAGGUAGAUAGCGUGACAAUUGGUUGCUUCUUUGACAUCCAUGUGAAAGCAGUAUCUCCCAUGAAGAAUACAAAUCUUGUGGUGCUCUUUCGAUCAUCUACAUCUCCAUCCCAAUCAUUAUCGCUAUAUCCAACAAGCUUGUAGUCAUUAGAAAAUGAGUAUAACAAGCCGAAAUUAGUUGUACCUUUGAUGUAGCGAAUGAUUCUUUUUGCAGCUUUAAUAUGGGUGGUCUUUGGAUUCUCCAUGUAUCAGCUCAUAAGUCCAACAACAUAAAGGAUAUCUGGUCUUGUGCAUGUCAAAUAACGUAGGCUUCCAACCAAACUUUUAAAGAAUGUUGGAUCUAUAUCUUCACCUUCAUUAUGUUUAGAUAACUUGACUCCGCAUUCCACUGGCGUGCUUAUAGGCUUGCAAUCAUUCAUCUUGAACUUCUUGAGAAUCUCUUUUGCAUAGCUUUCUUGGGAGAUAAAUAUGCCUUCUUCCUUUUGCUUGACUUCAAUGCCGAGGUAAUAUGCCAUCAGUCCGAUGUCAGUCAUCUCGAACUCUUUGAUCAUCACUCUCUUGAACUCUUCAAAUAAGCUUGGAUCACUUCCAGUGAAGAUGAGAUCAUCCACAUACAAGCACACAAUCAAAAUGUCUCCAGCUUUUUCUUUGACGUAGAGAGCAUGUUCAUAUGGGCAUUUGGUGAACCGUUCUCUUGAAAAUACUUGUCAAUUCUGCUAUUCCAUGCCCUUGGUGCUUGCUUUAACCCAUAAAGAGCUUUCUUCAAUCUCAAAACUUUUUCUUCAUGUCAUUUCACCACAUAGUCUAAUGGUUGUUCGAUGUAAACUUCUUCUUCAAGGAAUCCAUUCAAGAAAGCAAACUUCACAUCUAUUUGAAAAAUCUUCCAUUUUUUCUGAGCAGCUAAAGAAAUAAUAAGUCUAAUAGUUUCAAGUCGAGCUACAGGAGCAAAUACCUCGUCAUAGUCUAUGCCAGCCUUUUAACUAUAGCCUUUUGCAACUUGCCUCGCCUUGUGCCUUUCAAUUUCUCCCUUCGCAUUUCUUUUUGUUUUAUAUACCCAUUUGACACUGAUCGCCUUGUGACCUUUGGGAAGAGUAGUAAGCUCCCAAGUAUCAUUCUUCAUAAUGGCUUUGAUUUCUUCAUCCAUUGCAAUUCUCCACUUCUCAUCUAGUGCAGCUUCUUGGAAGUUGACUGGCUCACAAUCAGCAAAGAGGCAAAAGAGAGUGAGAUUAUCAUGUCUUUCAGUUACUUCAUAGAGAUCUUGAAGACUCCUUGUACGUUCUUCGGUUCUUUCAUUUAAGAAAGACGGCGGUGAAUCUCCACAUGUGGUUAAUGCUGGUGAGAUAGGUGGAGUAGCAGGCUCUUGUUGUUCGCUUACUUGAUUUAUCUGUGUAUUAUCAUUUUCUUCAAUGGGAAAGAAGUUGAAGUCAUCCACACCAGAGCCAAAAUCACAUUCUCCUUCUUCAUUAAAAACUACAUCUCGACUUAUCAAGAUCUUCUCGUUGUUUGGAUUGUAAAGCUUGUAUCCUUUGGAGUUGUUGUCGUAGCCGAUGAAGAUGAACUUCUCACUUUUGUCAUCCAGCUUGGCUCUACUUUCGUCUGGUACAUGUGCAUGGGCAAUGCUUCCGAAAACUCUUAGAUGGGUGAUACCAGGUUUUCUUCCACUCUAAGCUUCUUGUGGCGUCUUGCCCCACACGCUUCUUGUUGGAGAUCGAUUGGAUAAGUAGACUACACAUGCAACAGCUUCAGCCCAAAAUUCUUUAGGUAGCCUCUUACUCUUAAGCAUGCUUCUUGCCCUGUCGAGGAUGAUUCUGUUCUUCCUUUCUGCAAUAUCAUUUUGUUGGGGGGAUCUUGGAACUGUCAAAGGGCAUCGAAUUCCAUUUGCUUCACAAAACUCUAAAAAUUCUUUGGAAGUGAACUCUUCACAUCGAUCAGAUCUCAUGGCUUUAAUCUGGUAUCCAUUUUCUUUUUCCACUGCAGUUUUAAACUUCUUGAAAGCUUCAAAGACUUCUGAUUUUUGCUUCAAAAAAUACACCCAAGUUUUUCUUGAAAAAUCAUCUAUGAAGAGAAGGAAGUAGUUACUUUUACCUAGGGAGUUUGGCUUGAAUGGACCGCAUGAAAUACAAGUAUGCAACCCAAGAAGGGGGUGAAUUGGGAUUCUAAAAAAUUAUUCAAUUUAUUAAAGAAAAUCUUAAUGCAAUUAUAAAUCAAAUUCAAAGCAAUAAUAAUUAAGAUGAUCACAAUAUAAAAAGAUAAGGGAAGAGGGAUUCAAACACCGAGAUUUUUACGUGGUUCGGCCAACCUCGCCUACGUCCACGCCUCCAAGCUUUCCGGGCUUGAGGAUUCCACUAAGCAAGCCUCAAAAGCUUCAAAUGCUUACACUUGACUUCCAAGGUGUCAAUGGACCUUUACAACAAGAGAUUAUCCCCAAUCUCUUAACCCAAGUGUAUCCCAACACUUACAAUCACUCAAAGUAAAAGAUUACAAACUGUUUUGCCUCUCACAAUAUAUAAGAUUACACAAUGAUGCUUAAUAUGUGAAUAGAUGAAGCAAGAAUGUGUUCUAAGCUCUAUGAAGAUUGUAUUCUCGGAUAUUAGCUCAAAUGGUUGUGUUGUGAUCCUCUUCUUUGAAUUUGAAUGAGCUUAUUUAUAUUUAGAGCUGAAAAUCUAGCCGUUACAAACUGUCGGACAGAAAACAGUUCGCCGUUAACCAUAAACGGUUAACCGUUUCGGUUGGUCAAAGUUACCGUUGGGCCAGAUUUUAAAUAAACGGUUAGCCGUUUAGGAUUGCCCUGUCGCCGUUAACUUCUAGAGACCUGCAAGAUGAGCAUUUGUUAUCCAUUUACGCUAAACGGUUAAGGACUUGCAUGAAGUAACGUUUCUGGAUAUUAUCGGUUAACCGUUUGCAAUAAACGGUUAGCCGUUUGUCUCCAGUAACCUGCAAAAUGAACAUCAGUUAAUUCGUUUUCAUUUAGCGGUUAAGGGAUUGCAUAAAGUGGCUUCUCUGGGUAUUAUCGGUUGACCGUUUAAAAUAAACGAUUUGCCGUUUGGCUCCAGUAACCUGCACAACAAUUUAGCCUUAUCAGUUUUCGUUAAUCAAUGCCAGAGGAGGACAACCUUCAAUUCUGGACGUUAUCGGUUAACCGUUUAAAAUAAACGGUUCACCGUUAGGUUCCAGUAGCCUUCCCAUCUUGGGUGUUUUCCGUUAAAAAUAAACGGCUAGAGCUUAGGCAAUAUGUUGCUCUCUGGUGCUAAUCGGUUAACCGUUUAAAAGAAAAAAAUGGUUUACCGUUAAUUUCCAGUAACCUCCCCAUCUUUUGUGUUUUCCGUUUUUCAUAAACGGUUAGAGGUUUAGGAAAUGUGUUGCUAUCUGCCUUUAAUCGGUUAACCAUUUUAAAUAAACGGUUCAUUGUUUAUAACCAGAAUUGCAAUUUUAAACGAGUUUUUGCAGAGAAUCUCUUCCUAAUUUGAAAAUCCAUCUUUUAUGAAGAAAUAAGCCAAUGAUUAAAAGGGUUUUCGUUUAUUAAGAAAUAGCUCCAAUAUUUUUGUCAAAAUACAUUUAAAAUUUGUUAUCAUCAAAAUCAAUAUUAUUAACAUAUUAAUGUUAACAAAGUCCCCCUUUUUGAUGAUGACAAAUUUCAUUCAAUGUUUAGCUCCCCCUUAAUAUGUGCUCCCCCUACAUGUAUGGACAAAUUGAGAAAUGUGAAUGAAAGGAUUUUUGCUUUAAAUCUCCCCAUUUUAUAAAAGGAUUUUUGCUUUAAAUCUCCCCAUUUUAAAAACCAUCUUAAAAACCAUAAUUAUCUCCCCGUUCAUCAUAAAAAAGAAAAGAGGAAAUAAGAAAUACGCAAAUCUAUUAAAGAGGUUGCCCGGCUUGGGCGAGCGAAAAUUUUGGCAGAGUUUUCCCUUAAAAAUGAGCAAAACCACUUAUACAAAAUGAGAUAGAACACUUCCAAAAAUAGAUUGACACCAACUUCUUCUUUCAACAAGCCAACAACUCCAUGAUCAAAACAAAAUAACACUUCAAUAUCCAACAAGCAGUCAAUCAUAAAUCAUCAAUCAUCUAAUCAUCAAGAACAUCAUACACAUAUGCAUCAAAAAUAAAAAAAAUAAAAAUGCUAGCAACCAAAAUGUAAAAAUGUAUGUGCGAAAACAAAGCUCAGAAACUAACAUCAUACACAUAUGCAUCAAAAAUAAAAAAAAUAAAAAUGCUAGCAACCAAAAUGUAAAAAUGUAUGUGCGAAAACAAAGCUCAGAAACUAUGGAGGUGGAGAAGAUGUGCUCCCCGGAUCAUAGUCGAAAUAGCCGAGAAUAGUGCGCUGUCCAGCGAUAAGCUCAAGCUGCUGAUCAAGGCUCUGCCGCUGGAAGAUCUGAAAGUCAGAACGCAGCUGCUGGUGGUCACGGGAAAUAGUGUCCAACCGAUCAAGAAUCAGCUGCUGGCGCUCCGAAAUCUGCUGAACAUUAGUGAUCAGCUGCUGCACUGCUUCUGAAGCAGAGGGCUGAAUUGGAGCUGGAGGCGGCAUAGAGGCAGAUGGCUGCUCGGGAACAGUAGAAGGCUCAGGAGCAGGAGGCAGCUCGGAAGAGGAGGGAAUGUCAGUAUCCAUCAUAUGCUCCUCAGAGUCUGAGUCAGCUGGAGGCCGAGGGACAAAACGACGACGCGGAGGAGGAGGAUGAGCUCCUAAUCUAAAGUCAGGAAGCUAAUCGGGAGGAUAGAUAUCAUUGAGCAUCCGAUCGUCCUCUGCAGCAAUCAAGGUAUCCCGGUUUUUGGUGUUGCUUGUCUUUAUCCACACUCCAUUCUUCCUGAAGAAUCCGAUCGUCCUCAUGGCCUCGGGACCAAUCCGUCGAGUCUCCAUAUGUCCAGUAUCAAGAAGUGGCACCUCAAAGCGUCGCAGUAUUUUAGUGAUGAUACUGCCAUAAGGAAGCAAGCGGUGGUUGACCGCUGGAGUACUCAACAUAUGUCGCACAAUAAUAUACCCGAGGUUAAUGAGAUGGUCUGUAAGAAGGCUAUCCAUUAGGGCGACAUCCAACCUCGUAACCUCAUCCGAGUGACCCUUUCUAGGAGUCACUAUGUGUUGUAAAAUAGAGUGAAGAAUACGAACUUGGAGAGGUAAAAGUUGAGACCGAAACGGAAGCAUACAAAUCUCAUCCGAUAAGUCUUGACGACGACAUAUAUUACGGACGCCAUGAGUAUGAGAAAAAGUAUCAAAGGAGAGGGUUUUCCUAGAGGUGUAAAUGUCAAGCCCCUCACAAGAGAUACCUAGAAAGUCAGCUAAGUCCGCAUAAUCAAAUUCUAGGGGUACACGGCCGACUUGAGUGACUAUCCUAUUUGGGCGAGUAUCGGAGAUUUUCAUGUUGGAGUAAAAGACUCGCACUAAAUUUGGAUAGACCCGAUCAUCAAAAUCAAUACCAGACUCCCAAGGCAGAAGCAUAUCCCGAAUAUUUCUACCACAUACAAUUAAAUUAUGGAAAUCAUCAAUGUCGACAAAGAAGGAUUCAAGUACCUUUCGACCAUCGAAGCGUUCUUCGAACCGCUUGGCCAAAGAAGGUGUGGGGAAGUGAAUCCUUGAAAAUUCAGAGACUUCCCGAGGUGGUAUAGGAUUCCUUGGAGGCACAGAUUUACGCCUGGGAUUUCUCCGAGAGGGUUCAGCCAUGGAAACACGUAAUGAAGAGUAGAGGAUGUGAGUAGGAUGUUCAAUUUGGUUGAAGAAAGGUGGAAAUCGGAUCAAGAAUGAAGAAACCCGACCCGCGACAGUUAGGGUUUAGAUUUGGAAUUUUUGAAUUUUGGGCUCGAUUUGAAGUUUUGAAUUGGUAGAAUUGUUCUAAAGGUGAUAAGAAAUGAUUUUGAAGGUUUAAUUUGGCAAGGAAAGCAAGAAAAAUGAGGAUUUGAGACCAGAGAAACCUUCGGCUGCGCAACAAUGGUGGAAACGAUGAGAGGGUAACUGGAGAAGGAGAAGAAAACCUUUGAACAAUUUUUAUAUUUCGCGAAAACGGUUAACCGUUUAUUGAAACGGUUAAAGGGUAACUUUUAGGGGCUGAAGAAAGGGAAACGGUGAAAGCCUAAGCGCUUAACGGCUAAGGAGUAACUGUUAGAGGACUCGCUGUUGAAAAAUGGUUCACCGAUUGUGGCAAACGGUGAAAGGGUAAACGGACAGACACAUAAUCUCGUUAUUGGAAUUAAACGGUGAUCUGUUUAUAGGAAACGGCUAACCGUUUAUUUUAUCUGUAAUUUCGCACAUUUGAUUUAAUUUUUGGCUAGCAAAUAAUAUAUUCCAAGAUUAUUUAAUUGAUCUGAAAAUAUUUUGAGCCAAUUUAAUGCAUGAUUCAUGGACAUGUUUUCAACCAAUCAAUUCAUAUAAUCAAGAGUUAUCAAUGCAAAUUCAUCAUUUGUCUACCAAGCUCAAGCAUUUCAUAAAUAAUAAUCAAUCAAUUCAGUACACUCAAUAGCAUGAAUAGAGAUGUUAAUGCAAAAAUUUUAUCAUCCCAAGUUCAUGCUGAAUUUUUGAAAAUUGUUCUUUGCAAAGCGGUUUUGUGAAAAUAUCGGCAAGUUGUUUUUCCGUGGAAAUAAACUCUAAUGCAAUAUCUCCCUUUUGAACAUGAUCUCUCAAGAAAUGAUGUCUUAUUUCUAUAUGCUUGGUUCGAGAGUGUUGAAUAGGAUUCUUUGAAAGGUUUAUAGCACUAGUAUUAUCACACUUAAUAGGAAUUUGUUCAAGAUUAAUGCCAUAAUCUCUAAGUGUUUGUUUCAUCCAAAGUGCUUGUGCACAACAACUUCCGGUAGCUAUAUAUUCAGCCUCGGUAGUUGAAAGUGCAACAUAAUUUUGUUUCUUGCUAAACCAUGAAACAAGAGAGUGUCCUAGAAUAUAGCAAGUUCCACUAGUGCUCUUCCUAUCCACUUUAUAACCAGCAAAAUCCGCAUCUGAAAAAUAUGUUAAAUCUAUAUGAGUUCCCCUAGGAUACCAAAGGCCAAUAUCUAUGGUUCCACUCAAAUAACGAAAAAUUCUUUUAACAGCGAGCAAAUGAGAUUCCUUGGGACAUAACUAAAAUCUUGCACACAAACAUACACUAAACAUGAUAUCGGGUCUACUUGCAGUCAAAUAAAGUAGAGAUCCGAUCAUACCUCGAUACAUUUUGAUAUCCAUUUCUUUACCUUUUUCAUCUUUGUCCAGCUUGGUUGUUGUGCUCAUUGGUGUAUUCUUGGUCUUUGAAUCAUCAAUGCCGAAUCGUUUGAGUAGAUCCUUUACGUACUUGGCUUGAUUUAUGAAAAUUCCUUCCUCAUUUUGUUUGAUUUGAAGUCCAAGGAAGUAUUUCAACUCUCCCAUCAUACUCAUCUCAAAUUCCUUGCUCAUACACGAUGAAAAUUCUUUACACAACAACUCAUUAGUAGAACCAAAGAUAAUAUCAUCAACAUAAAUUUGAACAAUAAGUAUGUCUUGGUUCUUAUGCUUAACAAAUAGAGUAGUAUCCGCUUUACCCAUAGAGAAGUCAUUUUCUAGCAAGAAAUUUUUAAGUCAAUCAUACCAUGCUCUAGGUGCUUGUUUUAAUCCAUACAAGGCUUUAAGCAACUUAUAAACAUGAUUUGGAAAUUUUUCAUUUUCAAAACCAAGAGGUUGUUUCACAUAAACUUCCUCCAAAAUAUAACCAUUUAAGAAAGCACUCUUGACAUCCAUUUGAUAUAAAAUAAAAUCCUUAUGACAUGCAUAUGCUAACAACAUCAUAAUGGAUUUUAACCUUGCUACAGGAGCAAAGGUUUCAUCAAAAUCAAUUCCUUCUUCUUGGUUGUAACCUUGAGCCACUAAUCUAGCUUUAUUUCUUACAACCACACCAGAUUCAUCCAUCUUAUUUCUAAACACCCAUUUAGUACCUAUUACAGAUUGAUGUUCAGGUUUAGGAACUAAUUCCCACACAUUGUUUCUUUCAAAUUGAUUUAACUCCUCUUGCAUUGCCAUAAUCCAAGAUUCAUCAUUUUCUGCAUCCUCAAGGGAUUUUGGUUCAAUUUGAGAGAUGAAUGCAUUAUGCUCACAAGUAUUUCUAAGUGAUGAUCUAGUUGUAAUACCUCAUGAGGGAUCUCCUAAAAUUACAUCUUUAGGGUGAGAAGAGACAUACCUCCACUCCUUGGGGAGUGUUUGAGAAGUACCUUCAUUUUGCUCCACAUUUGGCUCUUCAUGAUGUUCCUCUUGAAUUCCAUGUGGUACAUCCUUUUGAUUGUCAUUUGAUGCUUCUUCUUCUUGUUCUUCUUCUCCUGCAUCAUCAACAACAACGACUUUCUCCGUAGAGGAGGGGUUAGACUCAUCAAAUGUCACAUGCAUAGAUUCUUCCACAACUAAAGUUCUUUUGUUAUAGACUCUAUAAGCUUUGCUUGAAUUUGAAUAACUAAGAAAAAUACCAACAUCGGAUUUUGGAUCAAAUUUACCAAGAUUGUCUUUUGUGUUUAAAACAAAACAUUUGCAUCCAAAAACUUUAAAAUAGCCAAUGUUGGGUUUUCUAUCUUUCCAAAGCUCAUAUGGAGUUUUAUUAAGAUUAGGUCUAAUCAACACCCGAUUUAAAACAUAACAAGCGGUGUUGACGGCUUCAGCCCAAAAAAAUUUUGGUAAUGCAUUUUCAUUUAACAUAGUCCUAGCCAUUUCUUGAAUAGACCUAUUCUUUCUCUCAACAACUCCAUUUUGUUGUGGAGUUCUAGGUGAUGAAAAUUGAUGCUCAAUGCCUAGAUUAUUACAAAAACUCUCAAAUGCAUGAUUUUCAAAUUCUCCUCCAUGAUCACUCCUAAUACAUACAAUACCAUGCCCUUUUUUCAUUUUGUAAUUUCUUACAAAGCACUUUAAAAGCAUCAAGAGCAUCAUCCUUAUUGGCUAAGAAUAAUACCCAUGUAUAUCUAGAAUAAUCAUCCACUAUCACAAAUGCAUAAUAUUUGCCAUUUAGACUUGCAUAUCUAGAUGGCCCAAAAAGAUCUAUGUGAAGAAGUUCAAGUGGUUUUGAAGUAGAAAUAUGGUUUUUAUUCUUGAAAGAAGUUUUAAUUUGUUUUCCAAAUUGACAGGCUUCACAAAUCUUAUCCUUUUGAAAACCAAUUUUCGGAAGACCUUUAACUAAAUCAUCUUUCGAAAUUUUUGAAAUCAAAUCCAUACUUGCAUGUCCUAACCUUCUAUGCCAUAACCAACAAUCAUCAUGCAAUGCCAAAAAACAUUUAUCAAGAGUAGAUGCACAUUUUAUGUCAAUGAUAUAAACAUUACCACAUCUAUUUCCAACAAAUAGGGUUUUGCCAUCACAUGAGUUCUCAAUAACACAACUAAAUUUAUCAAAUAUAACUUUAUAACCUUUGUCACAUAAUUGACUAAUGCUAAUUAAGUUGUGUUUCAAGUUUUUAACCAAACAUACAUUCUCAAUUAGAGUUGAAGAGACUUUACCAACAUUUCCAAUUCCAAGAAUUUUUCCUUUUGAGUUGUCUCCAAAAGAUAUGUCUCCACCAUUUUCAAUUUUGGUGAAGCUUGAGAACCAUCCAUAGUUUCCGGUCAUGUGCCUUGAACAACCGCUGUCCAAGUACCAUUUAUUCUUCUUCUUCUUCAAGCCCUCAUUGAGAUCAUCAUCCCCUCCUAUUGCCAUGAGUGCUAGGUUUGAUACUUCUUGCGAUCCUUCUUCAUCAUUUGAUUCUUCCUCACUAUCAUCCCAAGUUGCAACCAUUGUUUUCUUCUUGAGUUUUUUGAUAAGUGGGCACUCCGAUCUUAUAUAUCCAGGCUUCUUGCAUUCAUAGCAAGUGAUUGCUUCCUUCUUCUCCCUAUAGUUCUUGAAGUUUCUAAAAUUUCUUCGCUCUCCGGUUUUCUUGAAGAAUUUUCUGAACCUCCUUGCUAGCAUGGCUAGCUCUUCAUCAUCCGGUUCACUCUCCCCAUCACUCUCAUAUUUUGAAGCUUUGAGAGCAAUGUUUUUCUUCUUCUCCUCAUGUCCUUUUUCUACAGCUAAAUCCCCUUCAUACGAAAUAAGAGAACCAAUUAAAUUAUCAAGAGGUAAAGUAUUUAAAUCUUUGGCCUCUUCAAUAGCGGUUCUUUUAGGUCUCCAUUCUUUUGGAAGAGACCUAAUGAUUUUCUUAACUUUCUCACUAUUUGAGAAGGUUUUCCCUAAGGCACCUAGGGUGUUCACUAUGUCUGUGAAUCUAGUGUACAUAGAAUACACAUUUUCAUUUUGUUCCAUUUGGAACAACUCAUAUUGACGAGUGUAUCUACUGAUUUUAGACUCUUUCACUUGAUUUGUCCCUUCAUAGACAACUUCAAGUUUGUUCCAUAUCUCUUGUGCACUUUCACAACUAGAUACUCUAUGAAAUUCUUUCUUAUCAAGGGCACAAAACAAAGCAUUCAUAGCCUUGGAGUUUAGAGACAUCUUUAUCUUUUCUAACUCACUCCAUUGACUCGAUGGUUUAGGAAUAUCAUCUCCUACUUCAUCUUUGAAUGUAGGCAUGAAUGGACCAUCACAAACAACUUCCCAAAUUUCAUAAUCUAAGGCUUGCAAAUAGAUUCUCAUUCUAGUGUUCCAAUAAGCAUAGUCAUUACCAUCGAAAAAUGGUGGUCUAGUUGUGGAUUGCCCUUCUCUAAAGGUUGAGUCAUUUAGGGUUGCCAUGGAUCUUUUACUCUAGACGAUUAAGUCUUAACAAGAGAACGAGGCUCUGAUACCAAUUGAAAUACAAGUAUGCAACCCAAGAGGGGGGUGAAUUGGGAUUCUAAAAAAUUAUUCAAUUUAUUAAAGAAAAUCUUAAUGCAAUUAUAAAUCAAAUUCAAAGCAAUAAUAAUUAAGAUGAUCACAAUAUAAAAAGAUAAGGGAAGAGGGAUUCAAACACCGAGAUUUUUACGUGGUUCGGCCAACCUCGCCUACGUCCACGCCUCCAAGCUUUCCGGGCUUGAGGAUUCCACUAAGCAAGCCUCAAAGGCUUCAAAUGCUUACACUUGACUUCCAAGGUGUCAAUGGACCUUUACAACAAGAGAUUAUCCCCAAUCUCUUAACCCAAGUGUAUCCCAACACUUACAAUCACUCAAAGUAAAAGAUUACAAACUGUUUUGCCUCUCACAAUAUAUAAGAUUACACAAUGAUGCUUAAUAUGUGAAUAGAUGAAGCAAGAAUGUGUUCUAAGCUCUAUGAAGAUUGUAUUCUCGGAUAUUAGCUCAAAUGGUUGUGUUGUGAUCCUCUUCUUUGAAUUUGAAUGAGCUUAUUUAUAUUUAGAGCUGAAAAUCUAGCCGUUACAAACUGUCGGACAGAAAACAGUUCGCCGUUAACCAUAAACGGUUAACUGUUUCGGUUGGUCAAAGUUACCGUUGGGCCAGAUUUCAAAUAAACGGUUAGCUGUUUAGGAUUGCCCUGUCGCCGUUAACUUCUAGAGACCUGCAAGAUGAGCAUUUGUUAUCCAUUUACGCUAAACGGUUAAGGACUUGCAUGAAGUAACGUUUCUGGAUAUUAUCGAUUAACCGUUUGCAAUAAACGGUUAGCCGUUUGUCUCCAGUAACCUGCAAAAUGAACAUCAGUUAAUUCGUUUUCAUUUAGCGGUUAAGGGAUUGCAUAAAGUGGCUUCUCUGGGUAUUAUCGGUUGACCGUUUAAAAUAAACGAUUUGCCGUUUGGCUCCAGUAACCUGCACAACAAUUUAGCCUUAUCAGUUUUCGUUAAUCAAUGCCAGAGGAGGACAACCUUCAAUUCUGGACGUUAUCGGUUAACCGUUUAAAAUAAACGGUUCACUGUUAGGUUCCAGUAGCCUUCCCAUCUUGGGUGUUUUCCGUUAAACAUAAACAGCUAGAGCUUAGGCAAUAUGUUGCUCUCUGGUGCUAAUCGGUUAACCGUUUAAAAGAAAAAACAGUUUACCGUUAAUUUCUAGUAACCUCCCCAUCUUUUGUGUUUUUCGUUUUUCAUAAACGGUUAGAGGUUUAGGAAAUGUGUUGCUCUCUGCCUUUAAUCGGUUAACCGUUUUAAAUAAACGGUACACCGUUUAUAACCAGAAUUGCAAUUUUAAACGAGUUUUUGCGGAGAAUCUCUUCCUAAUUUGAAAAUCCAUCUUUUAUGAAGAAAUAAGCCAAUGAUUAAAAGGGCUUUCGUUUAUUAAGAAAUAGCUCCAAUAUUUUUGUCAAAAUACAUUUAAAAUUUGUUAUCAUCAAAAUCAAUAUUAUUAACAUAUUAAUGUUAACACCGCACACAUCAGUAUGAAUGAGCUGGAGUGGCUUCCGAGCUCUUGAGUUUGAAUCCUUUGGAAAGCUCUUUCUGAACUGCUUGCCAAGUAAACAUCCUUCACAAAGUUGAUCAGGGUGAUUGAUGUAUGGUAAGCCUUUCACCAUGUUCUUCUUAGAUAGUAGCUCCAGUCCUCCAAAGUUGAGAUGCCCAUAUCGAAGAUGCCAAGUCCAGGAUUGAUCUUUGUGAUAGGCUUUGAGACAUUUUGUAACAUCAUUUUGAAUAUUUAAAGGAAACAUUCUACUCUUCGACAUUCUCACAUUUGUAAUUAGAUUUCCUUUGUCAUCUCUUAGGAAAAGACUAUAAUCUUUUAAGUGAAUAUCAUAGCAUUUUUUCUAAAAGUUGACCCAAACUAAAGAUGUUGCUUUUCAUAUUGGGCACAUAGUAAACAUUCGAAAUUAUUUGGUGACUACCAUCUUUUGCACGAAAAAGAAUGUUACCUUUACCCUUCACUGGUACUUUUGAAUCAUCUCCAAAAGCAAUAUUGCCAUUCACAGAUUCACUUAGUUGCACGAACAUGCUUUUGUUUCCACUCAUAUGAUUGCUAGCACAUGUGUCAAGAUGCCAUGUAUUUUCUUGACCUCCACUUGUGUCAUUGCAUGCUAGUAAAAGUGUGUCAACUUCACCAUUUUUCUCUUCAGCAUAGUUCACUCUCUCCUCAAUUCUGGUGCUUGGAGCUUUGCAUUCUGAAGCAUAAUGCCCAAACUUUUGACAAUUAUAGCACUGUACUUGAGAUUUGUCAUACCUCGAUCUUGGAUUGCUUUUGCCUCGUCCUCUGCUUGAGCUUUCUCCUUUGGCAUAAUUGGAGUUGUUGUUGAAAUUCCAACCUCAUCCAUGACCAUGACCUCUACCUCGUCCUCAUCCUCUACCUCGGACAUAGUGCAUUCUCUCGUUGUCAGAGCUUUCUUCUCUUUUCUUUGGAUUGACCUCCAUCUUGAGAAGUUGUUCUUAGAUUCCUUGCUUCUUUUUUAGUUUUUCUUCGUACGCUUGCAACCUUCCUUGAAGUUGCUUGAUCGUCAUAUCCUCUAGAUCUCUUAUUUCCUCAAUUGUCACAACAAUAUGGUCAAACUUCGAGUCUACUAAUCGAAGUAUCUUUUCAAUGAUCCUUACCUCUUUUAACUCCUCGCCAUUUCUUUUUAAUUCAUUAGAAACAGUCACAACCCGAGUAAAGUAGUUAGAAAUUGACUCUGAUGCCUUCCUGUGUAAGGACUCAAAUUCUCCUCGUAAUGUUUGGAGACGAACCUUCUUAACUUGCUCCGCUCCUUUGUAAGAGGUCUCUAAUUUCUCCCAUGCUUCUUUUGAGGAGGUUGUACCAACAAUCUUUUCAAAAGCAUCUUCAUCUAAUGAUUGAAAGAUGAGAUGCUUUGCUUUAUUCUCUUUCUUCUUCAAGUCUUUUAAAUUCUCCUUUUGCACCACAGUUAAAGUGGUUUCAUUUUCUGGCACAAUAAAGCCUUUCUCCACGACAUCCCAUACAUCAUGUGCGCCCAAUAGAGCCUUCAUUUUAAUACUCCAAUUGUCAAACUUACUUCCUUUUAAUUAUGGAACUUGAAAUGACAUCAUACCACCGUUUGCCAUAACUCACAAAUUGAGUGAGAAUUUAGAGAUUCUGAAAGCACAGAUGGAUCCGGCACGUCGAAAAACCUUAGGAAGGACUCGAGUCAACUUUCGGUCAACGGUCAACACUGGUAAACGGUCAACAUCGGUCAACGGUCAACACCGGCUUGGUAGUCUUGGUUCGGUCCGGAUUGGUUCAGCUCGAGUUGGCUUGGUUCGACUUGAUUCGGUUCAGCUCGGCUCGGCUUGGUUCAGUUCGGCUCAACUUGGUUCAACUCAGUGAGUCGACUUAGCUUCAAGACAAAAAACUUCAGGCGGCAAGUGUGGGCGCUUCCGGUCUCGGAUCGGGAUGAUUUUUGCGGCGUCACAUUCCUAUUGUCGAGAUCUUCGAUUUGAUAGCUACAUGACUAUAUAUAGCAUCAAGCACUAGCUCUGAUACCACUUUGUUGGAGAAUUUACAAAUAAAACACAAAAAACACACUAUUUUUUUAUUUCUUCAACAACACUCACCAAUUACAACUCUUAUUUUUCACUCUCUAUACCUUAGAGAUUUUGCUACUUCACUUGAUGAUUAAACCAAAGGGGAGGGGGUAUUUAUACAUGAAACAAACUAAUCACAACCAUUCAUUUAUUCAACUAAUACACAAAUCCUUACAAUCCAUUAAAACAUACCGCUCACCUACUUCACCAACCACACCUAACACACCUAACACAAAUAAUUCAAACCUCACCAACCAUACCUACUCAUGGAACUUUCCAUGAGUUGGGCUUGAAUUUAUUCAUCUUGGAUCAAGUUUAUGAUCCAACACAAACUACAUACAGAUACUCUUAUCUUCUUCAAAUUUAAGCUUUUGAUUAGUGAAACCAUGAUAUCAAAGUAGGUUUAGCCUUUAAAUACAUGUAACUGUCUGUCUUGAUAUGUACUUAUGUUAGGCCCUUGUCUAACAACGUCAAUUUUUGGAACUAGUGAUUCAACUAAUAAGAUACCGUGUCCAGACUCGCACUGCUCGUCUUAAUCAGUAUCACAAAUUUUGUAUCAAUCAAACUUGGCUCAAUCUCUUGAAUUAGCGCCUAUUUCGAUCGCGUCCAAUCUGAUAGUUUAAGUUUUAUUUCGUCUUAUGUUUUGUUAUCUGAACGCACUGAUGUAUAGAAAAUAAUAUUACGAGUCUUGUGGUCCUAUGUUUUCCAUUAACUACUUAAUUAAGCUUUUGUUUUAAAUUGCAAAAGAUAGCCAACCGCUCUUACGGAUGGUGAUGGGAGUAAUUAUUAUUAUUGUCGAAUAAACAAAUAACAACCUUGAGACCAAGCGGAUAAUAUUAAUUAAUUAGGCACAUUUUAAUUAAUCAAUAAGUUCAUAAAAUUAUUAAUUAUAAAUGUAAUCCUUAUUUCUGAUAAUAUCACGCGUUCACAACAAUUCAACCAAUCAAGUAGAUUGAACAUGUUAGGUGAUUUUAGGCUUUGCUCAAUCUCAAAAGCUAGUUCGAAGAGUGGCACUUUUCCUCAUAGGCUCAUACAUAUUAUAGAAGUCCAUAAACUUAACUGAUACUUAAAAAUUAAUUUGAAUGCUAUAUUCAGAGUUUAGGAUUUCCUCAUGUUUGUAUAAUUGACCCCAAGAUCAAUUCUCAGCCAAUGUGAAAAUAUGCCCUUUAACUUUAGGGAAUUAGCUAGCUAAGAAUUUCAAUAAAUAAUCAAAGACAAUGAGUUGGCUGCAUUCAUUGUACCCUUUAAUUUGCUCUUUAGAAAGAUUCCGAAACGGCUAAUUUUGAACAAAUAUUUUAAAGUAAAAAUUGAACAGAUAUGGCAGUGUGCUUUCGUAAUGAGUUGGCUAUGUUUAAUCCUGAGCCUGGAAUAAUCCCGUAAUAUAAAUCAUUUGAGGACGUAUUAAUGAAAGAAUCUUAUCAAUAAAGAAAUUUAGAUUUUUUACUUUUAUUGUACCGAUAAAAUGUUAAAAAAGGAUAAUGAUUUAUGAUUUAUGACUAGUGGAUAGCUCAUGACACCUAGAGAAUAAUUUUUUUUGGGAAAAAACUCUUAUAAGACCAUAUUUAUUUGAAUACAUACUUCAAAAUAAAAUGAAAAAAAAAAAGACAAGAAACGUAUGAACAUAGAGUGCAAUUUUUUUGUGGAAGAUAUUUUAUUUAGUUCAUGAUCAUAAAAUUGUCUCAAAUAGUUAAUUAUCUUUGGCUUUCAUAUAUGUUAAUUAAGGUUGUCUCAAAUAAAAUUAAAAUGGAAAAAUGAGGACUACACCCAUUGUUUAGAGAAACUAAGAGAAACUCUUAUGUUCUAAAAUAGGUCUAAAUCCUAUGCAGUUAUAACAGUGUUAAAUUUAUAUAUUAUUUUACUAUUCUAAUCAUAGUUUUGAUGUUAGUCAUAAAAUUUAAAUAUUUUGAGAAUAUAAAUCAAAUAAAAUAACUUAUAUACCCAUAAUGAUUAAAUUAAUUUAAUAAUGAAUUGUAACCUAUGGCAAAAUAUUAAUUGAUUUCGAAAUGUUUGAACCUUUUGUUCGUUUCUUUUUUAUUUUUUAAUUUUAUAUCAUUUAUAGUAUAAAAGAGGUUUUAUCAUUUCAAUUAGAUGGUGCCCACAAUUUUUUUGUUCAAGCUUAAUUAGAUAUUAUAUUAAUAAAAUCUCUUAUAUUGAAAAUAGGAAGUCAUUUAAAGUUCAUACACGCUCACAGACCGAGAAGGGAUAGUUAGACUUAAUAAUAAUUACGAAAUAUUAUAUCAUUUAGACCUUUAAAUUCAAAUUUAAACUUUUGGAUCAAACUACAUGCAGAUACUCUUAUCUUCUUCAAACUUAAGCUUUUGAUUAGUGAAGCCAUGAUAUCAAAGUAGGUUUAGCCUUUAAAUCCAUGUAACUAACUGUCUUAAUAUGUACUUAUGUUAGGCCCUUGUCUAACAACGUCAAUUUUUGGAACUAGUGAUUCAACUAAUAAGAUCCCGUGUCCUGACUCGCACUGCUCGUCUUAAUCAGUAUCACAAAUUUUGUAUCAAUCAAACUUGGGCUCAAUCUCUUGAAUUAGCGCCUAUUUCGAUUGCGUCCAAUCUGAUAGUUUAAGUUUUAUUUCGUCUUAUGUUUUGUUAUCUGAACGCACUGAUGUAUAGAAAAUAAUAUUACGAGUCUUGUGGUCCUAUGUUUUCCAUUAACUACUUAAUUAAGCUUUUCUUUUAGAUUGCAAAAGAUAGCCAAUCGAUUUUACGGAUGGUGAUGGGAGUAGUUAUUAUUAUUGUCGAAUAAACAAAUAACAACCUUGAGACCAAGAGAAUAAUAUUAAUUAAUUAGCCACAUAAUAAUUAAUCAAUAAGUUAAUUAAAUUAUUAAUUAUGAAUGCAAUCCUUAUUUAGGAUAAUAUCACGCGUUCACAACAACUCAACAAAUCAAGAUUGAACAUGUUAGGUGAUCUUAGGUUUUGCUCAAUCUAAAAAGUUAAAUCGAAGAGUGACACUUUCUCUCAUACAUACUAUGAACUGAUUAUAAAAGUUCAUGAAUCUAACUGAUACUUAAAAUUAAUUUGAAUGCUAUAUUCAGAGUUUAGAAUUUCCUCAUGUUUGGAUAAUUGACCCCAAGAUCAAUUCUCAGCCAAUGUAAAAAUAUGCCCUUUAGCUUUAGGGCAUUAGCUGGCUAAGAAUUUCAAUAAAUAAUCGAAGACAAUGAGUUGGCUGCAUUCAUAGUACCCUUUAAUUUCCUCUUUAGAAAGAUUCUGAAACGGCUAAUUUUGAACAAAUAUUUUAAAGUAAAAAUUGAACAGAUAUGGCAGUGUGCUUUCAUAACAAGUUGGCUAUGUUUAAUCCUGAGCCUGGAAUAAUUCCCGUAAUAUAAAUCCUUUAAGGACGUAUUAAAGAAAGAAUCUUAUCAAUAAAGAAAUUUAGAUUUUUUAAUUUUAUUGUACCGAUAAAAUGUUCAAAAAGGAUAAUGAUUUAUGAUUUAUGACUAGUGGAUAGCUCGUGACACCUAGAGAAUAAUUUUUUUUUUUUGGGGAAAAACUCUUCUAAGACCAUAUUUAUUUGAAUAUAUACUUCAAAAUAAAAUGAAAAAAAAGAAAAGAGAAACGUAUGAAUGUAGAAUGCAAUUUUUUUGUGGAAGAAAUUUUAUUUAGUUCAUGAUCAUAAAAUUGUCUCAAAUAGUUAAUUAUCUUUGGCUUUCAUAUAUAUUAAUUAAGAUUGUCUCAAAUAAAAUUAAAAUUGGAAAAUGAGGACUACCCCCAUUGUUUAGAGAAACUAAGUGAAACUCUUCUUAUGUUCUAAAAUAGGUCCAAAUCCUAUGCAAUUAUAACAGUGUUAAAUUUAUAGAUUAUUAAUUAUUUUACUAUUCUAAUCGUAGUUUUGAUAUUAGUCAUAAAAUUUAAAUAUUUUGAGAAUAUAAAUCAAGUAAAAUAACUUAUAUACCCGUAAUGAUUAAAUUAAUUUAAUAAUUAAUUGUAACCUAUGGCAAAAUAUUAAUUGAUUUCUAAAUGUUUGAACCUUUUGUUCAUUUCUUUUUUAUUUUUUAAUUUUGUAAUCAUUUAUAAUAUAAAAAUACGAGCUCUUUUAUUAAAAAAUUAUUUGAUUCUGUUAUAUUUUUGACACAUAAGUUUAUGGGUAUUAAAAGUUUCAUCCUUUUGUUCUUUUCUUUCUUAUUUGUUUGUUAUAAUGUAUGUGAAAUGUUGCUAAAUGGGAUCUGGUUUUGUUGGUAUAAUGAGUUGAACAAAAGAAAAUUUUAAAACUUCUAUUCAAGUUUAUUUUAUUUAAGCUAUUCUAAAAAUAAUGAUGCUAAUGUCCAUUGUUACUGUGCUCAGGUGCCUAACACGAAUGUUUUGUUAAUUCAUUAUAUAAUUCAUUAUUAGAUUAAUUUCAUCGUAAACAUAUAUACAUCAUUUUACUUUAUUUAUAUUCUCAAAAUACUAACAUCAAGAUUAGGAAUAGAAUAAUAAAAUGAUAUAUAAAGUUAAUAUUAUUAUACUGACAGGGAGGAUUAGAUGUAUUUUAAAAUAUAAGAGAGGUUUAAAAUAAUUUCUCCAAACAAUAAGGGUAAUACUCAUUUUCCCAAAUUAAAUUUCAGGUCUACAAAUUACUUACCUCAAAAACAUUUGGGCCAAUGUUAUAAAAUAUAAUAAAUCUAUAGGCAAUAGUUUGUAUUAUUUAUGCUUUCAUAAAAUUAAGUAGUGAGUUAGAUUAUAUGUGUAAAUUAAUUAAUCUCUCAUUUUCUGGCACUGGCACUAUGGUGGAUUUACCUUCCUCUAUAGCAAUGUGGCAGUAAAUGCAAUAACCUUUGACCAUGCUAUGCCCAGUACUCAACCAUUCAGCGCUCUCUCUCUUCAAUUUAUUCAAGAUAAUAAUUUAUUAGCUCCUUUCUUCUGAAUUCUGUUUCUUAUCAAAAUCAGAGCCUCGUAGUCAUCUUCUGUGGUUUCAACUUUCCAUCAGGUAUUGUCUUCUUUCUCGCUCUCUCUAUCUAUCAAAUAACCUAAAAAGGGAAAUUUAAUUUCCCUGCAAUUUCGUUUUGAUUUAUGAUUAAUUGUCAUACAUUUUCUAAAUUUAUUUUGAAAUAAGCAAAUCGAUUCAAUAGAAUUUGAAUAAUCCUUUUUCUUUUUUUAAUUGUUUAGAUUAAGGUGGAGAAUUGAAUCAAGAAUUUUUUUUCUUUAUUAUUAAUCGAAUUAUUGUUUAUGUUGAGAGUUGAACCUUCUAUAAGUUAGACUCAACCCACCCCAAGACCUAAUUCUAUUCCAAGACACAAGAACUAAUUCCAGUAAUAAUGAUCAAGAACAAUGAGAAACAGAGACAAACACAGAAAAAUUAAGUGGUUCAGCACUUGAUUAUGGUGCCUACAUCCACUGAUGAAACAAGCCUUAAGCUUUCACUAUAUCAAGUUGAAGAGUUGCAGAGAACUUAAUAUGAACUCAGAGAAUACAAGCAAUAAACUUUCUCGCUCUUUCUAGCUCUCUACUUUGCAUGAUAAGAUGCUUUAAGAAUGUACCAGAACUUGCCUUAUAAGGUUGGUUUCUGGGUUGGUUAGCCACCAGCUGGCUCUCGCCAAAAACAUAAGAACCAUAACCGCCAAACCUACCUGAGUUGCAUGCAGGUGUAUGCGUAAGUGACUCCAAAACGACAGCAACAUCGCGUCGUCUUGAAGUGCUUUAAUUCUGUUUAAUCACGUGUGUUGCACGUGUCUGAGUUAAUGGUUUUGAAUGACAUUAUCGCCAAUGUGGGUUUGGCUUCAACAACACAGCAAAUGACAAAUCAUCUGAACAUUCUUCCUCAAAACAACAUGUCAGUUGAUUUAAUUCUAGUUCAUAUUUAGAAGUUUUGUGACUCAAAAUUCUAUUUUAUCACCAGUUCAAUCAUUGUUCUCCCCCCCCCCCCCCCUUCUUUUUUCUUUAUUAACGAAUAGAUCUCUUUACUUAUAUGACUUAGAUGUCUUGUAUUUCUCAAAAAAGUGAAAAAAAGUGAAAUAAUGUCAUUAGAUAGUUGUACUUUAUAUAGAUAUCCUACAUACUCUAAUCUUAAUUUGCUUACUUUGCAGAGGAUCCAUCGCUCAUACUUAAACCCUAAAGACUUCACUUUCCCCAUCAUCAUCAAUCCAAACUGACAUGUCAAGCAACAUUAACAAGCCAUCACAAUUUUCUUAUGGAAGCUCAACUGAACUCUGCAGUAUCAAUUCUGCUGCAGUUUUUUUAAUGGAUUAUGAUGAUGAACAAACUCUCAGAUUUCUUCGCCUUGGAGAUUUUUCUGUUGUUCUCAUCAUGCAAAAAUGUAGCCCCAUUAUGAUGAUUACAUGUACUGUGGGUGAGCUUCAAUGGUCGAUAACGAAGGAUGCUCCUGUGAUUAGAGUUGACACAAGAGGCUUUGGAUUUGCAAUGCCGGGGCUCUUAUAUGGCUUGCAAUUUUCAUCUUCCUGCCAAGAAGCAAUGAUGGACACUCUUGAAACAAUUUUCAUAAAAUUUGCUGACUACAAGCAUCUUAGGAGAGGAGAAGUUGGUAAUGUUAUUAAUCUCAUACCUAUGUUGAUCUUAAUAAAGUAACUACGUAAUAAAAUAAUAAAGAUAAUGAAAAUUAUUUAAUGCUGAUCUUCACACAUUUUAAAAUAUAAAUUUAUGCAUAAUCAGCUAGUACCUAGAUAACAGUAAUUAACUUCAAAUUUGUAUUUUAAAACGGCAAACUAAAUAAAAACUAUAGAAGGUAAUAGAUAAUAAAUACAUAACUUCGAUAUUAUCUUGUGAUCAUCUAGAUUCAAAUACAUAGCAGAUUCAACUAGAUUUUGAGUCCAAUGAUUAUUUAUCAAUGGUAUCAUAAUAAAGGUACACUAAAUAUGAACUGCAGAAGGUAAUAGAUAGGUACAUAACGUUGAUGUUAUCAGAUCAUCUAGAUUCCAGUACAUUGCAGAUUAAGCUAGCUUUUGAGUCUGACGAUUAGUUAUCAAUGAUAUCAUACCGACGUUAUGUGAACAAUGAUAACAAGUUUCAUCGUAUUACCACAUUAUGUAAGAAGCUAAGAAUAUUUUCCCCAAAAAAAAAGGGAGAAGAAAAAGAAACUAAGAGUAGAUCAAGUAACAUAUUGUUCAUUAAAAGUCUUCUACAAGUAUUUUUCAUUUCGGUAUAAUGGAAAGUAUUAUUAUUAUCAUUUUUUUAGACCGGCCUGUACGUCAUGCCGGGGGUGUUAGGAAAAGGAAAACAUAUCUCAUAUUGACUGAGUAUUGAACUUUAUUUAAGUAUAUAUGACUUGGAUAACCUUUACAUUUUGAGCUAGCAUUUGGGUUGAGAUAGGCCCAUACACUUCUUUACUUAAUUCCAUAUAAACCUAGUUAACUCUUAUGCAAUGGACACCAUUUAACUUGGUAUCAAUGUUGGCUUUUUUAAUUUUAUUUUUUCCUUUACUAUAUCAUGACAUGUCAGUCUGUGGAAUGAUUUUGUAAAUAUGAUUAGCUUGUAAUAAUAUAAUUUUGUAUGUUAUGAUUAGUUUGUAAAUUUAUUAUUAGUUUCUCACAUAUCUUACAUAUUUAAGAACAAACUCUGCCUAAUUGUUGUAAUAGGUGGUUAUCCCUGGGAAGAUAAUGAACCCAAUUUAUGGGCCAAAUCAAGAAGAAAAAUCGAAAAAAUUGCCAAUAAAGCAUUAUCCCGAUUUGGCCAAGUCCCUGGAAAAUCUCUAUCAGCUGUCGGCAACCAGGAUUCCGGAUUACUGAAAGUUCUUCGCACCUCAGCAGCAACCAAAAUGGUCAGCAAUGCCAUCUUAACAGGCUCUCUAAGGUCCAGGCAUAUUGAUAUUCAAGACAUGAGGCCACAGGACAAAUGUAACAAUGAAAAUGUCAGUGCUAUAUAUCAGCAGGCUUUUCCUUCAAUAUCUGUUUUCAAUAACCUUGUUGAAGCUGUAGAAAUUGCAUGGGUGAUUAGUUCUGGAGAUUCUCAUUUGUUGAAGGAAAAGAAAAUUGGAGAGUUAAAAGUGUUGGUGGGUUUCCAGAUUUGGAGAUUGAACCAAGAGGGUAUUGUUGCUUUCGUGGAAAAAUUAAUUAGUAGGCCAAUAGCCUGUAGAAUUGAUUAGAAAACAAGAAUUUCAACUUUGUAUUGCAAAAAUUAAUAUUGAAGAUUUAAAUGGAGGAAAUUUUUUUGCAAACAAAAGAAGUUUCAGCAAGACAAGUGUAUUUGCUAUUCGAUCAAUGUUUAAAUCGUGAUAUAAUAAUAAUGCAAGGUUAGAAAUCUGCAGAUUAAGACAAGCAGUACAUUAAGUUGAACUGAUAGACAUAUCUUUCCUUUUGUUUGACGGUGACCGCAAAACAACUUUUAUGGUAAUGAUUUCCUCAGAAUAACGAGCAUCAACCAUGUCGGAAAGAUCCUGAAAUCCAGAAUCCAACAUCGAAGACCUUUCACACAUCAAUUAAAAAAAAAUUAAAAUACAGGGAAUUAGGGUCCUAAUUUUUUAUGUAAUAUACAAGACAUACAGAAGCGUAAACCUAAAAAGUUCCACAAUCUUUUGAGAAGGUUUAUUCGGCCUAAACAUUUUUUCCAUCUUACAACAUUGAUGUCAAUUUUCUAGAAUCACAGAGCCUAAUUUGUAAAUUUAUUAAAAAUAGAAUAUAAGUGAUUUUUAGAUGGAAAAAAGUUCUAUAUGACCCACAAGAUGUCUAGCUUUACCGAAUAUAAAAAAUCCUCAUAACUCAAAGUAUAUAAUCUUAAAUAAUUUUAGGAGGUAGUGACUAACUUUUAGAAUGAGUAACUAUCAUAAAAAUUCUACACAUUUCGUUAAUCUAUAUGGUUUUAAGUAUUAAUAAUAAUUCCCCAAUAUAUAAUACCACAAAAUCGGGUAAAAGCUUGUUUAGUCCCUAUAUUAUGAGCUUAGUGUCCAUUUAAUCCCUGUAUUUUUAAAAAUACCUCAAAACAUCCUUACUAUUAAAUAUUGACACUUAUGCCAUUAUUUUUUAUUUUUUUAGCAUGCUUUUACAAUUUUACACUCUUGCAGUAAUGUUUCUUUUUUAGAUAUUAAUAAAAAAAAUUGGAUUAUCAAAUUAAACCCAAAAAUAAAAUAAAAAAAGAUAUAUAUUAAUUUUUGUGGAAGUUCAUGUGUGUCCAAAAAAAUUAAUUUUGUAAAAAAUUAAGUUAUCAAUUUUUUUAAAAAAUUAAUAUUUUAACUUCUCAGCAGAGUGUUCCACAAAAAUUAAUAUAUAUAUAUAUUGUUUUUAUUUUAUUUUUUGGUGUUAAACUGGUAAUUUAAUUUUUCUUUUUAAUAAUGUUUAGAAAAGGAACAUUAUUGUAAUAGGGUAAUAUUGUAAAAAUAAGUCAAAAUAAACAAAAGGUAAUGGCAAGAAUGUCAAUAAUUUAAUGAUAGGGAUGCUUUGAGGUAUUUUUAAAAAUAUAGGGACUAAACGGACACUAACCUCAAAGUAUAGGGACUAAACGAGCUUUUACCCCACGAAAUCAUACAAUAACAUAAAGAUUCAAAAUGUCCAAAUUUAUCUUAAAGAUCAAACACAAUAAUUCUGACUUUAUACAAGAAUAGAGUGCCCAAAUAUCAUAAAAAUUCAUAGCUUAAGCAUCUCCACAUUUUUUUAACACCUUUGUUUCUGGAAUGAUAAAAACUAAGAAAUAAUUUGGCUAUACUCUCUAUUGAAUCUCUCCUAGCCGAUCGAGGAAGAUGGAGCUCCUUUUUUUUUCUCUUUCAUUUUUCUAUUUAUAGUUUGAGUUUUAUUAGUGGGCUUGAUUGAGCUCAAUUGUGCUUGACUUAAAAUAGUGAGAAGUGAUAUUUGAUCUCCCUAAUUUAUCUCAUAAAUCUCCGGUUUUUUAAUUAAUCAACUUAUUUCAAUAAUUUCUUUUAUAAAAAAUUAAUUAUUAUUUUUAAUUUCUUUUUUAUCUUUUCUCUCUCAUAGUUUGAUUUGCUCAAGAAAAAUGAAUUUCUUUGUUUGAACAAAGGAAAAUAUACGCUUGACUAUUGAUAGAUGGAAUUGGAAAGCUUAUUAUUUGCCAAUAUUGCUGAAGAUAUAAGCCAAGCAAAAGAGAGUGAAACAUAUCACAAAUAAGAGAAGACAAAGUUGGUGGAAUGAUUUGCUUAGAAAGGUAGUAUCGCGUUGCCUCUUGCUUUUUGUUAAACAUAUCACAAAUAAGAGAAGAAAGGUAGUAUCACGUUGCCUCUCUUGCUUUUUGUUUAGGGAUGGCAAUAGGGUGGGGUGAGGUGGGGGUGGGGACGACAACCCAAUUCCUCACCCAUUAAAAAUUUCGCCUCCAAUUUCCACCACAUUUCCUAAUAAAUUCAGUGGAGUGGGGAUAAGAAAUUUUCAUGUAGGAAUGAUUUCCCUAUUCCCACCCCAUUCCCCAUUUACUAUUUUACAGUAGGCAUGAAUACAUGAUUUCAGUAAAUUAAAAAAUAAAGACUUAAAUAAAAUUAUCACCAUAUUAUAAAUUAUUUAAAUUAUUUAAAAUGAUCUCCAAAAUUUUGAAACAAUAUCUUAAAAUGAUAUCAAAACUGAAAAAUAUUUGAAGAGAGUAGCACCUUAAGAGAGAAAAGAAAACAUAACAAGCGAGAGGCUGUACUAAAACGAAGCCACAUUGAGAGCGAUAGUUCCACGAUCCCGACCAGCAACAUAUUUUAAGGUUGAAUAAGAAUUAUAUUGUAGAAUUGUUUUUUAGUUAUGGCCUAUUUGUAUUAGGUAUCAAUAAAAAGAAAAUUUAUUAACCAACAUUGUAAUUGAUAAAAUAAAAAAUAAAAAAUAUUUAUAUAUAAUAGGGGUUAGGGUGGGGGUGGGGUGAGAAGUACAAAACCAAAUCCUAUCCUACCCAAUUAAGAAUUUCAAGAUUAUUUUUCCUUAUUAAACACCAUAUUCCUAAAAAAUUAUUCAAAAUUUAUCUUAUUUGGGGUGGGUCUCCUUAUAGCCCCAAAUCAGUGGAGGAUUUUAUCACCCCUACUUUUGUUUGAUAAUAAUGAUUAUUAUGGACUAAUUACGUUGAUUAAUUUUGCUAAAACUUAAACCUGUAAACUUGUUCCAAAGCUACAAAUUACAAAUUGUGAUGGCCUUUAACUGGUUGGGUAAUUGCAGCUCAAAUGGAAUUAAAAAAAAGUUAAUUUACGAAGGAAUUUGGUAAGAAAGAAUAAUUCGUUAUGAAUUUAUUAAAAUAAAUGUUGAUGUUCAUAACAUAUAUCUCUUAGUUUCCCCAUUAUCUCCCAUUAGCAACCUUUAGCUUCCCUAUAACUCCCACUAUCUCACAAGGAAUUAUGAUCCAUAAUUUUUAUAUUUAUUUCAUGGAGUGAUUAUGUAACUAUAAUGAAAAAUCUUUGAAAAACAAAAUUUUGUCUUAGCUUACAAAUCGAGUAUUUGCCUACUGGAAUACUCUUACAUCAGUCAACAUCUACUAAAAAAGUUUUGAAGCAUUUUUAUAUGGAUGAAGCCCAUCCAUUAAGCACUCCAAUGGUGGUGCGAUCACUUGAUGUAGAAAAAAAUCCAUUUUGUCCUAAAGAAGAUGGCCAAGCAAUUCUUGGUCCUAAAGUACAAUAUUUAAGUGCAAUUGGUGCACUCAUGUAUCUUGCAAAUUGUACUCGACCUGAUAUUGCAUUUUCAAUUAAUUUAUUAGUAAGAUAUAGUUCUGCACCAACUCGUAGGCAUUGGAAUGGUGUAAAGCAUGUAUUUCGCUAUCUCCGUGGAACAAUUGACAUGGGAUUAUUUUAUCCAAAUGGAUCAAAGUCACCAUAAUUGGAUAUGCAGAUGCUGGACAUCUCUCUGAUCUACAUAAAGCCCGAUCUCAAACGGGUUAUUUGUUUACCUCUGGUAAUAAUGUUGUAUCCGAUCAAUGAAACAAACAAUGGUUGCAACAUCUUCAAAUCAUUCAGAAAUUCUUGCUAUUCAUGAAGCAAGUCGUGAGUGCAUUUGGUUAAGAUCAAUGAUACAACAUAUUCAAGAAACAUAUGGAUUGUCAUCAAUUAAAAAUAACCCUACAAUAUUAUAUGAGGAUAAUGCAGCAUGCAUUGCCCAAAUUAAAGGUGGUUAUAUAAAAGGUGAUAGGACCAAGCAUAUUUCACCCAAAUUAUUUUAUACACAUGAGCUUCAAAAGAAUGGUGAAAUAGAUAUUCAGCAAAUACGCUCAAGUGAUAAUCUUGCACAUUUAUUUAUAAAAUCCCUACCAACGGCGACAUUCAAAAAGUUGGUACACAAAAUUGGGAUGCGUCAACUCAAAGAUUUUUCUCCAAAUCUUGAAGAAUUUAUGUCAAGAUGAGGGGGAGUACACUUAUUGGGGAAAAUAAUUUAUUUUGGAAGAAAUUUUAUAUGUUGUACUCUUUUUCCUCACUAGGUUUUUAUCCCAUAUGGUUUUUCCUAGUAAGGUUUUAAUGAGUAAACUUUAUAUCUCCAAAAUUAUUCAAGACAUCAAUGAAUAAUGUAUUCUUUUUCCUAAGGAUUUUUUUUUUUAGUAAAGGUUUUAAUGAGGGAUAUUCUUUGUAAUGAACAUCUAAGGGGGAGUGUUAUGAAUUUAUUAAAAUAAAUGUGGAUGUUCAUAACAUAUAUCUCUUAGUUUCCCCACUAUCUCCCAUUAGCAACCUUUAGCUUCCCUAUAACUCCCACUAUCUUACAAGGAAUUAUGAUCCAUAAUUUUUACAUUUAUUUCAUGGAGUGAUUAUGUAACUAUAAAAUGAGAGCUCAUCUCUUUGUUUUGUACACACACUUGGAAUGAAUAAAAUCACUCUAUAAUAUAUUACUCUCUCAUUUUAUUCUUCAUCUUGUGUUGCUUUUUUAUUUCGUAUUGCUGGUUAAUAGCUUUUCUAACAUAAUUUUAUUUUUUUUAAUAUCGUGAAGAAUCUUAAAUGCAAACGCGAUGAAUUGAUGGUUAUGAAAAAUUGAAGAUAGGUGGUGGUUGUGGCGGCAGCUGUGGUGCUACUAUGAAAAAAAUAAUAAUUUUUUUGGAGUAGUUAUGAAAAUACAUAAAAUUAUUGAGAUAAUUAGAGUCGUACAUCAUUACUCUUAAUAUAUUAACCCAGCCCUCUGGAAGGUCGGUCGAGCCAAGUUGAGCUAUUUUACUAUCCCUGGUGUGCAUCACACAGCAUGUGCUAAUUAAUAAUGGAAAAUGUUUGGUGAAGAGAAGCAAGAGAGAAAGACGAGAGAAAUAAAGAAGAAAAUGGUAGAGAGAGAGUGAGACGGUAGAGAGAGAGAAGACAAAAUUCUCUCAUAUUUCUCUCGUGUUUCUCUACACCUAGCACUACUCAUUAAUAAUUGGAGUUUAUAAUUAAUGAGACUUUUUUGAAACUGCUGUGAAGUUUCACUAGUGCAAAGUCAAUGGAAUAUGUCUUAUACUAGGAGUUUUCCAUCUCAAUCACGUCACUACUAGAAAAAUGGGCUUUACUGAUACUAAUUUAGUGUCAGUAAUUACUUUUCUUGACACUUAUUAAUUGUGUCAAUGAUGCUCAAGCCAGAACACACUGACACUAAUUUUUAGUGUCAGUGAUUAUUGUGUCAGUAAUUAGUGUCGUUAUAGUAUCACCUAGUAUUUGAUGAUAUUAUUUAUACAUCAGUGAUUUAUGUGACUAUAGUAUCAAGAGCACACUGAUUCAAUAACAUCAAAAGUUAUUAUUGUCAUUUAAAAUAUUUAGUGUUAAUAUUUAAUGAUAUUAUGCUACUUUUGGUUAAUAGUAUAUUUUUAUUUUUAUUUUUAUUUUUAUUUUCCUGCUUGUUUUACAAUCAAAAUAAAACUCAAAAUAUAUUAAAUAUACCAAAUCUCACAACACAAUUCAUAUAAUAAACAUCCCAAUACAUCACUUACAUUAAUAUAAUUUAACUACAUCAUUGUUUGGAAAAGAAAAAUAUAAGUACCAAAUUGAGUUUCGACCAGUUCUAAACAACAGAAUACAAAAUUAAGUUUCAUCAAACAUUAACCUACAAAAUUAAGCAUAAGAAUGUCACUGAAUAUCCACACAUGGUUUCAUUUUUUUCCCACCUACAAGUACAUAAAAUCAAUUAGUACACCUCAAAAAAUAAGUCUUGGAAUUUGGAAACAAUAUAUAAAGUGCAAUAAUUUUUCCAGUGCACUAAUAUUAAUUUGAAAGAAUUUUUGUUUUCAAAAAUUACAUGGCAUGCUUAUCUAAUGAAAACCUUAUAAAUUAACAAUGAACAUAUGUAUUAAUUUGAAAGCAUUCAACUUACAAGUAAUCCUUAUCAAUCUUAAAUUGUUGGAAUGUCCUCUAGUUGACCAGCAACUGAUGCUCCACCUAUAAAUUAGAGAGACAUUUAUAAGAAACUGUGGCAAUCUUAAACAAAGAAAUGUAAAUUUCAAAACUGUGUAUAAAGAAAAUCACAUAAAUCUAGUAGUGCAUUCCGCAUAUUACAUGAUCAUCCGGAAGCUGGUUCUGCCCAAUCAAAUGUUCAUCACUUAAUUAAUCUAGAGAAACCAAAAUAAAAAAAUAAAAAAUAAAAAUCUAGCUACCACUUAAUUAAAAAAUGUUCAUCACUUAAUUAAUAAGUUGUAGUUGGCAAAACAAAAUAUAACAUUUAAUCAUUAAAUAUUAUCCAAGUCCAACCCAACAAAAUAAAAUCAAGGAGCAUUAAUAGAGGUCAACUAGCUCCCACCGUCCUGGGCUUAUUUUUUACAGUUUCUUGUGAUUAUACUUGUUACAACUACCAUCUCAUAGUUAUUGAAGAGGUCACAGAUUCGGAAGGAGAGAGGAAAAAGUAAAAAUUAGACCAUAGUGAUGGGACUGGGAAUUAAGAUCAAGUAAAGAAAAUUAGGCAUAAUUAUUGUAAAAAAAUAAAAGACCAUCAAAACAUAGCAGACAUACAGAGAUCACCAACAGCAAGCAUGGAUAUGAAAUUAAAACAACUAAACAAAAAGUUAAUUAUUUUAGUAAGUAGACUGAACUAACCUUAUGCUUCUUGCCACUAUAAUAACCAUAAGAACCUGACAGUCAUGAACACCAAAGCUUGUGAUUUUCUCUAGCCAGGAGCCCACCUGCACUGAAGUCCAUGGAUACAACAGUAUCCAAAAUAAUAAUAAAAGCCAUGAUGGGGUUUUAAAAAGUUCAUAAUUCGGUAUUAGAACAAUUGAUGGAUAAACUUAAAAAUUUGAAGUACACCAGUCAGUUUGAAGUACUUCAUACAGCUUUCAUAUAUAAAAUAUAAAUGUGAAAUAACAUGUUCACAGUGGAGACCAAUCAGCUGCUGAAGAAACUAUUGCCUUGCUUUACAUAUACAGAGCAUCCCAUGCUCAUUAUCAUGGAAUGUCCCAAUUCCCCAUUCUUUUAUUCCAAAACAAACCAACAAUGCAAGACAUAAAAAUUGAGACGUGAAAUGAAAAAUACAUCAAACUAAUAAGCUUCAGAAGUUUACCCAAAUCAAUUAGCAAAUGGCACAAAACACAACAUUAGCAGGUAGCCUGCUAGACGUGCAUGCUAUUCUACUACACUAAAACAUUAACAUUAAAAGUCACAACCAGUUUAAAAAGAACUACGGGCACACAACUGUAGAAGUUCUCCAGCAAAAGAUCAGGGAACGCUUACAAUGAAACUGGCCCCCAGUUAUAUACAUCCAUCCAUCUGGAGGUGGAACCCACAACCUCAACCAUCAAAUGGUCCAGGUGGCAAGAUCCACCCUCAGUCCCCCACCCCUUCUUCAAAGCUGAUCACGCAGAAAACCCAUAACGCUAACUAAACUUUUAAAACAAAUAAAAAGAGGUUUCAUCAAACACUAACCCACCACCACAAGCCAUGAAAGUGACAGCAACAAGCAAGCCAUUAAACCAAAGCAUGUACCACCAUCCUCAUCAUCACGUGUCAUGUCAAAGCCACAAAAAUUUAACACUGAGUUACGGUUUGAUUUGAUGACGCAUGUUCUUGGAAGCCUCCCAAACAGUAGCUAGUGCCUUUACAUUUGCCAACAGUGCUUUGUUUCACAUUCUUUCUUGUGCCAUCGCGGGCUGGACUGAAGCAAACAGGAAGGUAUUCAUCACAUGGAAAGUCAAAACUCCGAAAGUGCUUCACCAGCUCCUCCUUUCCCUAUAUAAUAAUAAAAAAGCACUUUUUAUUAUUUCCCGAUAAGACUUUACACAAGUAACGAUCAAAGCUUUUGUUCUCAAUCUUAAAACAGAUCACAAAAAGUUCAAACAAAAAAAAGGGCCAACUCCUAACACAAUCCACCAAUAAACUCCCCAUUAAACUUCGAUCAUACUAUGGAAUGACAAAUUACUGCAAACUCCAAAAUAAAAAGGCUCAACAGAGAACAAAAACAAGAACUUAUUAAUCAGGCAGCUAAUCUAAAACACAUCCAAUUUCCAUAAGCCCGCAUAGGAUCCUCAUUUAUAAAAUAAACCCCAUUUCGCUUAAACCCUCAAAGCCACAAGACUUAAACAAGAAUUUAAAUCAAUACAUAAAGAAAAGUGCGACCUUCCAAAUAAACAUGAAUUUCUCAACAUCGGCAACAACCCAGAAAAUUAAAAUUACAAAAAAUAAUCAUAAGCUAAAAUAAAACAAACCCAGUAAUUAACUACAAUUCUAGGCAUAGGCGAACCUUCUAUAGCAAACAAAUUAACUAACUUCUCAACAAUUAUCUCAAAUUCAAGCAAAUGGGUUUCGAGUAGCGAACAAAAAAAAGUGAAAUUUGAGCAGGAAAAUAAAAAAACUCCGAUGAAAGAAGCCUCAAUUAGGGUUUGCUUUGUUUUUCGAUUUGGGGAAAAAAAGAAAAAGGAAAGAGAAGCCUCAAUUAGGGUUUGCUUUGUUCUUCGAUUUGGGGAAAAAAAGGUUUCGCUUUGUUUUCGAUUUGGGGAAAAAAGGAAAAAGGAAAGAGAAGCCUCAAUUAGGGUUUAGUUUUUCAUUAUUUGUCUGAAUUAAUUGAAUUGACCUUGCAAAUGGACAACUGGAAACAAAAGAGAUCGAGAAGAGAAAAAGGAAAAAGAGAAGGAGAAAGCAAGAUAGUGAUAGGGUUUGGUUCAAAUAUUUGCGUCCAUAAACGAAAUAAAGUUUCCAAGUCUGGGUUAUAUUUUGCUUUUGUUAUUUUAAUUUUUUUUUUAAUUUAUUACUGCUAUUAUAUCUUAAUUCUACAAGGUCCAAUGGUGUAUUGUCCAUAUUUUAAAGCUUUGAAUUUUAAAAGUCCUAGGUUCGAGUUGGAGUUAAAGCAAAUUUUAAUGAUUUUUUUUAAUCUUUAAUACUUCAACGUCAGUGAUCACUGAUGUUUAAUUUACUGACACACCAGUAUCAAUAAUUUAUGAUAUAUAUUUGUUAAAAGCGGAAAAUGGUGCAUAUGUACAAAAUUACUGACACUUUUCACAAAGUGUCAGUAAAAGUCAUUUUUGUAGUAGUGCGUGGAUCAGCAGGUUAUGAAUUAUUUGUGUAUUGUAUGUUUAUUCUAUAAAUAUAAAAUAAAAUAUCACGUAUCAUGAUCCUUGAUCUUUAGUGCUUACUAUUUUCAUUUGAUCUUUUAGUAACUUGAUAAUUAAAAAAUCGAUCAUAUUGAGAAUACACUAAGAUAAUUAGACAGGUACAUACUCAGCAAUCAAAAAACGAAGGCAAAUAAUAAAACCUGUCCAAAGAUUUAAGUAGAGAAUUAAAUUUAUAAUCACAAUUUCAAAAAUAAAGUUUCUGUCUAUUAUUUCCUCCAAUGUAUUAGUGCAAUGCUCAAUUCCAGUGAAUCAACAACCAAUAGAUACAGAGGGAAAAACAUGCUUCUCUUUUUGGCAUAGAAAAUAAAGAACAAAUCCAAUUAUUAAGUUAAAGGAUUGCACAUACACCUCUAAAGGAUUGCACAUACACCUCUGCUCGCCUUCGCGGAAUCUGAAAACAAAUUUGCAAACAAAAGAAGUUUCAGCAAGACAAGUGUAUUUGCUAUUGGAUCAAUGUUUAAAUUGUGAUAUAAUAAUAAUGCAAGGUUAGAAAUCUGCAGAUUAAGACAAGCAAUACAUUCGUGGUUAUUGAUAGACGUACCUUUACUUUUAUUUGACGGUGAUCGCAAAACAACUUUUAUGGUAAUGAUUUCCUCAGAAUAAUGAGCACCAACCAUGUCGGAAAGAUCCAUAUCAUCCGGUAAUAUAUUUUCCCCUUUAAAAAGAUCCACAUAUUUUGCUUUCUUUGGGCCAUUCGCUAUAUCUGAUAAAUACACAAGAACCAGGCUUUGCACACUAGCUAAAAUGUGUCUACGCAAUAAAUAACUAAAAAAGAUUUACACCACUAAGACAUUAAGAAAUUAAAAAAAAAGUCUUGGACAAAGAAGCAAACCUUUUGGCCAAUUUGAAACUACGGAGGAUUUGAGAUGAGCCACAGAAUCUACAGGAGAAUAAGUGAAGGGUCCAAUUUCAGUUCCAUCAAGCACCUUAAACUUCAACCUACAAAUUUUUUAAAGCUAAACACGCAACAAAACAUCUUUUACCUCUAAUUUCACUCUACAACGCUCUAUUCUAUUUUCCUGGGAAAAUACAUGCAUUUUCUUGAGAAAUAAAGUUUAACAGAUUAGAAUUAUAUGUCGUGAGGAGGUGUGCGAAUUUGACCUUGUAAGUCAACUGGAUCUCGUUUUGCUCAGUUGGUCAACGACUAAUAUUUGUACUGUUAGGGAAAAAUCAGGUUUUUAAAAUUUUAUAAAACCUUUUAAGGACCGCUCUCAUAUAAUAUAUAGGAAUACGUAAUCCAGAAAUCGUACCUUGAAAAUCCGAGUUGGCUUUUUCCGCUGAAGUGAUUUAGGCUCCUAAAUCACGAUCCGCCACCACCACUCCUGUUAGAUCACGAUCCGUCACCGCCACGCUUGUUAGAUCACGAACUGUCUCCAAUGAUCUUCCAGGUUAUGACUCAGGUUCGAUCUGCACUUGACGUGUGGGCGCCUUUAUCACUACCAAAGCAACUAGCACGAGAAAAUUUUUCUCUCAACAAUAGAGAGAAAAACUUAUUCUCUGAUCUGUAUAAAGUGGCUUCUGCUUUUUCUUUUGAGAAAAUAAGCCUUAUAUAUCUCCCUUUAGUGCAAACUCUAGGCUCCAAAUAAUGCCCUAAAUAAAAUUCACGUUAUUUUCUUUUUAAUAGGGGACCCACCUUAUAAAAUAACAUAAGGCCCCUUAUACAAAAGCUAAUUAAAUGGAGCCUCCCACUAAAUGAUAUAUUUAGGCUUUUGACCCAAAUAGCUAGUUAUCUUACUUAUUAGUCCAGUAGUGGUACAGUCAAUUAAAUGAGCUAACCUAGGGAUCAUUUGGGAACAUACAAUAGUGGCUAUAACAAUUAGGCCUGUAAUUAAACUAGCCUAAUUAUUUAAUUCCAAAUCUACUCCACUAAAAGAUUGGAACUGACUUCCAUAAUUGUAUGCUCGAAUAAUAAUUCAUCCCAAGCCACAUUGAUUUCUUUACUACACAAUCAUUUGUACCACAUCGUUAAUUAAAUUGAUAUCUCAACUGUCCAAUCAAUUUAAUAACAUCUUAUUCCUUGAUCCUUACUGGUUUUCUCUAAUGAUCAUUUUCAAUAUAUUAAAUAUAUUGACACACUCUGGCCAGAGAAUUCUAUGAUCAAGUGCCGAAAACCCAUCAAGAGAUGUGUUGUACAAAUUCUAUAUUGUUAAUCCAUAACUCUAAUACUUAUAAUUGCUCCCACCAAGAUGCCGAGUAAUCUUGACCACAAGGAUGUGUCGUGCCCAUUGGUAACUCAAAUGGAAUAACAAUUACAAUCAUGAAAUCAUAAUUAACUCAAGAUUAAGAUUACAGUAAAAUCAAUGCCUAUGAGAUUUAAUAAAUCUGACAGUUAUUACAAAGUUAAUUAAAUCUCAUAUGUGAUCCUGUUCAAUGUAGUCGUACUACAUCAACAAAUUCAUACAUGAUUAAGACAAAUCAUUCAAUGAAUUUAUUACAGUCUAUACCUAAAUAAAGUUCCCAACUUUAUUUAUCAACUGCGAACUAAAUUUAUUUAAUCAUAAGAUAACUUGUAUUUAUGUCUUCUGUGAAUCCACAUGGUGAUCACAUAAAUACAUAUAAUAUGAUUAAAUUGACUUUAAUACAAAUAUUAAUGCAAUUAAGAUAUUUGAAUAAAAUACCUCAUCUAUUUUAUUAAUCAAAAAAAUUGUUUAUUACAAUUAAAUAAACACAUAUGCUUUUAAAGAGCAUAUGUUCCCAACAAUCUCCCACUAGCUCUUAAAGCAUAUCUGGCAUAUUGCACAUGCUCUAGGGCUCUAAGUGCAGGUUAUAAAGGUUUCCCACUACUGGCCAUUGUAAUAAGAUCUGCCAUUUAGCAUCUAAUGCCAUUUGGGGUACUGUCAUAUAACAUUUCUACACUAUUCCCUUAUAAGAUUAUACUUCCUUUCAAUAUAUUUUGUUUCUUGUGGUUCCUUGGUUCCUUAGAUUGAGCUACCGCACCACCAUUAUCACAAAAUAGUUUAAGGGGUGCAGUUACAACAGGUACCACCUCAACAUUUCGUAGGAAUUUGCGGAGCCAUAUAGCUUCUUUUGCAGCUUCAGAUGUAGCCACAUAUUCAGCUUUAGUUGUUGAGUCUGUGAUACAAGAUUGUUUCACACUCAUUCAACUAAUAGCUCCACUUCCUAAUGUAAACACAUAGCCGGAAGUUGAUUUUCUGGAAUCCUUAUCUGACAUAAAGUCAGAAUCAGUAUAACCCACUGGAAUGAGUUCAUCACCAGAAUACACAAGCAUAUAAUUUUUAGUUUUUUUCAGAUACUUCAUUAUAUGCUUGACCGUAGUCCAGUGUUUAGGUCCAGGAUUAGAUUGAUAUCUACUAACCAUCCCUACCGCAAAACAGAUGUCUGGCCUAGUGCAAAGCAUGACAUACAUGAGACUUCCCACAGCUUCUGCAUAGGGAACUCGUCUCAUUCUCUCUAUCUCUUCAGAUGUUUUAGGUGAUUGAUCCUUAGAGAAUGUAAUUCCAUGUCUGAGUGGUAAUAAACCAGUCUUGGAAUUCUCCAUGCUAAAUCUAGCCAAUAUCUUAUCGAUAAAGACCGCUUGAGACAAGGCUAAAGUUUUAUUCUUCCGGUCUCGUAGUAACCUAAUACUAAGAAUAUAACUUACCUCCCCCAGGUCUUUCAUAUCAAAUUGUUUUGCUAACCAACUCUUUAUUGUAGUCAAUACUCCUAUAUUGUUUCCAAUCAGGAGAAUAUUGUCUACACAAAGAACUAGGAAGGCUACAAAUUUUCGCUGAAUUUUCUUGUACACACAUGGUUCAUUAAUGUUCUGAAUGAAUCCAAGCGAUUUAAUCGCUUGAUCAAAUCUGAUGUUCCAUGACCAAGAUGCUUGCUUCAAUCCAUAAAUGGAUCUCUGCAACUUACAUACCAUGUGUUCUUGGCCUUUUUUGUAUAAAUCCAUAUGGUUGCUGCAUGUAGAUGUUUUCUUCAAGAUGCCUGUUAAGAAAGGCAGUCUUGACAUCCAUUUGCCAAAUUUCAUAAUCUAGCACUGCAGCAACGGAGAGCAGAAUCCUGAUGGAUUUAAGCAUAGCAACCGGAGAAAAGGUUUCCUCAUAAUUGAUUCAUUCUUUCUGAGUAAACCCUUCGGCUACUAAUAUUACUUUAAAUGUUUCCACCCUUCCACCUACUCCUCUUUUUCUCUUGUAAAUCCACUUGCACCCUAUAGGUUUUACCCCAUUUGGUGCCUCUACAAUUUCCCAGACUUUAUUGGAAUACAUAGAUUCCAUUUCUUGAUUCAUGGCCUUUUUCAAAAUUCAACAUCUCUAUCUAUUAGAGCUUCGUUGUAACUAGUGGGAUCUUGUACAUGUUCAUCUGAGAUAGCCGUAUAGGUUUCUCCUAAAAGCAUGUAUCUCGCAGGUAACCUAGUUACCCUCCCACUACGACGAGGUUCUAAAAGUGAUGGUUGUUCAAGGAUAAUCCUGUGCUGAUCAGCUGGUUGUUGCUGUUCUUUCUGUUCUAUAACAGGUGUUGAAAGCUUAGCAUCAACCUGAUCUAUUUUAUUUCUCUAGUUUUACCUUACUCUUAGGUUAUAAGUCAUUAUAUAGUCUUCCUCAAAGAAAGUAAAGAAUAUUUCUAUAAAUACAUUCCUAUCUUGAGGACUAUAAUUCAGACUUUCCCUUAUUCCUUUAAGAUACCUAAAACAUGCAAGCUUCUGAACACGAAUCCAUCUUCUCUAUCUCUGAUUCUAGUAGAAAUACUAGUAAACUCCAAAUACGAAUGUGUCUCAAACCAUGUUUGUGACUUUUUCAUAAUUUCUUGGAGUAGUAGACACCGAGAUAGAUGAAACUAAGUUCAAUAAACUUUGUAGUUUCAAAUACUAGUAUCUGGAAUAAAAAAGGUAAAUGAUAAACCACUUAGUAAAUAUCUUGUCUUAUCCAAAAGAAUCUUGUUUCUCCAUUUAAUUACACUAUUGUAUCAUAGUGUUCAUUGAUAACCAAAUAGUGCUUGAAUUCUCCAUAGAGUUAUUCUCUGUUUCGAUCAUAUCGAAGUUCUUUUAUGUUCUUGUCUAAUUGCUUUUGUCUUAUCCACGUACUCUUUUGAAUUUCAAAAGCAAUGGAAUCAUGACGCAUUUAGACAAACAUAAAUUAAAAUGAAUAUUCAUCAACAAGAUUGAUAGAAUACACAUAACCUUUUAUAACAUGUAAACUGAUUAACCCGUAUACAUUUGUAUGCGCUAAAUCAUCAAAUACAAUGUUAUGCUUUUAGCUCAAACAGAGCAUCCUUGUCAUAUUACUUUUCUAAAUAAGAUUUAUAGAUUUACAAUGAUCAAUCUUAAUAGGCCAACAAGUCUAUCAUUAAUCAUUUUCUUAAAAUCUUAUUAUGGUUUAUAUGACUUAAGCAUAAAUAUCAGAGGUAAUUUUGGUUUGAAGAAACAUUUCUUUUCUUAGAUAAAUGCAUAUACUCUUUAUCAUUAUAUCUUACUUUGAAUAGAUCAAUGGACUUAUAUGAUAUAAAUUGUCUUUAUAAAUAACCAAAAUAAAUAAUAAACAGAGGAUAAAAAAAAUAAUAGUGUACUCCUGUUUAUUAAAACAAGUCACCGAAAUUAAUAUUCCUCUAAUAUUUGGAAAAAUAAAGACAAAUAUCAAAACUAAAGUCUUGUAAAAUUGAUCUAGUCUUUCAAUUGAUAUAAACUAGCAUGUCCUCAACUGCUGUUUGAAGCUUUCUUCACUUAAUCUCUUGGUUUCCUGAAAACCAAAUAAAUGAAUUACAAAUAAGAUUAGUUAUCUCAGAAUUCAUUAUUGUAUGAAUCAAUAGAAAUCUGAACUAAUUAGGAAGCUUAAAGAUUUCAUAUACCUGAUUUUAAUAAUCUUAGGACAAUCUUUCUUCCAGUGACCCUUCAGUCCACAUUUGUAACACUUGCCUUUUGGCUUGCCACUUCUUUUAGUGGACAGUUUGUCGAUCCCAACUCUUGCUUGCUCAUUCUUGUCUUUCGACUUAAGCCUUGAAGAGAAUCCUUUUUCAGGAAGUUUUCUGCUAUGAUAAAAUUCUUCUAUAGCAUGUAGUUCAUGCAUUAAUUCAGUUAAGGUCAUAUAUUUAUUGUUUAAGAUAUAGCUGACCUUAAACUCUUUGAAUGUAUCAGGUAAAGAUUCAAUCACCAUGUUAAUCUUUGAUUUAUCAUUGAUUUGAACACCAUGAAUCUCUACCUCAUUCAAAUAGUCCAUCAUUUUGAGGACACAAUCACGAACUUUUGUGCCCUCUUCCAUCUUAGUAUCCGUAAUACGUUUUAAUGCUGCUUCUCUGGCAAAAUGGGUAUUUUGCCCAAACAUCUAAUGAAGACUAGCCAUUAUUUCAGUGGCUGUUUCCAUGCUCCGAUGUUUCUUAUGCAGUUCCAAAGAAAUCGAAGCCAAUAUAUAACGCUUAGCCAUUUUGUUAGCUUCGCACCAUUUCUCAUAAGGCUCCCUCUGAUUUCUAUAAUCGUAUAACGAUGGUUCAGGAGGGCAAGGCUGGGUCAACACAUAUUUGCUUCCCUUAGCAGUGAGAAUAUUAAAUAGAUUGCGUUUCCAAUCUAAAUAAUUUUUGCCAGUGAGUUCAUUUUUAACAAGGAUAAUUAAUAAUGGGUUGAUGGAAGACAUUUUCUGAAAAAAAUAAAAUAAAAAUGUAUAAAUACUUUGAAACAAUAUUCACAAUAAAUGACUAAAAUGCAAAAAACCAUAAAUGCAUUUUAAUUUAUUGUAACGAUAAUCUAGUACCGCUUUGACAAGUUAUCCGUUGGGGAAGUCAUGUCUACACUUACUAGACUCAAUUAUCCAUUAGAUUAUUUACUUUCAUGUAGAGACAUGAUAAAUAAUUAUCGUUAUCCCUUUGGGCCUAAAUUUGUUAACAGAGCUUCGUUGGGAAGGUUAAUAACAAACUUUAGUUGAGUGUAUAACCAUUGUUUCAAUCUACGUAUUUUUCAUAUCAAUAGUCACCGUUGGGGUGAACAAUCGAUUGAAAAAUAUUUUAAUUUUAUCUUUGAAAAAGUUCAUCAAAUAAAAUAUCUAAUAUAUAUACCCUCCGAAGGGAGCAUCACCGUAUCAUGAAGUCGAGGUAUAUAUAUAAUUUUAUUAUUGAACUAAUAAUGGAGCCCGUGGGAAAAUUAUCUUGAAAUUUCCCUCUCCCACUCAAUAUUUUAAAAUUGGUUUUUCCUUUUUAAAACAUACAUAUUGUUAAUUGCAUGCUUCCUAUAAUAUUAUCUAAAUGAAAUCAAAUAUUAUUAAGCAUGUGCAAAUUUCAAACAAUAUAAUGAAAUUCAUAAUUAAUGAAUGACAUAUAUCAUUAUGCAUAGAGUGGCACUACCUAUUCUAUAUGACAUGUUAUCAUGACAUGUUAUCAUCCAAAACAUAACAUAUAGAAAAAUAAUUAAAUAAUCUUAAUUCAUGGUUUUCCUAAUAAUGAAAAAUACAUUAACCCUAAGCCUAAUCUUCAUUGGGCUUCUUGUCAAUGUCCAUCUUCCAUAAGCUUGUCUUUGUUAAUGGACUAGGGGAAAUUGAGCUUUUAAAUUUAUAAUUGGUCCAAUUUUAAUUUUCAAAAGAAAUAAAAAAAAAUUUAUUAAAAUAAAACUUUUGGACCAAAAUAAAUUUAAUGCAUUCAAUUUUAUCUAUGCAUCUUAAUCCAUUAAGCCAAAUUGAAAUUGGGCCUAAAACUAGGAUUUAUUAAACCCAAAACUAUUUUUGGAUUUAAACGCAAAAAAUUAAACUUUUUCUGCCCAAAUAAAAAUUAUGGAACCAUAGGGAUCUCCAUGAUAAAAACCACGAAACCCUAAAUCCAUAUUUUUCUUUCUCUCUUCUUCCCCAGCCGCCAUCUCCACAAAGCAGUAGCUGCUGUUCCCGGUCAACCGCCGCUGUUCAGAGACACCGGCCGGUCUCCGUCACAUCUCCGACGAGGAACGACCAAACUCGCGCGCAACUUGCUGCUGGCCUCGGUAGCGUUGCUUCCAGCUGCAGCACAUGCAGCGCGCGUUGCUGGCCACGCUGGCCGCGCUCGCUGCUUUGCUGGGUGCAGCGCAGCGCGCGCCGCUGGCCAUUGCUGGCCGCGCGCGCUGCUGUAGCAUGGCCUGGUUUGCUGCCGCACGCGUGUUUUUGCAUUGCUGGUUGGUGGCCGCCGCUGAAAAAAAAAAAAUUCCGGCUUCUGUCGUUUUCAUCUCAUUUUCCAGUGAUGAAUUACAAAUUUCCUAUGCCAAUUUUGGCUUACAAAAUUUCUAUAACAGUAAACUAAAUCAAGAGGGAAACAUAGUGAUAAAAGACCACCCCUUGUUACAGAUCCAAAUAAAUAUUACAACGGAAAAUCUAGCCAUGAAUUAAGACAAACCAUAACAUGCUUUAUUCAUAUAUUAAACAAAUAAUAUAUAUCUGAAUAAAAUGUGCCACUCUAAUACAUAAAUUUCAAGAUUAAUUUCAUACGAAAUUCUUAUAUAUUAAUAUAACAUGUCUUUGAUACCAAUUGUUAGGGAAAAAUCAGGUUUUUCAAAUUUUAUAAAACCUUUUAAGGACCUCUCUCAUAUAAUAUAUAGGAAUACGUAAUCCAGAAAUCGUACCUUGAAAAUCCGAGUUGGCUUUUUCCGCUGAAGUGAUUUAGGCUCCUAGAUCACGAUCCGCCACCACCACUCCUGUUAGAUCACGAUCCGUCACCACCACGCUUGUUAGAUCACGAACUGUCUUCAAUGAUCUUCCAGGUUAUGACUCAGGUUCGAUCUGCACUUGACGUGUGGGCGCCUUUAUCACUACCAAAGCAACUAGCACGAGAAAAUUUUUCUCUCAAUAAUAGAGAGAAAAACUUAUUCUCUGAUCUGUAUAAAGUGGCUUCUGCUUUUUCUUUUGAGAAAAUAAGCCUUAUAUAUCUCCCUUUAGUGAAAACCCUAGGCUCCAAAUAAUGCCCUAAAUAAAAUUCACGUUAUUUUCUUUUUAAUAGGGGACCCACCUUGUAAAAUAACAUAAGGCCCCUUAUACAAAAGCUAAUUAAAUGGAGCCUCCCACUAAAUGAUAUAUUUAGGCUUUUGACCCAAAUAGCUAGUUAUCUUACUUAUUAGUCCAGUAGUGGUGCAGUCAAUUAAAUGAGCUAACCCGGGGAUCAUUUGGGAACAUACAAUAGUGGCUAUAACAAUUAGGCCUGUAAUUAAACUAGCCUAAUUAUUUAAUUCUAAAUCUACUCCACUAAAAGAUUGGAACUGACUUCCAUAAUUGUAUGCUCGAAUAAUAAUUCGUCCCAAGCCACAUUGAUUUCUUUACUGCACAAUCCUUUGUACCACAUCGUUAAUUAAAUUGAUAUCUCAACUGUCCAAUUAAUUUAAUAACAUCUUAUUCCUUGAUCCUUACUGGUUUUCUCUAAUGAUCAUUUUCAAUAUAUUAAAUAUGUUGACACACUCUGGCCAGAGAAUUCUAUGAUCAAGUGCCGAAAACCCAUCAAGAGAUGUGUUGUACAAAUUCUAUAUUGUUAAUCCAUAACUCCAAUACUUAUAAUUGCUCCCACCAAGAUGCCGAGUAAUCUUGACCACAAGGAUGUGUCGUGCCCAUUGGUAACUCAAAUGGAAUAACAAUUACAAUCAUGAAAUCAUAAUUAACUCAAGAUUAAGAUUACAGUAAAAUCAAUGCCUAUGAGAUUUAAUAAGUCUGACAUUUAUUACAAAGUUAAUUAAAUCUCAUAUGUGAUCCUGUUCAAUGUAGUCGUACUACAUCAACAAAUUCAUACAUGAUUAAGACAAAUCAUUCAAUGAAUUUAUUACAGUCUAUACCUAAAUAAAGUGCAAAGUUAAUUAAAUCUCAUAUGUGAUCCUGUUCAUUGUAGUCGUACUACAUCAACAAAUUCAUACAUGAUUAAGACAAAUCAUUCAAUGAAUUUAUUACAGUCUAUACCUAAAUAAAGUGUCCAACUUUAUUUAUCAACUGCGAACUAAAUUUAUUUAAUCAUAAGAUAACUUGUAUUUAUGUCUUCUGUGAAUCCACAUGGUGAUCACAUAAAUACAUAUAAUAUGAUUAAAUUGAAUUUAAUAUAAAUAUUAAUGCAAUUAAGAUAUUUGAAUAAAAUACCUCAUCUAUUUUAUUAAUCAAAAAAAUUGUUUAUUACAAUUAAAUAAACACAUAUGCUUUUAAAGAGCAUAUGUUCCCAACAUGUACGCAGUAAGAUAGUUAAUGAACAUUUCUAGUUACCAUCAGGGCCAAAGAUUCCUUUGCUUUGCUUUCAGCGUCGAAGUUAUCCGAUGCUUUCAUGAAUUGGAUUUUGUUAUUGCUUCUUUUGGAAACGGCAUACAUAAUUUGUUCUUUUCUUUUCCUUAUUUAUCGCAGCAUAAAUUAUAAAAUAUUGAUAAAGUUGAUGUGCUAAUGUUUUUCUUUCUCUUAAAAUAUUAUAAAGCUUUUGCUUUCAUUUGGGAGUGGUUAUAGUGGCGAUGAUGCUAGUCUCUUCACAUGCCCCUUGAACAUAGUUUAUAUUAUUUGAAAAAAAAAUCCACGAAAUAUUCUCACCACCACGAUUUUUCGGCACUGUUCAGUGUGAUCACCAAACCUUCUUUAUUACAAAAGCCAAAAUGUACAAUUGAAUUUGUUCCAUAUGAUUAGACAAAGAACUAUCAAUUACCUCUUUGCCUAUUGAACAUAUAUAGUUCAAUGUCCAAGAAGAAUUUUUUUGACUGAUUGCAAUUCGUGGACAACAUUUGUUAUGUUCAUUCGAUCUUGUGGCAACUCCAUUGAACAUGCAACUCCAAUUCCAACCAUAGAUUUGAGACAUUCAAUUCUGUUGUUGAUUCUUGCUUGUCUUUGAUUUUGGUUAGUAGCAGUCAAUUCUUCGUCAUCGUUUAGAAUUACUGCAUCCACAAUAUCUAUCACAUGAUCAGGCAAGGCUGUUUUCGCAAAGUUAUGAAGAUUCAAGUCUCCCUCAAACAUAACAUUUGUGGGUCUUUUACUUGUCACCAUUUCUAACAGUAGUAUCCCAUAGCUGUAAACAUCUCCAUAUGCUGACACUUCACUCCCUAAGCCAUACUCUGAUGCCAUCCAAACAAUCAAUUCAUUCAAUUUAUAUUAAGUAUCAUAAAAAUUUACGUGUCAAAAAAGAUAAAUAUAAAAGCUAAUACCUGGAGCAAUAUAGCCAAUAGAUCCUUUGAUACCAACAGUAGUAUCCCAUAGCUGUAAACAUCUCCAUAUGCUGACACUUCACUCCCUAAGCCAUACUCCGAUGCCAUCCAAACAAUCAAUUCAUUCAAUUUAUAUUAAGUAUCAUAAAAAUUUACGUGUCAAAAAAGAUAAAUAUAAAAGAUAAUACCUGGAGCAAUAUAGCCAAUAGAUCCUUUGAUACCAAUAGUGCUCGUUUUCUUAUGAGUGGAUGGAAGGAAUCUUGCUAAGCCGAAGUCACCUAAAUGUGCAGUCAAGUCAGCAUCAAGAAGAACAUUGUUGGGUUUGAGAUCACAAUGAGCUGUUUAAGGUUGACAAUCAUAGUGCAAAUAUUUCAAUGCACAAGCUACAUCAAUGGCAAUGUUUAAUCUCUGAAGCAAAAGUUUAGAUUCCUUGGCACCUCGUCUGCUUCAACAUCUUUAAUCAUUGGAUGGAACCAAUCCUCUAAACUUCCAAUAGGCAUGAGCUCAUAUACAAGGGCCUUAAAGUUAUUUCCUUGAUAAUCCACUCCUGAACAUGCAGUGAGAACUUUGACAAGAUUUCGAUGCCUGAUGUUCCUCAAUGCAUUGCACUCAGCUAUGAAACUCUUGAAAGCUCCAUGAUGAAGAAGAUGAAACACCUUCACUGCAAUAAUUGUUUUACCCUCAUCGAGAAUUCCUUUAUAAACAUAACCAAAACCGCCUUCACCAAUCAAAUUUACUGAGGAGAACCCACUAGUAGCAUUGUACAAAUUUUGGUAUGAUAGGUUUAGGAGAGAAUUCAUUGAAUUGCUGGGAUUAUUUUUCGCUUUUCUCUUCUUUACCAAAUAAAGAAAUAGAAGCCAAAGCCAAUCCUACAAGCCCAGAAACAAUAACAAUUACUAACUUCAUUGCAAUGGUCAAUCUUCGAUGUUUAGAUUUUUUAACACCACAAUUUAGUAGCUGAAAUUUAGGUAGACCACCGCAAAGCUUGUUGUUUCCCAAAAUAUAAAUAGCACUUGCAUUCUUAAAGACUCUUUUUGUUGGUACCAUGCCUUCAAGGUUAUUGUAAGAUAGAUUUAAAUCUUGUAAAAAUUCAAAUCCUGCCAAAAAUCUAGGAAUUUCACCUGAAAGAUUGUUUUAUGACAAAUCCAAAGCUUUAAGACCUCUUAAAGAGCUCAAAGAUGAAGGAAUAUGACCUUGGAAUUGUUGGAUCAUAAACUUGAUCCAAGAUGAAUAAAUCAAGCCCAACUCAUGGAAGGUUCCAUGAGUAGGUAUGGUUGGUGAGGUUUGAAUUAUUUGUGUGAGGUGUGUUAGGUGUGGUUGGUGAAGUAGGUGAGUGGUAGGUUUUAAUGGAUAGUGAGGAUUUGUUUAUUAGUUGAAUAAAUGAAUGGUUGUGAUUAGUUUGUUUCAUGUAUAAAUACCCCCUCUCCCCUUUGGUUAAAACAUCAAGUGAAGUAGCAAAAUCUCUAAGGUGUAGAGAGUGAAAAAUAAGAGUUGUAAUUGGUGAGGAGUGUUGUUGUAGAAAUAAAAUAGUGUAUUUUUUCUGUGUUUUAUUUGUUAAUUCUCCAACAAAGUGGUAUCAGAGCUAGUGCUUGAUGCUAUAUAUAGUCAUAUAGCAUAUCAAAUCGAAGAUCUCGACGAGAGGAACGUGACGCCGCAAAAAUCAUUCCGAUCCGAGACCGGAUGCGCCCACACUUGCCGCUGGAAGUUUUCUGUCCUGAAGCUGAGUCGACUCACCGAGUUGAACCAAGCUGAGCCGAACUGAACCAAGCCGAGCCGAGCCGAACUGAAUCAAGUCGAACCGAGCCAACUCGAGCUAAACCAAUCUGGACCGAACCAAGACUACUAAGUCGGUGUUGACCGUUGACCGACGUUGACCGUUGACCAAAAGUUUACUCGAGUCAUUCCCAAGGUUUUUCAACGUGCCGGAUCCAUCUGUGCUUUCAGAAUCUCCAAAUUCUCACUCAAUUUGUGAGUUAUGGCAAACGGUGGUAUGAUGUCAUUUCAAGUUCCACAAUUAAAGGGAAGUAAGUUUGACAAUUGGAGUAUUAAAAUGAAGGCUCUAUUGGGCGCACAUGACGUAUGGGAUGUUGUGGAGAAAGGCUUUAUUGUGCCAGAAAAUGAAGCCACUUUAACUGCAGCGCAGAAGGAGAAUUUAAAAGACUUGAAGAAGAAAGAGAAUAAAGCAAAGUAUCUCAUCUUUCAAUCAUUAGAUGAAGAUGCUUUUGAAAAGAUUGCUGGUACAACCUCCUCAAAAAAAGCAUGGGAGAAACUAGAGACCUCUUACAAAGGAGCGGAGCAAGUUACGAAGGUUCGUCUCCAAACAUUACGAGGAGAAUUUGAGUCCUUACACAUGAAGGCGUCAGAGUCAAUUUCUGAAUACUUUACUCGGGUUGUGACAGUUUCCAAUGAAUUAAAAAGAAAUGGCGACGAGUUAAAAGAGGUAAGGAUCAUUGAAAAGAUACUUCGAUCAGUAGACUCGAAGUUUGAUCAUAUUGUUGUGACAAUUGAAGAAACAAGAGAUCUAGAGGAUAUGACGAUUGAGCAACUUCAAGGAAGGUUGUAAGCCUAUGAAGAAAAACAAAAAAAGAAGCAAGGAAUCGAAGAACAACUUCUCAAGAUGGAAGUCAAUCCAAAGAAAAAAGAAGAAAGCUCCGACAACGAGAGAAGGCACUAUGUCCGAGGUAGAGGUCGAGGUCGAGGACGAGGUAGAGGUCGUGGUCAUGGACGAGGUUGGAAUUUCAACAACAACAACUCCAAUUAUGCCAAAGGAGAAAGCUCAACCAGAGGACAAGGCAGAGGCAAUCCAAGAUCGAGGUAUGACAAAUCCCAAGUACAGUGCUAUAAUUGUUAAAAGUUUGGGCAUUAUGCUUCAGAAUGCAGAGCUCCAAGCACCAGAAUUGAAGAGAGAGUGAACUAUGCUGAAGAGAAAAAUGGUGAAGAUGGCACACUUUUACUAGCACGCAAUGACACAAGUGGAGGUCAAGAAAAUACAUGGUAUCUUGACAUAGGUGCUAGCAAUCAUAUGAGUGGAAACAGAAGCAUGUUCGUGCAACUAAGUGAAUCUGUGAAUGGCAGUGUCGCUUUUGGAGAUGAUUCAAAAGUACCAGUGAAGGGUAGAGGUAACAUUCUUUUUCAUGCAAAAGAUGGUAGCCACCAAAUAAUUUCGAAUGUUUACUAUGUGCCCAAUAUGAAAAGCAACAUUCUUAGUUUAGGUCAACUUUUAGAAAAAGGCUAUGAUAUUCACUUAAAAGAUUAUAGUCUUUUCCUAAGAGAUGACAAAGGAAAUCUAAUUACAAAAGUGAGAAUGUCAAAGAAUAGAAUGUUUCCUUUAAAUAUUCAAAAUGAUGUUGCAAAAUGUCUCAAAGCCUGUCACAAAGAUCAAUCCUAGACUUGGCAUCUUCGAUAUGGGCAUCUCAACUUUGGAGAACUGGAGCUACUCUCUAAUAAGAACAUGGUGAAAGGCUUACCAUACAUCAAUCACCCUGAUCAACUUUGUGAAGGAUGUUUACUUGGCAAGCAGUUCAAAAAGAGCUUUCCUAAGGAGUCAAACUCAAGAGCACAGAAGCCACUCGAGCUUAUUCAUACUGAUGUGUGCGGUCCAUUCAAGCCAAACUCCCUUGGUAAAAGUAACUACUUCCUUCUCUUCAUAGAUGAUUUUUCAAGAAAAACUUGGGUGUAUUUUUUGAAGCAAAAAUCAGAAGUCUUUGAAGCUUUCAAGAAGUUUAAAGCUGCAGUUGAAAAAAAAAGUGGAUACCAGAUUAAAGCCAUGAGAUCUGAUCGAGGUGGAGAGUUCACUUCCAAAGAAUUUUUUGAGUUUUGUGAAGCAAAUGGAAUUCGACGCCCUUUGACAGUUCCAAGAUCCCCCCAACAAAAUGGUGUUGCAGAAAGGAAGAACAGAACCAUCCUCAACAUGGCAAGAAGCAUGCUUAAGAGUAAGAGGCUACCUAAAGAAUUUUGGGCUGAAGCAGUUGCAUUUGCAGUCUACUUAUCCAAUCGAUCUCCAACAAGAAGCGUGUGGGGCAAGACGCCACAAGAAUCUUGGAGUGGAAGAAAACCCGGCAUCACCCAUCUAAGAGUUUUUGGAAGCAUUGCCCAUGUACAUGUACCAGACGAAAGUAGAGCCAAGCUAGAUGACAAAAGUGAGAAGUUCAUCUUCAUCGGCUACGACAACAACUCCAAAGGAUACAAGCUUUACAAUCCAAACAACGGGAAGAUCGUGAUCAGUCGAGAUGUAAUUUUUGAUGAAGAAGGAGAAUGGGAUUUUGGCUCUGGUGUGGAUGACUUCAACUUCUUUCCCAUUGAAGAAGAUGAUCAUACACAGAUAAAACAAGUAGACGAACAACAAGAGCCUGCCACUCCACCUAUCUCACCAGCAUCAACCACAUGCGGAGAUUCACCGCCGUCUUUCUUAAAUAAAAGAACUAAAGAAUGUACAAGGAGUCUUCAAGAUCUCUAUGAGGUAACUGAGAGACAUGAUAAUCUCACUCUCUUUUGCCUCUUUGCUGAUUGUGAGCCAGUCAACUUCUAAGAAGCUGCACUGGAUGAGAAGUGGAGAAUUUCAAUGGAUGAAGAAAUCAAAGCCAUUGUGAAAAAUGAUACUUGGGAGCUUACUACUCUUCCAAAAGGUCACAAGGCGAUCGGUGUCAAAUGGGUGUAUAAAACAAAAAGAAAUGCGAAGGGAGAAAUUGAAAGGCACAAGGCGAGGCUAGUUGCAAAAGGCUAUAGUCAAAAGGCUGGCAUAGACUAUGACGAGGUAUUUGCUCCUGUAACUCGACUUGAAACAAUUAGACUUAUUAUUUCUUUGGCUGCUCAGAACAAAUGGAAAAUUUUUCAAAUGGAUGUGAAGUCUGCUUUCUUGAAUGGAUUCCUUGAAGAAGAAGUUUACAUCGAACAACCAUUAGGCUAUGUGGUGAAAGGACAUGAAGACAAAGUUUUGAGAUUAAAGAAAGCUCUUUACGGGUUAAAGCAAGCACCAAGGGCAUGGAAUAGCAGAAUUGACAAGUAUUUUCAAGAGAAAGGCUUCACCAAAUGCCUAUAUGAACAUGCUCUCUACGUUAAAGAAAAAGAUAGAGAUAUUUUGAUUGUGUGCCUGUGGAUGAUCUCAUCUUCACUGGAAGUAAUCCAAGCUUGUUUGAAGAGUUCAAGAGAGUGAUGAUCAAAGAGUUCGAGAUGACUGACAACGGACUGAUGGCACAUUACCUCGGCAUUGAAGUCAAGCAAAAGGAAGAAGGCAUAUUUAUCUCCCAAGAAAGCUAUGCAAAGGAGAUUCUCAAAAGGUUCAAGAUGAAUGAUUGCAAGCCUAUAAGCACGCCAGUGGAAUGCGGAGUCAAGUUAUCCAAAUAUGAUGAAUGCGAAGAUAUAGAUCCAACAUUCUUUAAAAGUUUGGUUGGAAGCCUACGUUAUUUGACAUGCACAAGACCAGAUAUCCUUUAUGCUGUUGGACUUGUGAGCCGAUGCAUGGAGAAUCCAAAGACCACCCAUUUUAAAGUUGCAAAAAGAAUCCUUCGCUAUAUCAAAGGUACAAUUAAUUUCGGCUUGUUAUACUCAUUUUCUAAUGACUAGAAGCUUGUUGGAUAUAGCGAUAGCGAUUGGGGUGGAGAUGUAGACGAUCGAAAGAGCACAACAGGAUUUAUGUUCUUCAUGGGAGAUACUACUUUCACAUGGAUGUCAAAGAAGCAACCAAUUGUCACGUUAUCCACCUGUGAAGCUGAAUAUGUAGCUGCCACAUCAAGUGUUUGUCAUGCAAUUUGGCUCAGAAAUUUGCUGAAGGAGUUGAGUUUGGCACAAGAAGAGCCAACCGAGAUUUGUGUUGAUAACAAAUCAGCAAUUGUCCUAUCCAAGAAUCCAGUCUUUCAUGAUCGAAGUAAAUACAUAGACACUCGCUAUCAUUUCAUAAGAGAGUGUAUUGCAAGAAAAGAAGUGCAAAUCAAGUAUGUAAAAUCACAAGAUCAAGCAGCUGAUAUCUUCACUAAGCCACUCAAGCAAGAAGACUUUGUAAGAUUCAGAAGUUUGCUUGGUGUCACAGGAUCAAGUUUAAGGGGAGGUGUUGGAUCAUAAACUUGAUCCAAGAUGAAUAAAUCAAGCCCAACUCAUGGAAGGUUCCAUGAGUAUGUAUGGUUGGUGAGGUUUGAAUUAUUUGUGUUAGGUGUGUUAGGUGUGGUUGGUGAAGUAGGUGAGUGGUAGGUUUUAAUGGAUGGUGAGGAUUUGUUUAUUAGUUGAAUAAAUGAAUGGUUGUGAUUAGUUUGUUUCAUGUAUAAAUACCCCCUCUCCCCUUUGGUUUAAACAUCAAGUGAAGUAGCAAAAUCUCUAAGGUGUAGAGAGUGAAAAAUAAGAGUUGUAAUUGAUGAGGAGUGUUGUUGUAGAAAUAAAAUAGUGUAUUUUUUCUGUGUUUUAUUUGUUAAUUCUCCAACAGGAAUAAGUUUCCAUGCAUAUCCAAUAUUUCCAAUUUUAUACACCCACCAACACUUCUAGGGAUCUCCCCUACCAGCAUGUUCCCAGAAACAUCUAGUAUUUCUAGAUUUUUCAAAUUUCCAACUUCUGUCGGAAGGGAACCUGUCAAUUGGUUGUUAGACAAGCCAAUGAAAACUGAUAUGGAUGAAAGACCAAUGAAUUAGGCUGGUAUGUUGCCACUAAGAUUAUUGUAAGAAAGAUCAAUUGUUGUCAAGCUCUCACACUGGCCUAGGCUUGAGGGGAUGCUACCUUGAAGCAAGUUGUCACUCAAAUAUAACUGGAUUAACAUUUUCAAAUUUCCAAAAGAAUGUGGAAUAUUUCCUGAUAACUUGUUUCCAUGCAAGUACAAUAGCCCUAAAUUUUGAAGCUUUCCUAUAGCAGUGGGGAUGGUACCUGAUAAUUGGUUGUUCCACAUGUCCAGUCUUUGCAAGUUGACAUACUUCCCAAUCCCAGAUGGGAUCCUUCCAAAUAUUUUAUUGUUGUCGACGAGCAAAUAUUGAAGAGUGGUGGAGUAGUUGCUAAUGCAUCCAGGUAGUAACCCUCCGAAGUUGUUGUUAUUUACAUACAAACGCUCUAAAUUGGUUGCAUUCGUCAAAGAGCAUAAGAAGCUCAAAUCAUCAUCGCGUCCUCCACUCCCAAGGUUGUUUGUUACAAUUAUGAACCAAGAAAGCCUUUGUAGCCGUUCCAGAUGAGGCACUUUCCCUGUUAGAUUAUUCUCCGAUACUUGAAAUAAUUCCAAGUUGGUAGCAUUGGGUAUAGAAGGCGAUAUAGAACCUGUAAAUUGGUUUCCUGUAAUGCUGAAUAUUCGGAGAUUUGGGAGAGUGGUACCCAAGUCCAAGGGCAUUUCCCCUUCAAUAUAGGUCGAUCCCACAUCAAAAGUUUGGAUGGAAGAGAUAUUGAAGAUUGAGGGAGGAAUAGUACCAGAUAAGUUAUUUACAACAAGCGACAGGUUCACAAGAUUCUUCAACCCGCCAAAAGUAUCCGGAAUGCUCCCAUAAAAUCCAUUACGGGACAAAGAAAGACCACGAAGGGAUGACAAAUUUCCCAAAGAAGAAGGUAUGUUUCCUAUCAGAUUGUUGGCAGUUGUAGAGAGGAAUUGAAGCUUUGACAAGGAGCCAAAUUCUGAAGGAAUUUUGCCCACCAGAUGAUUAAGAGCUAGACUGACAACAAGAAGGUUUGAGCAAUUGGAUGUACUGGCAGGAAUUUCUCCAUCAAAUGAAUUAAUUUGCAAGUAUAGUAUUUGCAACCUGCGUAAGUGGCCAAUCUGUGGGGGAAUCGCAUUGGUGAAGCUAUUGUUUCUGAGAUCUAGUUUUUGAAGGAAGCUCAAAUUUCCAAUGUGAGGUGACAAAGUGCCAACAAGUUUAAGGUUCUGCAAGUCCAAGAUUGUGACUCUCUGGUACCUAGGACUACAUGUAACGCCAUACCACUGACAAAAGUGGAUGGAAUCAUUCCAUGAGCCUAGAACACCAAGAGCGUCAUUAGUGAUCUUGGACUUGAAUUCAAGCAAAGCUGCUCUAUCUGUCUCGUUACCGCUAACUGAAAAAGCACUUGCUCCAAGGAAUUCAGGCACGCUAAAGCAGAAUGCAAGAGCCUGAAAACUGAAAAUUAACCAGGACAUUUUUAUAAGCUCAUGAGCAAACGAGGGCACCAUAACAGAUAAAUCAAAAAAAGAACGGGAGCGUGUAUAUAUACAUAUAGGCAGUAUUGUUUAUACAUACAUAUAUGCCUGGACGGCCUUGUGGACUGUUGUUAGUCAAAAUAAGCGGUUCUAUUUCAGAGGCCCAUGCAGGAAGUGGAUAACAUAAUUACGUAGCUCAAUUAUGAGAGCAAGUGGAAGCAAGCAAUAUCGCUAGUCCAUAGACUUUGAAUUUUGGCCUUUUUUUUGGGUUAUUUGAGUGUAUUUGUUUUAAACUUGGCUCAUUAUAUGAAGUUUCUAUAUUUCUUCUUCUUCUAUUUUGACAACACAGGCAAGUCGAUUGCACGAGGUUGGCAUACACACGUAUAACCAUUUCCGGGUCCGGGUCCGGGUUUGGCCGUUCCGAAUCCGGACCCGAAGACUAAAUUCUCAUUACCGGACCCGACCUGGUUUGUUUCCAUCCGGGUUCAACUUGGAAAUAUCUGGGUUUUGAACCCAGAUUACUUUACUUAAGUUGCUGGAAAAAGGAAAAAAAAAAACACAAUUACACAAACCAAAACCAAAUUGCUUCCAAAAUUCAUUUUGCUUUAGUUUAGCAACCAGAACCAAAUUUCUUCCAGAAUCCAGAUUACUUUAGUUUAGCUCAACAAAAUUUCAAAUACAAAACAUAUAACUUAUCCAGGUUCUAAAACAAAUACAACACAAUAUAGAAUCUAAAAUUCAAAAUUUUAAAGUAAUAAACAUCCACAAAUACAAAUCCAUAACAUAAUUCUACAAUUUAAAUUUCAAAUUUCAAACCACUAGUGCUAAAGACUAAACUCUCAAUCAUCCACUUCAUUUGAUUGUUGCUCACUCAUCCAACUUUCAUCAAUCAACUGCUCAGUAGAAAGUAUUGCUUCCUCUGGAAUUCCAUCUACAAAAAAUAUGUAAAUCAUAAACACAAUGAACAAGACAACCAAUUAGUGAUAAAUUGAUAAUAAGAACAAUACAACAAAUAAUUUGAUUCUAAUAAAUAAAUUUUUCAUACCUUUUAGAUUUUGUUCAAGCCAAAAUCAAUUUUGAGUACACACUAAUGCCUCCACUGUGAAUGGGUGAAGUCUACUGCGAUGAGGGCUCAAAUGUCUACCUCCAGUGCUAAAAACGGACUCCAAAGCAACUGUCGAUACAGGAAUGGCCAAAAAGUCCCUUGCAAUCUUUGCAAGUAUAGGAUAUUUACCUUGAUUAUUCUUCCACCACGACAAAAUGUCAAAUUGACUAAUUGAAGGCAAAGUACUCUCCUCAAGAUAAAGCUCUAAUUCUGAUUUGGAAUAUGUAUUCUGUGUGUUUUCAUUUCUAAAUAAUGCCCACUCAUCAGCCAUUUCAUCCAAAUCUAAGUCCAACAUAAUAGAAUCCCCUCCUGAAGCAGCUUGAGAAUUGGCACCAUUAACCCCCCCCCCCACCACUUGAAUUUGAUAAAUGUUUUACUUCAUACUCAUGCACUAAAUCAACAAAUAACUUAUGCACUCUUUCAAUUUUGGAUUCAGCUUUUUCCCCAUAUAUUUUAGGAAAUAAAAAGUUAAUCAGUAACAUUUUACGCCUAGGAUCUAACAUAGUCCCCACUGCAAGAACUCCAUGAAUAACAUCCCAAUACUUUUCAUACUUCGCAAUCAUCUUAGUGGCCAUAUUUUUUAUCCCCUCAAUUGGUGAUUGCAACCAUCCAUUCAUUGACAAUCUAAUUUCACAAAUCUUGGCAAAAAAUAAAUUAUAUGUCGGAUAUCGUGUCCCCGAAAAAAGUUAUGUCAACUUAUAAAAGCUUUUUAGAUACUCACAUAUAAGCUUUGAUAAAUUCCACUCUGACUCACUAGGUAAAGAUGUAUAAUUUCUCUCACGUUCCUUUAAACGAUCAAAUACAUCUUUAUACAACAAUGCAGUACUAAGCAUCAAGUAAGUGAAGUUCCAUCUAUUUUUUCAAUCAAGUACCAAGUUUUUGGUUUCCUUAAUACCUAAUUGUUUUUUUGCAUUCUCAAAUUUUUCAACUCUAGCUGGUGUUGCUGUCCAAUAAUGAAUACUAUCUCUAAUUUUCGCAACUCCAUUUUGUAUCACAGACAAACCAUCUCUAACUAUCAAGUUCAAUAUAUGAGCACAACAACGCAUAUGAAAGAAUUUGCCACCCAUAAUCAUUAAACUAGCAGAAAAUUUCCCCAACAACAAGGCAAUCAUAGAAUCAUUUGCAGCACAAUUAUCAGCAGUUACAGUGGACAGCUUUCUAUCUAUAUUCCAAUCCAUCAAAUAACCAUAUAACUCAUUACACAUUACCUCAGCACUAUGUAGAGCUGGCAUAUAUAUAAACCUAACAAUGUGAAAAAAUUUAUUAAAAUAUUAGACAGGACACUAAUUUAUGCUUAAACAAAAAAAAAAGUUUUAAGAAUAUUACCUCAUAAUACGACUUCGCAACACCCAUGAGCUAUCAAUGUAAUGUGCCGUAAUAAUCAUGUAUCCUUUUUUUUUGGUUAUUAGCAGUCCACAUACCUGUAGUAAUUGCGAUUCGACUCUCACAAGCUUCCAAAAUACCCAUUGUCUUCUUCUUUUCAACAUCUUAAAGCUUCAAAAUUUCAGCUUUGAUGGUGUUUAUACUAAUAGUCUCAAUAGAAGGUUGGAGUAGCUUCAACAAGUCAUAAAACCCAACGUACUCAACAAAUGCCAAGGGGAGCUCAUGUAGUACAAUCAUUCUAGCCACAAAAAGCUUUAUUGUAGCCAUAUCCCAUUUUGAUUUAGAACUACAAUUAUUAAGUGAAGUGGUUCCAUCAACUUUAGAAGAAAAAGAUAGGUGCAUUUGAUGUACAUUCUUGAAUGAGCUUCUAAGACAACGUUUAGCAUGGUUUAUUAAGUGAUUAGUACCCCUCGAAUAAUGUGCUUGCAUAACUAACCCACACUAAUUGCAAAUCGCCUGAACUUCCUCACCCAAUUUAACUUUUUUUGAAAUGAUUCCAAGCAUCAGAGACUACUCUACCACCACCACCUCAUUUUUUUGAAGUAACAGGAUUAGUAUUAUCCCUACGGCUGCGGCCACAGCCACGACUACUCCCCUGAACUGCUGCUGUUGAAUUUGGUUCUAAUUCAACAGUUGUAUCAUUAUUAUUUUCUGAUUCUGUCCUAACUCUCACACAAACACUUUCAUCACUUUUUUCGGAGCCAUCCAACUCAAUUCUUUGUUCAUUUUCCAUAUCAAUUUUUCACUCUACAAAAAAUUAUGUCGAGACAUAAUUAAUUCCAGCAACUUCUUCCAAUUUAUAUGCUAUGUUUAACCGUAAAAGUUAUAAAUAUUUUAGAGAUACCACUUCUAUUCUAUUAACAACAACAAUAAAAAAAAAUUAAAAAAUAAAUAAACUAUAAAUAAUAAAGUUAAGGCAUAACAGAGUAUAGAUAUUAAAAAUCACAGAAUUUAGCUAUUAAAGUUACAAAGUAAUGUCAUAGUCAAUUUUUUAUUGUAUGUUUCAUAUAAUUUCUAUUUUAAUUUUUUUACGGCUACUCUGUUAUGUUGUGGCAGCCAGAUGAAAUCCUCCUUCACACGACACAAAGUCACAAACAGAGCAAAACAACACAUAAAUUGCAAACACAAUCUAAUUAAAUUACGAAGACAAUAUAAUCAGAGCAUAACAACACAUAAAUUACAACGACAAUAUUUUUAAAUUCCAAAGAGAGUAUAAUCAGAGCAUAACAACAGGUAAAUUGUAAAGACAAUAUAAUUAAAUUGCAAAGAGGGAAUAAUCAAAACGUAAUAGAGCAUAAAUUGUAAAGAGAAAAGCCAAGACUCACAAAUAUUCACAGCAACAGCUUAACACAUAACACAACCGCGAAAUCCACCCCCUUUUGUUGGCCGUGACAAAGUGAGAGAUGAGACGAGUGAUGCUGAUGCUAAUGAGUGAUGAAACAAACACAGCCGCACCGUGAUGGUGAUGACAGCCACGCCGCGAAGGAUCUGAUUUGAAGAAGAGAAAUUACAGGAGAGUUGAAGAGAAAGUGAGAGAGAUUGUUUAAGAAACAGGUGAGAGAGAUUGAGAGAGGAACAAGUGAGACUUGAGAGAGGAACAACCGAACAGAUGAGAGAUUGAGAGGAGAAAUUACAGAGUUGAAGAGAGUGAGAGAUCGAGAGAGGAAUAAGUGAGAGAGAUUGAGAUUUGAGAGAGUCGAGACCGAGAGGAACAAACGAAUUACGAAUGAGAGAUUGAGAGGGCUAGGGUUUUUUUUUAUAAUUUUUCUAUUUAUAUUUAUUAAUUUCUAAAAAAAAUAAUAUUAAAAUAAAUAAUAUCGAGAUCCGGGUUCCGAAUUUAUGGGUUCACCUAAAACCGGAUUCGGACCCGGAAGUAUGCGGGUUCUGAAAAACCGAUCCGGAUUCCGCAUUAAAAUUGUUCCGGUGCGGGUUGAACCCAGACCGGAUUAUCCGGGUUCAGUCCAAGUCCGGGUUCGGUUGCUAUCCCUAGUUAUGUUAUAUAAAAUUUUUUAGAUGAAAUAAAAUAUUUUUAAAAAUAUUUGAGAAAAUAAUUUAUUCUUUAAAGUUGUUAUCACAUCUUUAAACUUACACACGCGUAAUCACCAGCCAAUACAGAGAAAUUAAGGACAGUGGCUGGCUUAAAAUUCAGUUCAUCCUAAGAGCCUGCAACUCGCAUGCUCAUGCGUUAGCUAAGGCAGCUUUUAAUUUUCAGUUGCCAUCGAAGAUCUUCUGCCGAAAUCAAGUGUGAUUUCAAUCUUUGGACGAUUCUGAAGAAGUUUCCCAAAAAUUAUUUUCGAGUGAAAUUUGAAUCAAUUUUAGUCUUGCUAACUUUGCGUAUUUUGGUAACUUAGGCUCCAACACGCUCUUAUGUUACGUAUGCCAAUGCUUGGACUUUGGAGCCUCCCCCUGAACUGAAGGCUUUCAUUAAUUAAAAUUUCCAUGUUUUGGAUGGCGCACUAACGUUGGGUGCGUUUGGUGAACUGUUUAAAGUGAUUAUAUAGUGAUCAUGUUUAAUAUAAUUUUUAUCUAUUUAUUUUAUAUUAUUAGAAUGCAAAAGUAAAAAAAAGUGGCACAAUAAUAUUGUGUAAGGCAGAACUUGGGUGCUCGGGUGCGUUUUCUUUUCUUACUAAAAUUGUGUUAUAUGUGUUAGUGUGUAUCAAUAUUCUUUUUUUUUUUUUAAGGCAAAUUUGGAUGGUACGAAUGAAAUUUAUAAGACAAACUCUUAUAGUUAUUGGAAAAAUUCGAAUCCUGCAUCUUAAGGUUUAAAGAAAGAUAUACAGAUCAAUCCAAGGGAAGAAUUAUUGAGAAUUUCUAAUAACGAAAGGAAGCAAUUUGCUUUGAGAUAAUAUUUUCCCAAACUAAAUAGCGAACCACAUCAAAAUUGUAAUUAGAAAAUCUCUUGACAUCCUGAACUAAGAACUUGCUAAUAACACAAACUCAAAAUUGGCAAGAUAAUCAGUGCCAUUAUUAUACAUGAGUACAUCAAAAAUUCUCAACAGGCCUAAUUUUACAAUUCACCCAACAAUCCUCAGACAUAAAAAAAAGAUUAGAAAUCUAAAUAGAAAUUAAAGAAGUUAGCAACGAAGAUCAAAUCACAUUUUAACUAACCAUAGCACAUUGAAUUUGACUUCACUGAAAGCUAACAAAAUGCGUGUCCAAUAUCUUGCCCGCAAAAUUUGUAACUAUAUAUAUCGGAAAAUCGACUUUUUGGGGAAAAAAAAUAAAAAUCUUAAUCAUGGAGCAAAAACAGUGUGCGCGAGACCCGUCAUACUGAUAUAGUGAUAUGUAUAAGCCGCCAUGCCCAGGCUUACUUGCGACCUAUAAAUUGUCAACUUGCUGAUCACAUUAGAUAAUGGUAUUUUCUUUACUACUUUUAUUUAUUCUUAUAAAGAAGAUACCAAAAGUUUCUUUUUUUGGUAAAUAUCUAAUCAACAUGAAAAUUAAGCACACAAUCUCAAAGAAUAUCUUUUUUGGGGGGAAAAAGACAUCUACACCUCCAAAUUUCUAAAAAAGAACACUAAAACUCUCUUUUAAUCAUAAUAUCCUUUACCUUUAUUAUCCCAAAAAAAAUUAGAGUAACUCUAAUGUUUUAUAGUGAAUAGAAAUGUAACAUUAAAAUAAAUGUAAUAAUAUUUACAUUUAAAAAAAUUCAAUAUUUAAAAAAUAUUUUAAAAUUUUACAAUCUAUUAGAUUCAUUUUAUUAUAUUAAAGUAAAUUUUAUAAUAAAUAGUUUCAUAAUAUUAAAAUAAAUGUUAUUAAAAUUUAAAAUAUUUUGAACGUUAUGUGAAAUAAUAAUUUUAUCAAUAUUAGUAUGUGAGAUUUUUUUUUACUUUUAAAAUGUAUUUAAUGCAAAUAUUUAUUUAAAAUCCUAUAAUAAAUAAAAAUAAUAUAAUAAUUUACAUAUUCAAAUUUACUAAAAUAUUAAAAUAUUUAAUAUUUUUAGUCUAUUGCAUAAAUUAUAUUAUUUAUACAAUAUUUGUAUUUAUACAAAAUUUUAAAGUCAAUUUUUUUGGAUAGUAAAGGUAAAAGGUAUAAUGGUAAAAAAAAGGUCUUGGUAAUUUUUUAAGACUUGGGGGGUAUUGGUGACUAUUUUUUCAAAUCUUGGAGGUGUAUAUGCCCUUUUUCCCUUUUUUUUUUUUUUAUCUCACUCACUUUGUACUUUUAAUGCAAAAUGGUACUGAAUAGUUGCGGGCAUCCAUUUGGUAUUAGGAUUUUAGGUUUGGUUCGGUAUAAAAAUUUUUAAGAACCAAUAAGAACCGAAAUAAAUUAAGAAUCAAACCAGAACCGAUAUUUGGAUUAGUCUGGUUUGGUAUUUCGGUUCUUGAAGACCUAUAUACAUUUAACUAUUUUGUUUUUCUAAGAAAAUUUAUCAAUUUUAGGACUGUACAAAUACAAAUAUACAAAUUACAACAUAUAAUUUCAUCAGUUACUUCUUUUCUUUUUUUAAGUUUCCUAACGAACAACAUUUUCUGUUUUUUAAUUAACAGGGAGAGUCAAAGCAUUAGUUUCAACUUAUUUUCAUAGUAAAACUUUGCUUCAGCUAGCUUUUAUUCAUGAAGAUUUUUCAGUAUCCAAUAUAGCAGUUAUAUUUUGUUAAUGUACUACUGAGAAGGAUCCUAUUGAUGAAAUUUGUUUCUUGGUUUUUUUUUGUUGGGGAAAAAUUAGGUUUUUAAAUUUUUUAUAAAACCUUUUGACGAUCGCUCUCAUUUAAUAUAUAAGAAUUUGUAUUCUAGAAAUCGUACCUUGAAAAUCCGAUUUGGCUUUUUCCGUUGAAGUGAUUUAGGCUCCUAGAUCACGAUCCACCACCACCACUCCUGUUAGAUCACGAUCCGUCACCACCACGCUUGCUAGAUCACGAACUGUCACCAAUGAUCUUCCAGGUUAUGACUCAGGUUCGAUCUGCACUUGACGUGUGGGCGCUUUUAUCACUACCAGAGCAACUAGCACGAGAAAUUUUUUCUCUCAACAAUGGAGAGAAAAAUCUUUUUCUCUGAUCUGUAUAAAGUGGCUUCUUUUUUUUCUUUAGAGAAAAAUAAGCCUUUUAUAUCACCCUUUAGUGAAAAUCCUAAGCUCCAAAUAAUAAAAAAACAAAACCCACGUUAUUUACUUUUUCAAUAGGGGACCCACCUUGUAAAAUAACAUAAGGCCCCUUACACAAAAGCUAAUUAAAUGGAGCCUCCCACUAAAUGAUAUAUUUAGGCUUUUGACCCAAAUAGCUAGUUAUCUUACUUAUUAGUCCAGUAGUGGUGCAAUCAAUUAAAUGAGCAAACCCGGGGAUCAUUUGGGAACAUACAAUAGUGGUUACAAUAAUUAGGCCUGUAAUUAAACUAGCCUAAUUAUUUAAUUACAAAUCUACUCCACUAAAAGAUUGAAACUGACUUCCAUAAUUGUAUGCUCGAUAAUAAUUCGUCCCAAGCCACAUUGAUUUCUUUACUGCACAAUCCUUUAUACCACAUCGUUAAUUAAAUUGAUAUCUCAACUGUCCAAUCAAUUUAAUAACAUCUUAUUCCUUGAUCCUUACUGGUUUUCUCUAAUGAUCAUUUUCAACAUACUAAAUAUGUUGACACACUCUGGCCAGAGAAUUCUAUGAUCAAGUACCGAAAACCCAUCAAGAGAUGUGUUGUACAAAUUCUAUAUUGUUAAUCCAUAACUCCAAUACUCAUAAUUGCUCCCACCAAGAUACUAGGUAAUCUUGACCACAAGGAUGUGUCGUGCCCAUUGGUAACUCAAAUGGAAUAACAAUUACAAUCAUGAAAUCAUAAUUAACUCAAGAUUAAGAUUACAGUAAAAUCAACGCUUAUGAGAUUUAAUAAGUCUGACAGUUAUUACAAAGUUAAUUAAAUCUCAUAUGUGGUCCUAUUCAAUGUAGUCGUACUACAUCAAUAAAUUCAUACAUGAUUAAGACAAAUCAUUCAAUGAAUUUAUUACAGUCUAUACCUAAAUAAAGUGCCCAACUUUAUUUAUCAACUGCGAACUAAAUUUAUUUAAUCAUAAGAUAACUUGUAUUUAUGUCUUCUGUGAAUCCACAUGGUGAUCACAUAAAUACAUAUAAUAUGAUUAAAUGGACUUUAAUACAAAUAUUAAUGCAAUUAAGAUAUUUGAAUAAAAUACCUCAUUUAUUUUACUAAUCAAAAAAAUUGUUUAUUACAAUUAAAUAAACACAUAUGCUUUUAAAGAGCAUAUUUUCCCAACAUUUUUAUUCAGUAGGAAAUGGAUGCAGGCAAGCCAAAGGACUUAAGGGUAUGUUUGGGACUGCCAUGCUUCAACUUCACUUUGAAAGCACCACAAAUAAGGUAUUUCGUAAAAACAGCUACUUUUACUAUGUAGCUAACAUUUACCAUCCACCCAAUCAUAAGCAUAACCUUAAAACAAUUAGCUAAAAAACAUAACCUUAUCUUUGCCACAGAUGAAAAUGAUUUUAAGCGUGCUAAAAUUUGCGAUCGUUCAGUUCUAAGAGAAAAUAUCUAAUACGAGUACUCCGAUCUUCCACACACUUUUUAUUUUGAUCUGUUGGUCGCCAUAAACUAUUAACCAAAAAACCACAAUUACCUGACCUGUAUAACCAAGGUAAUAAGUGAAAUUUAACUCCAAUACACAAGAGACUGCUAAAUCAUAUAACAUGAGACAUCAGUUAUCCAACACCAAAGCGGGUAAACAACAAUUAGUAUAUAAACCAAAAUAAUUGAACUCCAACAUACAAGAGACUGGCAAAUCAUAUAAACAUGAAACAUUAGUUAUCAAACAUCAAAGCUGAUAAACAACAAUAGACAUAAACCGAAAUAACUUAUUUAUACUUACUUAGAUGCCAGUCGCUUUGCCAGGAAGACUUUCAUUGCGGCAUCAAGCAUAGAUAAUGCAUCUAGUUCUGGAUAUUCUGAUGGCUGAAUUCUUACAUCAGCACAGAUACUUCCAAUUGCGAAAAGACCUACAGAGGGCAUUGGAAGCACACAUGAAUCCCAUAGCUAAGUCUUUUGGAAUCGAAGGUUGCACCAUAGUGUUAGUUGAUUUGAGAGCCAUAUCCCUUGCAUACAAAAAUAAGCUCUCACCUUUCUCAAGCAGAAAGGAACGAGAAAACAGUAUUAGACGUAAGAAUCAGCUGUCAUUGACAAACUGAGCAAAAUGCCGAGUUUGGAAGAGAAGAAAGUACAGGAGGGCAUCAAGUCUCAAGAAACGUACAUGGUCCUUUUUGGUCUAGAUAAAAAAAUAACAAUAAAAUUAUAGGCUUCGUCAACACCAGGAAGUGCAUGGAGUAUACACUUAAAAAGAUGUUGAACACGUGGCUAAAUGUUGAACACGUGGCUGUUCAAUAUGUUUCCAGCAUAUGGUCCAACAUUUUCAAGACUGCCGCGUUUUGCCAGCUGACAGCAGGUGUGCCAAUUUCUCAUCCCUUCAUCUUUGAUGGAAAUACGAAAUAAAAGAGUAAUGUUAAAAUAAUUUUGAUCCCUGGAGCCUGUAGCAAAAACUUAUGCUACACUAUCACUACUGAUUACAGAGAUUUACGAAAUAUCAAAAUUAGCAAAACACUUUAAUGGCGGGCGUUUGAUUCUAAACUUCCGCUCUUGAUUUUUAUUUGCAUGUUAUAUUAUAAAAUGGUAUUAAGAGAGAGAGGGUGACAGAUAAUAAAAGAAAAAGACAAGUAAUUAACCUGAAGUAACUUCAAGGCCCCAUAGUCAAGAUGUGCAUGGUACCAGUUCUCAGCCUGGUAUUCAAGACAGUCUAAUUGAAAAUCAAGCAUAAGAAUUCGAGCCAUCUGUCACUGAAUGCAUCCUAGAAUGCCAAAACCCCAUGAACCUUUGAGCCUCUUCGUAUCCGCGAAAUUUCUUCUUUUUUAUAAACUCGCCCUGCUAGUUACCAUCUCAUAAAGGACUCAAUCAUAGAGUUCAAGUUCCUUCUGAAGGGUUUCAAAAUACCUACACAGAGAAAGAUACUUAUCUUUCAAAUUGGUUAGAUUGGAAAAAUUAAUAUGAUAACAAAACAAAAAUUCACACUAGCCAGAGGUAUCAGUAGUCAUCAGCAAGUAAAAUCCAAGGGGUUCCAACUAUUCAUUCCACUCAUAAGGCAAAACAAAAUGCUACUUUUACGCAUGUUUAUUCUUUAAGUACUCAUAAUUUGAUUAAUGGUUGAUUAAUCAAUAUUAUAUAUAAAAGUAAGUGUCAAAAACAUGAUCCAAUAUUUCAUGCUUAAGCGUCAUUAUAAGCGGUAUAUAUUAUGACUGUUCACAUAAUAACUGUCAUUAAAUAUCUUUAAUGACGGUUAUUUAAAAGAACCGUCGUAACAAAUGGGUCAUUGUUUUACAUUUUUGUAGUAGUGCUUCUUUCCUCAAUUCGUCCACAUAACAGGCUGCAAUUGGGGUUACAAAUAAAAACUGCCAUUACGUGAAUAGCACCAAACAAUAUACAAGGCUUACACACAGGCACUCAAUAGUUAGCCAUCAAAAUUUCCUAAUUUACACUGAUUUUUGGCAACUUGCACACAUUUUAGCUCCAAUAAUAAUUAUAAUUGUAAGUCUUUACAGUGCAAUCAAAAACGAAAAAUUUUAAAAAGUAUACUAUAAGUAUACCUACUCUUUGUCUGCAAUAUGAACAGCUGAAACCAAAACAACUUGAAGACUCCAAAAUUAAAUUUUUCAACAGUGGAAUUGUAAAAUUGGAAAGGAACAAGGUAGCAAAUGAAGCACUAAAAAGAAAAAAAAAGAAUACCUGAAGAAAAGGAGGAAGAAGAGAUCAAGGAAACUUUUUUAGAGACGACAGCAGUCUGAAGCUAGCCAUACCUGCUUUCUCCAUUGCUUGCUCUUUUGAAUCUCCUAAAAUUGCUCUCCAAGAACUGGUCCGCAGCAGCAGUGGUGAGUAUUUUCUUAAAGGAGUGAUAUUUGAGAGGUUUUUAUUUUAGAAAUAUAAUAAUAUUUGGUUUUAAUAAAGACGUUAAGGAAGUGAGUCACAGACUGAGGGGAGAAGCUGCGGUGUUGCUUGAAUUUGAUGCAAAUGCAAGUACGCACUACUACAAAAUUAGUCUUUUAUGACGGUUUUAAACGGCAUAAGAUGACGGUUUUAAAACCGUCAUCUUAGGCACCAACAUUAAAGAGGGUAUGCUUUUUAUGACGGUUCACUAACCGUCAUUAAAUGUAUAUUUUUAAUGACAGUUAUUUAAAUAACCGUCAUUUAAUGACGGUUUAUUGUAAGAACCGUCAUUAAAUAUAUAUAUUUAAUGACGGUUUAUCUAAAUAACCGUCAUUAAAUGUGUCAUUUUAAUAACGGUUUAUUGUAAGAACUCAUUAAAUAUUAAAACAAUAUUUAAUGACGGUUUUAGAAGAAAACCGUCAUCUUUGUUGUAGAACGCUACAUUUGAUGACGGUUCUUUUAAAAUAACCAUCAUCUUUGUUAUUUAUUAUUAAAAAAAUAAAUUUGGCAAAUUUAAGACUAUUUCAAGCCCCUAUUUUAAUUCUAAUUUCAUAUUAAAUUCUUUACAAUUAUUUUUCACAAAUGUUUCAUAUACAAAAUGAUGCAAAUGUUUCAUAUACAAAGAGAUAGCUCUACAAAAAUCUCCAACAAUCAUUAAACUUCUACUAGUGAAUACACUAGCAACCAACAAGAUUGGCAUGUGUGAGUACAUCUAAUUUCUCAUCAAGUCUUCAAUUUGCAAAUGAAUCUCACCAGCUUCAGCAAUCUACAUCAUUCUUACAAAGAAUAAAGAGAAAUUAAGAUAUAUUCAUAUAUUAUAAAUCAUAAAUAUUAAAUCAUUUUAGUGACUUAAGUCGUAAAACAAGACUUUAAAGUACCAUAUCACUAUUAAUUAAUAGACUUACCUCAAGUAAGUUAAUCAACCAUAUGUUCAGAUAAUAAAUUAAUGACAACACAUUUACCAAAAUAGAGACAAUAAAAAAACAUUAACUACAUCAUUCAUAAGAGAUCCAGUACCUACCCAUUAUACACUUGGAAAUAAAAAAAGGGAUAUUAUCAUUUUCCCACUAAAGGUAUUCUGACACAUCAUGUUAGUACCAUGGUUUGGUAAAACUAUCAAUUUACCACCAAACGUUUAAACUAUUAGCAUUUUCCCACCAUUCCGUUAAAACUCAGUUAAUAUGUAACAGAAAAUUCAUAAAAGGUCAAUUUUACCCCUGGAGCAUAAAAGACUAUGUAAUUAACCUUUUAUGAAUUUUGUAAUUAAAUCAUCAUUUGUUGUUCUUCCUUCUUAAAGGACAAAAAUUACCCUUUAUAAAUUUUAUAAAAUUGACCGUGUGGUAUUAGGUACUUCAUAAAUUGAUUUAAUUUAUUUAAUUUUUAAAGGACAAAUUUAUUUAUUAAAUUGACGAGCUAAAGACAAUUUAUUCUACUACUAAAACUUAAUUUAUGAAAGGGCAAAAAAAAAAAAGAAUGUGCAAAAGAAGCAAUUUAAUCUUUGAAAUGAUGAUAAUAAUUUUACACAAAAAAUUAAAUAAAUAAAUUUGCCUUUUAAAAUUUAAAUAAAUUAAAUCAAUUUAUGAAUUACCUAAUACCACAAGGUCAAUUUUAUAAAAUUCAUAAAGGGUAAUUUUGGUCCUUUAAGAAGGAAGAACAAUAAAUAAUGAUUUAAUUACAAAAUUCAUAAAAGGUUAAUUACAUGGUCUUUUAUGCUCUAGGGGUAAAAUUGACCUUUUAGGAAUUUUCCGUUACAUAUUAACUGAGUUUUAACGGAAUGGUGGGAAAAUGCUAACAGUUUAAAUGUUUGGUGGUAAAUUGAUAGUUUUACCAAACCGUGAUACUGACAUAAUGUGUCAGAAUACCUUUGGUGGGAAAAUGAUAAUAUCCCAUAAAAAAAUUAAGGCCUGAAGUUUAGAAUACUACGUCUCAACCAAAGAAUUGACAGCAUGCUUAGAUAUUACCUUGCAAAAAUUGUACCUGCUUAUUACCAAGGGGGGAAAAAGAUUAAGUAUAGACAUAAGAGAAAAGUUGCAUCAAAAGCUGCUCUUCAUUCACUGACUGAUACCUUGAGGUUAGUUAUUCAAAGAUAACCCCACGAUUUUUAAUACUAGCGAUCCUGUUUAUAUUUGCCCCACAUCAGUUUAUGCCAUGAGAAGUCAUUUAUAAGACUAAACAUAUUCUCGUUUUGUAUGAACAAAUUUUCUUGUUUCUAUGGGAUGAUUAUCAUGAUUUGCAUAUCUGCAGAAUGAUGUUAUAUAUUCUUACAUUAUAAAUAUAGCCCUCCGGUUGGGAGAAACAUGGUAUUUGAUUGAUCGAAUUUUCAUCUCUAUUACUGUAGCCAAGUAUCCACAUCAUUAUCUCAAAUACAAAUGGGAUUAGGGUUUGGGUUACUAGUUAUACAACUAAUAGAUAAAUGAAUUAAUGAUUUUGGAUUUAUUUGAUUUUUGUGUAUUUGCCGGACCACUUUAAAAGUUUAUUUCAUUUUUGUGAAAUACUCAAACCAUUAAGCAGUAAGCUCUUCAACCGCAGCCAAGCAUCAAACAUCUUUAUGUUAGAUUAACAAAUAGGAUUACAUUUUGGAUGUAUUGUGCAGAUUGGAACUUGGUCAUUUUGGAAUCAAUGUCAUCAAUGUCGUCCCAGGGGCUGUCAAGUCAAACAUAGGAAAAUCAGCCAUAGCCAGCUACAAUCGGAUGCCGGAGUGGAAAUUAUACAAACCAUUUGAAGCAGUUAUCAGGGAAAGAGCAUAUUUUUCACAGACAACCAAAUCAACCCCUACAGAAGUGUUUGCGAAGAAUACUGUGGCCACCGUGCUUAAGAACAAUCCCCCGGCUUGGUUCUCCUUUGGCCAUUACUCUACCAUCAUGGCAAUCAUGUACCAUUUGCCCCUUUCUGUAAAAGAUUUUAUCAUGAAGAAAACUAUGAAAUGUUGAGUGCUGAAGAACGGUGCUCCAGCUUGGUUCUCCUCAUGCCAUUACUUGACCUUUAUAGCAACCGCAUACCAUAUACCCCUUUGGAGUAAAGUUUUUAUCAACGCCGGAAGCAAUGAAAUAUUGAAUUCUGCAUUGUAUCAAAACUCGGGCAAUUAUGUAUCUUCCUCAUUUCUUGGAUGAUGUUAUGUGCUUUUCCUCGUUAAGGAUGCAAGAUAUCACUCAUCUUGGAUGCAUAGUUCAAUUGAUUAUACGUUCCUUUCACAACAGUUUUUGGUAGGCAUAUCCAUUCCUUUCUGGUUAGCCUGUAAAUACUAAAGAUGGAUAAUGUUGCGGGGUAAUUGAAACAGAAAAAUUAUCAGUUCAUCAAACUGUAUCCACAUCCAGAUUAUAAGAAUUUACUGCUGUGAUUAUUAUAUGUUUGUUAGCUUUGUAGCUUUAGAUAGGUUGGUUAAAAUACAGACUAAAAAUCAAGCUUUAAAAGCAUAACCAUUACCUUUCUUGAUCAUAGCAUAUGUAUUUGGUACUUCUUAGUUUAUAUCUACUCAUUAUUUGUAAUUGCAGUGAACAUAUCUGUCGUAUUAUGGUCCGGCAUCCAUGUAUAUUCAUCUCUGAAAACCAAAUUUGCACAAACAAAAUUUCGACUCUCCAGAAAUAGAUGCUGCUAACAAACAAAUUUGAAUUGAUGCUAUUGACCUAGCUUACAAAAAUAGAUUCCCUAAGAAUGGGGAGGUUGACCAUAGAACCUCAUUUUGGAUUGGAUAAUUCUCAUAUGAUUGUUAUGAAUAUAUAUUAUAUGUUGGCUUCAGUUAUGAUAUAUUCUUUUGAUAUUACUCAAAAAUAUUGGGUAAGAAUCAAAUGAAAUCAUUUAAGCACAUUAUUUACCGUAAUGUGUGAUAAUAUGCUUGAGGAGGUUGAUCGAUGAAGUUGAUUGAAUAUUAGAAAAUGAGUGAAACCCCUCUCUCUUAUUUGUCAAAACUAAUUAAAACUCCAUAUGUUUCAAAACACUUUAACCAAAUUCGACAAUUCUUUAAUUCGCUUGCUUACAGCAACCUAUCCUUAUCUUCAAAGUAAAGUCGCAUCGCUUCUACAAGCCUCAACUUCUCUUUUCACUGAUUUAGAAGCCACUCACUCUUAAUUAGAAUGGCAUUUUGAUCUUUUUAUAUUGACAAAUUUUGUGAUAAUAUACAAUAUUAAAUCAAAAACUUUUAAGAAAAUCUCAAUUGAAUAAAUUCCAAAAACAUAGUCCAUACAAAGCCUAACCUCAAAUCACUAUUUCAAAUCCCAAAUUUUGGACAAGACUCUUAUUAAUUAUUUUAUUUAAUCAUAUAGAUAAAAUUAGUUAGACUUGCCUUUGCAGUUCGGACGGGUCGUUUCAUUUAUUUACUUUAUAAUUUAGUUUUACAAGAAAGAUCAUUUUUUAAAAAAAAAUUCAUAGAUUAUUAACACUAUGAUUUAUGAACAUGCGCUCUGGACAGUCAAAUCUUUAGCCCAUACUGUUGUUGGAAAAUUAACAAAUAAAACACAGAAAAAAUACACUAUUUUAUUUCUACAACAAUACUCCUCACCAAUUACAACUCUUAUUUUUCAUUCUCUACACCUUAGAGAUUUUGCUACUUCACUUGAUGUUUAAACCAAAGGGGAGAGGGGGUAUUUAUACAUGAAACAAACUAAUCACAACCAUUCAUUUAUUCAACUAAUAAACAAAUCUUCACCAUCCAUUAAAAUCUACCACUCACCUACUUCACCAACCACACCUAACACAAAUAAUUCAAACCUCACCAACCAUACCUACUCAUGGAACCUUCCAUGAGUUGGGCUUGAUUUAUUCAUCUUGGAUCAAGUUUAUGAUCCAACACCUCCCCUUAAACUUGACCCUGUGACACCAAGCAAACUUCUGAAUCUUACAAAGUCUUCUUGCUUGAGUGGCUUAGUGAAGAUAUCAGCUGCUUGAUCUUGUGAUUUUAUAUACUUGAUUUGCACUUCUUUUCUUGUAAUACACUCUCUUAUGAAAUGAUAGCGAGUGUCUAUGUAUUUACUUCGAUCAUGAAAGACUGGAUUCUUGGAUAGGACAAUUGCUGAUUUGUUAUCAACACAAAUCUCAGUUGGCUCUUCUUGUGCCAAACUCAACUCCUUCAGCAAAUUUUUGAGCCAAAUUGCAUGACAAACACUUGAUGUGGCAGCUACAUAUUCAGCUUCACAGGUGGAUAACGUGACAAUUGGUUGCUUCUUUGACAUCCAUGUGAAAGCAGUAUCUCCCAUGAAGAACACAAAUCCUGUUGUGCUCUUUCGAUCGUCUACAUCUCCACCCCAAUCGCUAUCGCUAUAUCCAACAAGCUUGUAGUCAUUAGAAAAUGAGUAUAACAAGCCGAAAUUAAUUGUACCUUUGAUAUAGCGAAGGAUUCUUUUUGCAGCUUUAAAAUGGGUGGUCUUUGAAUUCUCCAUGUAUCGGCUCACAAGUCCAACAGCAUAAAGGAUAUCUGGUCUUGUGCAUGUCAAAUAACGUAGGCUUCCAACCAAACUUUUAAAGAAUGUUGGAUCUAUAUCUUCGCAUUCAUCAUAUUUGGAUAACUUGACUCCGCAUUCCACUGGCGUGCUUAUAGGCUUGCAAUCAUUCAUCUUGAACCUUUUGAGAAUCUCCUUUGCAUAGCUUUCUUGGGAGAUAAAUAUGCCUUCUUCCUUUUGCUUGACUUCAAUGCCGAGGUAAUGUGCCAUCAGUCCGUUGUCAGUCAUCUCGAACUCUUUGAUCAUCACUCUCUUGAACUCUUCAAACAAGCUUGGAUUACUUCCAGUGAAGAUGAGAUCAUCCACAUACAGACACACAAUCAAAAUAUCUUCAUCUUUUUCUUUGACAUAGAGAGCAUGUUCAUAUGGGCAUUUGGUGAAGCCUUUCUCUUGAAAAUACUUGUCAAUUCUGCUAUUCCAUGCCCUUGGUGCUUGCUUUAACCCGUAAAGAGCUUUCUUCAAUCUCAAAACUUUGUCUUCAUGUCCUUUCACCACAUAGUCUAAUGGUUGUUUGAUGUAAACUUCUUCUUUAAGGAAUCCAUUCAAGAAAGCAAACUUCACAUCCAUUUGAAAAAUCUUCCAUUUGUUCUGAGCAGCCAAAGAAAUAAUAAGUCUAAUUGUUUCAAGUCGAGCUACAUGAGCAAAUACCUCGUCAUAGUCUAUGCCAGCCUUUUGACUAUAGCAUUUUGCAACUAACCUCGCCUUGUGCCUUUCAAUUUCUCCCUUCGCAUUUCUUUUUGUUUUAUACACCCAUUUGACACCGAUCGCCUUGUGACCUUUGGAAGAGUAGUAAGCUCCCAAGUAUUAUUUUUCAUAAUGGCUUUGAUUUCUUCAUCCAUUGCAAUUCUCCACUUCUCAUCUAGUGCAGCUUCAUGGAAGUUGACUGGCUCACAAUCAGCAAAGAGGCAAAAGAGAGUGAGAUUAUCAUGUCUCUCAGUUACCUCAUAGAGAUCUUGAAGACUCCUUGUACAUUCUUUAGUUAUUUCAUUUAAGAAAGACGGCGGUGAAUCUCCGCAUGUGGUUGAUGCUGGUGAGAUAGGUGGAGUGGCAGGCUCUUGUUGUUCGUCUACUUGUUUUAUCUCUGUAUGAUCAUCUUCUUCAAUGGGAAAGAAGUUGAAGUCAUCCACACCAGAGCCAAAAUCCCAUUCUCCUUCUUCAUCAAAAAUUACAUCUCGACUGAUCACGAUCUUCCCGUUGUUUGGAUUAUAAAGCUUGUAUCCUUUGGAGUUGUUGUCGUAGCCGAUGAAGAUGAACUUCUCACUUUUGUCAUCCAACUUGGCUCUACUUUCGUCUGGUACAUGUACAUGGGCAAUGCUUCCGAAAACUCUUAGAUGGGUGAUACCGGGUUUUCUUCCACUCCAAGAUUCUUGUGGCGUCUUGCCCUACACGCUUCUUGUUGGAGAUCAAUUGGAUAAGUAAACUGCAAAUGCAACUGCUUCAGCCCAAAAUUCUUUAGGUAGCCUCUUACUCUUAAGCAUGCUUCUUGCCAUGUUGAGGAUGGUUCUGUUCUUCCUUUCUGCAACACCAUUUUGUUGGGGGGAUCUUGGAACUGUCAAAGGGCGUCGAAUUCCAUUUGCUUCACAAAACUCAAAAAAUUCUUUGGAAGUGAGCUCUCCACCUCGAUCAGAUCUCAUGGCUUUAAUCUGGUAUCCACUUUCUUUUUCAACUGCAGCUUUAAACUUCUUGAAAGCUUCAAAGACUUCUGAUUUUUGCUUCAAAAAAUACACCCAAGUUUUUCUUGAAAAAUCAUCUAUGAAGAGAAGGAAGUAGUUACUUUUACCAAGGGAGUUUGGCUUGAAUGGACCGCACACAUCAGUAUGAAUGAGCUCGAGUGGCUUCUGAGCUCUUGAGUUUGACUCCUUUGGAAAGCUCUUUCUGAACUGCUUGCCAAGUAAACAUCCUUCACAAAGUUGAUCAGGGUGAUUGAUGUAUGGUAAGCCUUUCACCAUGUUCUUCUUAGAUAGUAGCUCCAGUCCUCCAAAGUUGAGAUGCCCAUAUCGAAGAUGCCAAGUCCAGGAUUGAUCUUUGUGACAGGCUUUGAGACAUUUUGCAACAUCAUUUUGAAUAUUUAAAGGAAACAUUCUAUUCUUUGACAUUCUCACUUUUGUAAUUAGAUUUCCUUUGUCAUCUCUUAGGAAAAGACUAUAAUCUUUUAAGUGAAUAUCAUAGCCUUUUUCUAAAAGUUGACCUAAACUAAGAAUGUUGCUUUUCAUAUNNNNNNNNNNNNNNNNNNNNNNNNNNNNNNNNNNNNNNNNNNNNNNNNNNNNNNNNNNNNNNNNNNNNNNNNNNNNNNNNNNNNNNNNNNNNNNNNNNNNCUUCACUGGUACUUUUGAAUCAUCUCCAAAAGCGACACUGUCAUUCACAGAUUCACUUAGUUGCACGAACAUGCUUCUGUUUCCACUCAUAUGAUUGCUAGCACCUGUGUCAAGAUACCAUGUAUUUUCUUGACCUCCACUUGUGUCAUUGCGUGCUAGUAAAAGUGUGCCAUCUUCACCAUUUUUCUCUUCAGCAUAGUUCACUCUCUCUUCAAUUCUGGUGCUUGGAGCUCUGCAUUCUGAAGCAUAAUGCCCAAACUUUUGACAAUUAUAGCACUGUACUUGGGAUUUGUCAUACCUCGAUCUUGGAUUGCCUCUGCCUCGUCCUAUGGUUAAGCUUUCUCCUUUGGCAUAAUUGGAGUUGUUGUUGUUAAAAUUCCAACCUCGUCCAUGACCACGACCUCUACCUCGUCCUCGACCCCUACCUCGGACAUAGUGUCUUCUCUCGUUGUCGGAGCUUUCUUCUCUUUUCUUUGGAUUGACUUCCAUCUUGAGAAGUUGUUCUUCGAUUCCUUGCUUCUUUUUUUGUUUUUCUUCAUAGGCUUGCAACCUUCAUUGAAGUUGCUCGAUCGUCAUAUCCUCCAGAUCGCUUGUUUCUUCAAUUGUCACAACAAUAUGAUCAAACUUCGAGUCGACUAAUCGAAGUAUCUUUUCAAUGAUCCUUACCUCUUUUAACUCCUCGCCAUUUCUUUUUAAUGCAUUGGAAACGGUCACAACCCGAGUAAAGUAGUUAGAAAUUGACUCUGACGCCUUCAUGUGUAAGGACUCAAAUUCUCCUCGUAAUGUUUGGAGACGAACCUUCUUAACUUGCUCCGCUCCUUUGUAAGAGGUCUCUAGUUUCUCCCAUGCUUCUUUUGAGGAGGUUGUACCAACAAUCUUUUCAAAAGCAUCUUCAUCUAAUGAUUGAAAGAUGAGAUAUUUUAUUUUAUUCUCUUUCUUCUUCAAGUCUUUUAAAUUCUCCUUCUGCACCGUAGUUAAAGUGGCUUCAUUUUCUGGCACAAUAAAGCCUUUCUCCACGACAUCCCAUACGUCAUGUGCGCCCAAUAGAGCCUUCAUUUUAAUACUCCAAUUGUCAAACUUACUUCCCCUUAAUUGUGGAACUUGAAAUGACAUCAUACCACCGUUUGCCAUAACUCACAAAUUGAGUGAGAAUUUGGAGAUUCUGAAAGCACAGAUGGAUCCGGCACGUCGAAAAACCUUGGGAAGAACUCGAGUUAACUUUCGGUCAACGGUCAAAGUCGGUCAACGGUCAACACCGGCUUGGUAGUCUUGGUUCGGUCCGAAUUGGUUCAGCUCGAGUUGGCUCGGUUCGACUUGAUUCGGUUCGGCUCGGCUCGGCUUGGUUCAGUUCGGCUCAGCUUGGUUCAACUCGGUGAGUCGACUCAACUUCAGGACAGAAAAAUUCCGGCGGCAAGUGUGGGUGCGUCCGGUCUCGGAUCGGGAUGAUGUUUGCGGCGUCACGUUCCUCUCAUCGAGAUCUUCGAUUUGAUAUGCUAUAUGACUAUAUAUAGCAUCAAGCACUAGCUCUGAUACCACUUUAUUAGAGAAUUAACAAAUAAAACACACAAAAAAUACAUUAUUUUAUUUCUACAACAACACUCCUCACCAAUUACAACUCUUAUUUUUCACUCUCUACACCUUAGAGAUUUUGCUACUUCACUUGAUGUUUAAACCAAAGGGGAGAGGGGGUAUUUAUACAUGAAACAAACUAAUCACAACCAUUCACUUAUUCAACUAAUAAACAAAUCCUCACCAUCCAUUAAAACCUACCACUCACCUACUUCACCAACCACACCUAACACACCUAACACAAAUAAUUCAAACCUCACCAACCAUACCUACUCAUGGAACCUUCCAUGAGUUGGGCUUGAUUUAUUCAUCUUGGAUCAAGUUUAUGAUCCAACAACUGUUCCCUUUUUCAAAAUGGAAUACUCAUAUAAAUUAAAAAGUAUGAACUUGAGUUUUGUUUUUUUCUAAGGCCCUAAAUAUGAAUUACCUAUCUUCUUCAUUUGCAUCCUCUUUACCCAAAACAAUGGUCGAAUUAAUAUUAAAAUAAUAUUUGCAUCUCCAAAGUGAUAUUGUUAAUUCUUUUUUUUUUUUAAUUUUUGGAAGUUGAUGCUGCAUAAUAAAUUCAUAUUCAAUAAGACCCAAAGUAGUUGAUUAAAGAAAUAUUGGAUGUUACCUCUGCUGCUUUUUUAAAGUGCUACAUCAAGAAGAAAUUGAAAGGGGUUGAAAUGAGGGGGGAGAGAGAAGGGGCAGCAUUGACAAAAGUUUUUUUUUUUUUUUAAUUGAUGAAGAAGAGCAAACAAAGAUAUUUUGGGAAUUAUCGAAAUAUAGCUAGAGAAAUGGGGCUUGAAAAGAAGAACGAAGGGUGAAAAUAGCAUCUUAUAAACCAGGUCGAAUUUUGAAAAUUUACGAAGCCCUGAUAUUUUGUUGAGACAAUGAGCCCGCCCAGCCAGUAGCCCAAUACCCAUCUGAGUUGCAUGCUUCCUUCAUCUCUCAUCAAAACACCACGAAAUCAUUUUACUCCAGUUACAAUGUGAUUCCACAAUAAGAAAGCAAUAAUAGAAGAGCUACACAUAAUUUUGUAAAAAACUAAUUCAGUAAAAAUUAUGAAUUUAAUUAUGACUAAAUAAACUAAUUUAGCGCAAUAAAGAUUGAACAGAAAUUUUUUUUAAAAAUUAACUCAUAUACUUAUAAAGUUCGACCUAAACCCUAAAAAUAAAUUCUUUACCAUUGAAACUAAACUUUGACUGAAGACUGAUCGAACAGUAAUAGUUAACAAAUAAAUAUAUACAAAGUGGUGCUCAUAUGAGGAUAUCUGCAAGAAAUUAAAAUAUAAACAAAACUAAAAGACCAAAAAAAGAGAGAGAGAGAGAGAGAGAAGUACUAUUUUUUUUUCUUGUAGUAUAUUAAAGUGUGUGUUUUUUUUUCCGUUUAUUCCCUUACUUUAAUAACUUAAGAAAUAUCUCAUCGAAAGACUAUCACAUACAUACAUAUAUAUAUAUAUAUAUAUAUAUAUAUAUAUAUAAAGAGAGAGAGAGAGAGAGAGAGAGAGAGAGAACAGAGAGAUUCUCAUGUAUAGAUGUUGAAAUGCAAAUUUUGUAUGGAUGAAGGUAAAAAACAAGAAAAUUAUGGAUUCCCAAAAACUAAAAGAACAAAAAAUAGUGCACUCAAAUAUGUAUUUUUCUCCCACUUGGGCUUGUAGCCCAGUGGUGAACCAUUGCCCUUAAAGUCAAGCAUGACUAUGAGGGCAAUGGUUCGAGUCCCCAUGGACUCAACUUCCCUCAAUUAACAUAAUUGUGUGGAUGUUACUUAUAACAUCUUUCUCCCUUGCGAAAUGCAAGAGGAGUAGAAACAUUCCUUCUCCGUGAGGGGUAUUUGGUUGGGCAUGUACUUCAUAGAAUAAAAAUGUAAUAAUGUAAGUUUCAGGUAUAUAUAUGAUUGUAAAUAUCAGUACAAUGAUCUGCUGUCACAGCAGUUAUAAAUAUCUCUAUGUAAUACAGUAACUUGAUGCCUGUGGCGGAUUUAGAAAAAUAAUUUACCGGUGGCUAAAUUAGAUAAUAAUAAAAUAUGAAAAACUAAAAUUUUAAAUAUAUAAAAUAUUUGCUAGUAUAUUUAUAAUUAUUCUCUGCGCAUUUGUAUAUUUGAAAAAUGUUAUACAAUUGACUCAUUAUCAAUAUUAUUAAAUUUAUUGUUUCGUAUAUAAACAAUCAAACUAUCAUUUAUCUCAUAUGAUUCCAAAAAUGAUUUUUCAUGAGUUUCAUUACUGAAAACAUUCGCUCUAGUAUUAUUACAGAGACUGGAAGAGUUAAUCCUAUUUUUUAGAAUUGAAAAUAUUUUGAGUGGUAGGCUAUCAUUAUUUUUAAUUAAACUAUAAGUUUUUAUAAUUCUUAAAAGUUAAAAUUUAAAUUUUAUGGGGAUUUAUAAUUUAUAGUGAUUAUUUUAAUAAAUUUUUUAUGGGGGCUAAUUAAAAAACUAAACUAAUUAAAAAACUAAAAUAUUUUUCUUUUUUAAUUUUAGAUUUUUUUUUUUGCCAGUGGGGGCUCAAGCCCCCACUAGUCACAUGCUAGAUCCGCCCCUGCUUGAUGCUUAAUUAGUUCAAAAAAAAUGUACUUUUCUUAUUUAUUAGUUACUUUUACACGAAAUUCACAUUUUAGUUUCUGCAUUGAGAAAUUAUAAUUAUUAUUAUUAUUAUUAUUGACAAAGUUAAGAAUCCUUCAUUCAAUGUCAAGUAAUUUGUGUGACCAUAUGAUAGAAAUGCAAGUUCUUCAGCCAAUAAGAUCAUAUUAAAUGGAUGUAAUUAGCAAACCAUCUAUGUUGAGGACUGAACAAAAAUAGUUAUGCCAUGAAGAAAAAUAUAACAAAGUAUGCAUAUAUGUGAACUUAGAUAACUAAUUAAUUAAUUAUUAUUAAAGGUUGAAGGUAUAUAAGGUAGAUACGAGAUAAAAAGAUCCAACUGGCGAUCAUAAAUUUUAAAUACUAAAGAGAAAGUUUUUUGAGUUUCAAAUUAGUCUCACUAAAUUUAUUAAAUACCCCAUUUAUUCUAUAAAAUAAUCCUCAUAAAUUUAUAAAAUUUAAACUUUAAUUUUAAAAAUUAUAAAAAUCAACACUUUAAUUAAAAAUAAAUAAAAACUCACAAUAACCCAUUUAGUUGAUUUGACUAUUAUUUUAUUUAACCUCUAUAAAUUCAGUAAAAUAAAUUUCAUAAACUUAUGAAUUCAUAAGAUUUUAAUUUUUAUAUUUUGUCAAUGUGUAAAUUAGUCCCUAGUAUAUUAUUUUUUCCGAGUCCGCCGAUGCUCAUAAUACUGACUCGCCAAGGAUGUACAUCUGGUCCCAAGUCGAAACGGGGCCACCACCUUGUUUCCAAUUUGGUGAAGUUUUAAAUGAGGAAAAUAUAUGUGGCCAACAAGAAAUGUCAAUGUUCAAUGCAAAUGAAUUGACAAAAACAUAACUGGGGCCGUCUACGGCGAACAAUGAAAUCAAGACAGAGAGAUUUAUUGAUUGAUUGAUUUAUUUAUUUAUUAUUAUUAUUAUUAUUAUUGUUAGCCACAAAAAUUAGGAAGUGGAUACAAUCAUACAAUGCAUUUUUAUCCAAGUGCAAACAGUAUUCAAAAAAUUAACAUAACAAACACGUUUUUCAUUUUAUCAUUUUUGCUAAACCAAAAAAGGACGUUCAAAAAACAACCAAUAGUGCCCGAAUUCGAACCUAGGGCUCGACAGCAAAACAUUAUAGGACACGUGAAACCUGAAACCAUGGCCUGUCGUGACAUAACAAAGCCGCCGUGGCCCUUUCCCAGAGGUUCUGGUCAAACUUCAAUCAAAGGAAGACAGAAACUUGCGCAGUCCAGAGUUGUUCUACUAUGAGACAACAGUAAUCGGUUUUCAAGUAGGAUUAACAUUGAGUUUCAUUUAGAGACUCACUGGAAUUAUUAUUAAAAGUACUGAUUUUAGGAUUUACAAAUCUGUUACUUGAUAGAAUUUUAGUGGACCAUCUCGCCGAUUUAGUAUGCUAAGGUAGUGAGACUGUCUUAUAAAAAAUUUUCUCUGAAAAAUAUUCAAUCCAGAUUUCGUAAAAAUAAAUAAGUCAGUCGAAGUAUUCUCCUAGACAACAUUCAUAAUCUGUUGAAGUCCUUUUCAGGUGUUACAUGAAAUUUUUUUUACCAUUUAACAAAAUGUUUUAAGAUAUUAUAAAAUAGUUUGUUAGACCUUAAAAGUUCAUGACUUACUAAAUCUUCAUAUAUAUAUAUAUAUAUAUAUAUAUAUAUGGUUAGUUUUAGGUUAUCCCUCAUAAAUUGAUUAUCUUGAAAUUAUCUCCUCACUUUUAAAAGCCUCAAUUGAUUCUGAUUUUUUUUAGAAGACAAGAAAAAGAAAUCAUCAACCCACACAAUUUUUUUCUUAUUUUUUAAAUAAAAAUUGAAAUAAUUUAAGAUUUUUAAAAAUAAAAAAUUAAUUUAAAGAUAAUCAAUUGACGAGAUAGUAAUCCAAAAUUUACCCUCACAUAAAUAUAUAUAAUGACAGAAUGACGAUCAAUUAGAGUUGGAAUCCCAUUUAGAUUUUUAAUUGCAUGUCAUCAGCUUCAUUAUCAGAUCCUGGAUCGGUCGUUGCUGUCCCUUUGUGUUUUGUGAAGAUAUAACUUACGUGGACAACACUAGUACGUUUGGUUCAAAAUUGCAGCCAAACCGACAACCGACAGUAAAUACAAGGAGAAAAUUAAUUAGAAUGUGAUAAACGAUUGUUUUAAAAAGGAUACAAGGAGAAAAUUAAUUAGAAUGUGAUAAACGAUUGUUUUAAAAAGGAAACACGUGAUACAUAAUCAAGGUUUGGAUUUAAACUAAGAAAUUUUGAUUCAACAAUUUAUCUUCGAUAAAUAAAUGAUAAUGACAUAUGCAAAAUUGCUUUUUAUGACCAAAAGCACUUUUUUUUUAAAAAAAAACAAAAGUAAUCGGGUGUGACUUGGUAGGACCGUAAGGCUAGGCUUAAAUGUUUCCUCAUUCUCAUUCGUUUGCGAAAGUGCUUUUUAUGACCAAAAGCACUUAAAAAAAAAAAAACAAAAGUAAUCGGGUGUGACUUGGUAGGACCGUAAGGCUAGGCUUAAAUGUUUUCGGAAGUGAAUCAAAAUAAAAUCACUUAUGUACCAUUAAUUGUCGAAUUUAUUUAAUUAAUAAUACAACAUUAUUAAUUAAACCCCUAUGACUAUAAUAUAGAAUAUGUACCAACUUAAUUUGAGCACUAUUCAUAUUAAAAAUUUCCUCUUCGGCUCUUAUAAUGAAGCUCUUCAAUUAUUUCACCAUAUAAUUCAAAUUCAUUUGAGCGCCAUGCCUGUUGAAAAUUUUUAUAUAUGGUUCCUUAUAGUGAAAUUCGUUCAUAUCAUCAUAAACUUAAUUAAAUUGAAAGUCAUACAUUUUAGGAAAAAAUAAAUGCUUGGAUGAGGAGGAAGCUGCUGCUCAUUAAUGGUAUAUAAUUAAGCUUUAAGGCCACUAAGGCCAUAAUAAUAAAAUGAUCAAUUAAAUGCUAUAAAAUAAUUAACCUUGAUAAAACCAUUAGUUAUAAUUCCAGGAACACUCAUGUCGUAUUAUCAAUAAUCAAAAAAUAAAUAUACGGAAACGUACCUGAAUUUAAAAUGCUUAACUACUCUCUAGAGUCAUGUUGUUUAUCUUCUAAAUUAAUAUGUUUUCCAAGAUAAUCCUUUAAUUUUCUCUGUGCACUCUCUCUAAUGAUGAGAUGUAAAAAAAAUACUAGAAUAUUAUAUGUGAUUUGGGGAGCAUAAGUACUUAUAUAAAUAGCUUUUUAAUUAUUAUCAUGUAUUCUUAUUUCAGUUCGUCAUAAAAAUAGAAAUUACUUUUGAACCUCUACACAUUAAAGGAUCACACCCUAUCAAAUAUAAUAAAACCCAAAUUAUUGAAAAUUUUAAUAAAUCACUUUUAAUUAGGCUUAAUCUUAUAAGAUAGUCUGUAAUACAAAAUUAUGAGUAAUGAUAUUUCAUCCCCUCAUUUUAUCUCACUAACCCACACUUUUAAAUUAAUAUAGUAUCUUUCUAAAAAUACCCUUACUUCCAAGAAAACUUUUUUUUUUUAAUUUCACAUUCUUUCUCUGAAUUAAAUUCAAAACCCACACAGCAAAACUAUAAAAUUCCUGUCACAAUGUAUCUUGACAUAUUUCAAACUAGAACCAAACCAUUCUUUUUUAGAAGAAACCAAAUUAAAGAUUCGAGCUUCAUUUCAAGUUUCAAUCAUGGAAAAUUCUUUAAAGAAAUAUUAAAACCCUUCUUAAGUAGCAAAAGAGAUCAACAAUUACUUCACAAUAGUUUAUACAAAUUAACAUUUAUUAAUUGUUAAAAAAAGAUAAGUACAAAAGAAACAGUGAAAUGAAAUCCUAGCCAAAAUUUCAAAAUGAGAUUGCUUUAUGGCGUGUGAGAAGUGGCUUUCUUGGUCACAUGGCACGAAGCAGUGCAGCACAACGGCUCUGCCCUGCAUCAUGCAUCGCGAGGCGUGGCAAUUCUUUGCCCUAGUGUGAAGUAGGGUGGCUUAGUGUUGCUCUAUAGAUCAUGGGGAAGUAUAUCAUUUUCUUUAAAAAUAAUCAUAUAUGGUGGUGCCUGAGUGAGAGAGUGAGAGCAAAGGAGAUGAGAGUGAAAAGAAGAAAAAAAAUAUGUUUAUAUUUUAAUAAGGGUAAAUUUGAAAAUAAGUGGUACUAAUUGAAUAAUGAGGGUAGUGAGAGGAUGGGUAAAAGCUCGUUUAGUCCUUAUAUUUUGAAGUUAGUAUCCGUUUAGUCCCUAUAUUUUUAAAAAUACCUCAAACCAUCCCUACCAUUAAAUUAUUGACACUUUUGCCAUUAUCUUUUGUUCCUUUUAACUUAUUUUUAUAAUAUUGUCCUAUUAUAAUAAUUUUUUAGAGAUUAUUAAAAAGAAAAAAAAUAACCCUAUUAUAAUAAUUUUUUUAGACAUUAUUAAAAAGAAAUAAAUUACCAGUUUAACACCAAAAAAUAAAAUAAAAUAAAAAAUAUAUAUUAAUUUUUGUGGAACACACUCUUGAGUUAAAAUAUUAAUUUUUCUAAAAAAAUUGAUAAUGUAAUUUUUUACGAUAUUAAUUUUUUAGACAUAUGUGAGCUUCCACAAAAAUUAAAAUAUAUCUUUUUUGUUUUUAUUUUAUUUUUGAGUUUAAUUUGAUAAUUUAAUUUUUUAUUAAUAUCCAAAAAAGAAACAUUAUUGUAAAAAUAUAAUAUUGUAAAAAAAAGUUAAAAAUAAUAAAAAAUAAUGGCAUAAGUGUCAAUAUUUAGUAGCAGGGACGUUUUGAGGUGUUUUUAAAAAUACAGGGACUAAAUGGACACUAACCUCAUAAUAUAGGGACUAAACAAGCUUUUACCCUGAGAGGAUUGGAGGGGGUUAAAUUUCACUACUCCGCAAUUAUUCAUAUAUAAGCUCAAUGUUGGAUUAAGGAUCCAACAUUAAAUUAAUACUUAACUAAUCUAACCAAGUUUGGAGGGGUUUAAAACAUGAAGGGUUCUUAUUUCUUUCAUAGAGGGUUUUGUCCAUUUUUCAUUAGCUAAUAGAGACAAACUAAUUAUGAUUAAAGUUUGAAAAAACUGAGCUUAGAACUUGAUCAACAAUAACAGCAAGAUGUGUUCGAAUAGAACUUGUGGUCCUAGUAUACAUCCAGUGUGUUGAAUGGUUUUUGUGAUACAUGUGCAAACUACCUAAUUUGAUUCAAAGCACCUGUUAAUUUAAUUUGAUGAUCAUCUCUCUGUAUAAAUAUGCAUGCAGCCUCCUCGUCAUUCCAUCAAGAAUUGCUUUUUGCUUACUGCGAUAGCCAUUAUUUUGCUGUUCAUACUUUUGAAUCAAAUUAUCUCCAUGGAUUUCCUUUUUAAUCUUGAAAAUAUUCCGACUGAUGAAUCUAAAUUAUCAUUUAUAACCAUUGUUUUGGCGACACUGAUUGCUCUUAUUGCUGGUUUCUUCAGACUUAACAAAGUGUCGCUAGGCAACAAAUUUGCACCCGGAUCAUUCGGCACUGUUGCAAGGGCAAGCUUUCUGUAUCCUCAACUUAUCCGGAGAUUUGCAAAGGAUAUGUUUUCAUUUGUUAAGAAUCAACUAUUCAAAGAGAUAAUCAAACUCCCAUAAGAUGAAGCUCUUUCAAAAUAUAAUAUAUUGAUAUGCAUGUCAUAAAAUUUUGCCUUUUUUUUUUUUUGUUUCCUUCAUCAUUUAUUUCUUUAUUCGGACAGGGUUUGAAGCAACACUAAUAUUUUGCACUAAGCAUUAUGCAUGUACUAGUUCCAUGCAUUCAAAUUACGUAACAGUAAUCCCCCGUGUGCUUUUCAACACAUACAGUGUUAACAUUUUCUUCAAAUAAUUUCAGGAAAGAAACAAGCGGAAACCUCUCCCUCCAGGCCCAGCUCCGUGGCCAAUUGUCGGAAGCCUUCCAGAAAUGUGGAGAAACAAGCCAACUUUCAAGUGGAUUCAUGGUCUCAUGAGAGAACUGA